UCAAGGAGACCUCCCCCAUCUCAACCAAGCUGGCCUCCACUGGCCUCUCCCGCCUAUAUAUACAUUCGCUUCAUCUUCAUGGGCAUCUUCAUCUCAUCCAUCACACAACACACAACCUAGCUAGCUACUGGAAGGUACUUGUACUUGCUGCUGAUCAAUCUUGCACACCCAGUUGAAGGUCGACGAGGGUGCCAAGCAUGGCGUCCAAGGGUCUCAUUGUGGUUUCUGUCCUGCUUGCUGCGGCUUUCCUCGUGGCCACAGCUGAACAAACUCGUGAGCGUACUAGUAGUUUUCAACUGAUUCGAUCACUGUAUAAACUAGGCAUACACGCAGUAUCGUAUUUAUCAUUAUUACGCUAGUUAAGAAACCCUGCUGCUGCUGCUGCUGCAACUAAUUAAAUGUACACCGUUUCUUUUCAUGCAGAGGCCAAGAAGGAGGAGACCCAGGCCCGUGUUCAGGGUGGCUACCCCGGCGGCGGUGGCAGGGGCGGUGGCUACCAUGGCGGAGGCGGAGGCGGCGGGUACCCUGGACACGGCGGGGGCGGCAGCGGCGGCGGCUGCAGUCACCGAUGCUGCGGGCACGGUGGCUGCCACUGCUGUGCCGGCCCCGACGAGAUCCCCAAGCCCAAGUAUCGGGCGGAGGUCCGCAACUAAGUGCCGGAUGCAGCAGCGUGCAUGGGUAGUAUAGACUUGCUCGUUGCACGCACGUAGUAAUACAUGGUGAAUAAGAAGGUAGUGCAUGUGUAUGUAUGUACGUAUACGUACACAUUGCACUGUUAUCAUGAUCCAAUACCAGGACUCCGUUCUGGUCGUGUUUUUGUUUACCCUGUAAGAGUUGUCUUUGUUGCUCAAUAUGCAGGCAACUCCCGUGCAUGCAUGUUAUAACAAAAUCUCAGACCUCCUAAAUUAAAAUUCCCUAACAACAACUAAAAAAAAUAACAAAAAUGUGAAGCUUUUGUUUGGCGGGGCCGAAAGUUUGAAACAAUAGCCAAUUGGCAUUAGAUAGUACUCCCUCCGUCUUAAAAUAAGUUUUUCAAUUUUAACUUUGUACUAAAAUUAGUACAUACUUGAGACACUUAUUCUGCAAGAGAGGAAGUACCACAUAUGGUUUUGAGAACGCAGCCGUCAACAUGGUCAAACCUAUUGAUAUACGGCAAGAGAAGGUUUAGAAAUGAGGUUUAGAAAUUAUACAAUGUGCAAACCUAUUGAGAGAGUGAGGUUUAGAAAUUGUCCAAGCUAUGAAGUAAAAUCAUAGAGGCUGAAAAUAGAAAGGUUGUACUAGAGGCUGAAAAUACGGCAAGAGAAGUAAAAUAGAAAGGUUGUACUAGAAAUUUUUCAAUCUCACUCUCUCAAGAGUUUGAUUUGCUGCCUUAAAAAAGAGAGUAUGAUUUGCUAGAUGUUAAAUCUGAGAACAUACAAUUAUCUGAUUCUGAGAUCUCCAGAAUGAAAGAGAUAUUGCAAGAGCUUCAAAGUAUAUGGCUGGAAGAUGAAGUUAAAACUAGACAUAGGUCUAGAGAUGGAGACAUUCUAGAGAGGGAUAAGAAUAGCAAAUAUUUUCAUGCUUUAGCAAACUAAAGGAGGAAGACUUCGAUCCAUGCCCAUGAUGGGCCAAAUGGCACUGCCACUGAACUUAGAGGCAUGUUAGAUAUGACUACUUCUUUCUACUAGAUGAUACCCCGCGCAUUGCUGCGGGAAUUUGAAAUACCAUGUAGGAGAAGGAUUAUGGAGUGAAAGUAGUAAAUAAAGAAAAUAGAUAUAAAUAUUUAUUUAUUUGAGUAAUUGAUUAUAUGAUAUGAAAAGUCCAAAAUUUACUAUCUCAUAAAGUAUCUUUAUAUGUGCUUUAUUAGAAAGCAUUCCCCUUAUGCGGACAAAGAUAAAUGCAUUGUUAACAUGAAAAUAGAUGGAAUAUAAAGUUUGAGUUUUUUAGGGGUGAAUGGAUUUAUAGUUUGAUGAGAAUUCCACUCAAAUCAUGCCCAAAUUGGAUCAGAAGCCCAAUAUUCACUGAAACAAAGCCCAUUAAAGGCCCAAUACAAAAGGCCCCUGCCUAGCUUGAGACCCCACAAAAACACCUAAUGUGAAUGCUUGUUUUUUUAUGUUAAUGUGAAUGCUUGUUGGUUCUAUCGUAAUAGGAACAUAUAAGCCCUUCAAAAGCUUAAGAAAUAUAUAAAUAUACACAAAUCCAGUACCAAUACUUGCGUACAUCGGAAUUUAUACAUAACCAUCAGCCAUAUACAAAUAGCUUAAAAAGGUAAGAGCAUCUCCAACAGCCGCGCAACGCGUGGCGCACUAAAAAAAUGUUUACAGCACCGGAAUCGCGAGUUUUUGUGCGCCUCAGAGCGCUGGCUGCAGCGGCCGCUGCAAAAUAUAGCGUGCGAGCCGCUCCAGCAGGCGCUGCAAAAAAACUGUGCGCGCUCUCAGAACAAACAGCAUAUGCACUCCAAACACAACCAAGAAGAUCAAACACAAACAAAAUAAAUCAACAAUAAAUAGUUCAAUUUUAUUAUUACAACUCAAACCAAUAGUUUAUCUUGCAAUACAUCAAAUUGUUCAACAAUACAACAUCAAACAUACAAAUUAUGAUGCAUCUUUUGAUCCCAAAAUCUAGCCGGUCCUCUCACAAUGGAAAUUGGGCUUGCAAAAUCCUAAAAGCUCUCUUCACAUCUUUCCUAGCCGCCGCCUCAGCAUUGUGGAAAUCAAGAUUUUUCUUACCUUCUGGUUUUUUAAACUGCUUCACAAAUGUUUGCCACUUUGGAUAGAUGCCAUCCGCAAGAUAGUAGCCAUAGUUGUAUGUAUGGCCAUUUGCUACAAACUACACCGGUGGCAGUUCACCAUUUGCAAUCUUAUUCAUGAGUGGUGACCGAUUAACAACGUUGAUGUCAUUCAAAGAUCCAGGCAUUCUAAAAAAAGCAUGCCAAAUCCAAGUCUCUUGAUCGGCCACCACUUCAAGGAUUAUAGUGGAACCCAUUUUUGGCCGUGGAAUUGCCCAUGCCAUGCCUUAGGACAAUUCUUCCAACUCCAAUGCAUGCAAUCUAUUGAGUCAACCAUACCUGGAAACCCGCGAGCUUUGUUCGUCUCCAAAAGCCUUGCGCAGUCUUCAGCAUUGGGAGAUCUCACGUACUCCUAUCUAAACACUUGCACAAUUUCGACUGUGAAGCGGUUGACACUCAUGAUGGCUUGACUCUCACCCAUGGCCAAGUGGUCAUCAACUAGAUCAGCCGGAAUACCGUAUGCCAACAUACGCAAAGCGGUUGUCACCUUCUGAAAGGUGCUACGCGCAAGCUCUCCGGCGGCAUUCCUCCUUUGCUGAAAAAACCGAUCAUGGCUCGCCUGUUUCUCUGCAAGCGCCUGAACAACUCGGUGCUCAUCCUAAACCGGCGCCGGAAGUACGACUCAGGGUACACUGGAUUAUCCACAAAAUAGUGCCUCAUCAAUCUGUUGUCGGCAUCGAUCUUAUCCCUGCAAAUUUUCUGCCGACCCAUAACCGAACCACCGUGCUUCGGUUUUUUUAUUCAUGUGCAUAGCUAGGAUCACUAGUCGUCAACCCAUGCAUUUGCACGGGCUAGUGUAUUUAAUGCCUAAUUGACAUAAAUAUUAUAAAAUACAUUGAUUAUUUCCAUUGAAUUAGUUCAACAUUUGAUUGUCUAUGGGUAAGUUUCUAUAUUGCCAUGAAAAAUUGUAUAUUUGUUGUUCAUAUUUCAGCUAUGUACAAAACUUCAUGCAUCAAAUUUGCACAUGCAUUGCUUAAAUUUUACCUACCAUAUGAAUUUUCAAUAAAAAUAGUUUCAUUAAUAAUCAAAUUUACAAAAUAAUGGUCAAUGCAUGUUUCGAAAAAUGCUAGUUUGUAAAACGUCAUAGUGUUUCAAUUGGUGCUUAUGCAUUUACAAACUUGUUCCAUGGGUUAUAAGCCAAAUUAUUACAUUAAAACAUGUUGUAUGACAUUAUUUUAUUUAAGUGAUAAUAAAUAAAUAACUUUUUCAGACUUGUAUUAGAUUUCUGUUACUUGCACUCUUACAAUGCGCGCCACACUAUUUUUCAUCAGAUAUUUCUUGUGAGAGGUAUAACUUAAUUAAGUUACCACAAACUAAGUUAUAUUCAUGCAAGAAAGUUAGUCUAUGUCUAUGGAGGUAUAUUGUAUACUGGAGAUGCAGAACCAUGUAAACUAUGAGAUUCUUAAUAGAGACAGCUGUUAUGUAACCCAGUAAGAAAGAUAUGGUAAAAAUAAGGGUUUUGUAAUCUCAUUACAAUUGCAAAUAAAAACUAUCAAACGGUGAAAAUAAAAUAUUUCUGUCGAAAUUUAGUAACUUCUUGAUAAAGUUGGUAGCAUAUCAAAUGAAAGCAACAAUCAGUUCACGUACUGGAUUCACCUUCUUUGUUUACCCAACAAUUUCCAGUAGUGUCACAUGCUAUUGCUACCCCACUAAUUUCCACACACAAAGAAUUACAGAAGUUUGAAAACAGGGAAAAGGAACAAAACAAAUCAAGGUUCAAUUUGGUUAUAUAACCUACAGGGCAACAACAAUAAAGGCUAUAGUGUCAAUUCUUGCACAACGUAAUACUAUGAAACUUAAAAGUAUAGUUAGGAAAAGGAACAAAUGGGAAGAUGAAUCCCUAACUCACUAACAUGCAAGGGAUGUUGUUGCCAACAUUGAGAGACUCCUUCGUUUUCGUUAUAUGUGGUACAUCCUCAUUGAUUUAUAAGAACAUCUGAUAGUCAUAGCGCCACCCAAAUUAAAUAUGCUCCAAGUGACCAAGAAUACUUCACCGGAUUAACUUGUGUAAUCUGGAUCACUUUUUAAUUUCAUAUACCAUGCCGUGUGUCCCUGGUCUGUUUUCGGUUGUGCUGCUAACAGUUCUUGCAUUGCACUGCCAACCCGCGUCUCGACCAUUAUAAAAAUUUAAUUAAAAACAUUACAUAUGCAGUAAUAGUGACCUAAGAAAUCAUCAGAAUCCCACUUCUGCCCUGGAAAAGCUGUGCGCUGGAAUCAUUGGUGACGCCAUAAAAAUGUAAUCUCGUAUCUCAAAAUCUGUGUGUUAUCUAUUUUAUGUUGGUUGCCCUCCAGAGUGGCAGAUAAGCGUGGCAAAAAUCAGACCGUUUUGGCUGCUUUAGCACGAAUUUGGACCAAAUUGGCUAAGAUAACAUAUGUAUAGUAGCAGGCGAAUCAUAUUUGGAUAAACUGGACGUAGCCACAGCCUUGCGGUGUACAAUAGCUCAUGGGUAUGCGUCGAUCUGCCAUAUGUAUUUUGUCAUGGACUUGAGCAUCAAUGUGUCUUUUCUCCACACAUGGUACAUUUUUGCACGUACCAGUUUAGCAAGUGCUGGAGUGCCGGAGUUUUUAUAGUUUAUUAUUUUUAUGCGAGAAACUAACCUGCUAUUCUACCAGAGGAAUAUUAAGGAACGACAUAAAUAAACUAAUCUUAAAUAGGAAAAAGAGAAGUACAGUGUCGACUGUUGAGUAGUCACAGCAAACAAAGGGACCGAGGUGUUUUUGUGGAAUAGAAAUUGAACCAAAUAAUACAUAAAAAUGCUGUAGCCUUCACUCCCAACCAUUGUAGACUAAGACAAAUUUAAUUUUCAAAUAUAGGCGAAUAGCAUGGACGAUCAAAAUUAUGUUGAGUAAAAACUCCACAAAGCAGCACCUGCUUUAAAAUCAAAAGUAGAUCAGGUUUAAAGCUCACAAAACAACAGCAAUUUAAAGAAAUCCAGAAAUAGUACAAACUAUAGGAUGAAACUGCUUUCAGCUAAAAGGUAUUUUUCCACCUUUCCCAAGUGGAAAUCAAAUGGAAAACAGACCUCAAAAGGAACAGCAGCAGCGGAUGGAAUGGCCUACCUGCCAGCCGGGGUAAUGAUGUGGAAAACUCUCAUACGGAUGGAAACGGUGGCCACAGGCGAGCAUGUCAUGCGUGGGCUCCGGCGAUAAUGGGCGAGCGCGGACGGCGGUGCACCGGUACUCAAUGUCAUCCUCAAUCAUGUGUGGCGCCUCAUCCAUGGAAGAUCGCCGGCUGGGCAUCUGCAAUGGAAGUGCGGUGGGAUUGACUGGGCGCAGCACACAGCAUCUUCUCGGUGGUGGUUAGGCGGCGGCUACAUCCGGAAGUUGAUAUUAACUUUCCUAUAAAGUAAAUAUACACAUAGUAAUACUUACAUCCUUUUAAUAUGAAAUACACAAAUAUCAAAUUUUGGACAGUUGUUUGAUGUUACUAUGACAACACAACGGAAAGAAUGCUCCACAAUUUUGUUGACCUUCUCUCUGACUCCAUAGUUUUAACAUUUUAUUAUCCCUGUAUAUUCCAGGAGUCGUAAGUAUUGACAACCAUUGUAUUUGUACUCGUUUACUUUCUUGCGAUAUACACUCAAUCUGAAUCAGAAUAUUUUGAGUCUUUGAUAUCCCUGAGUUGUCUAUUUUUCCUCAGAUGCUUUGCCAACUUGCAUUGAUCAGCUUAUCCACGCACAAUUUUUACAUAGAUUCCACUUCCAUGUGGUGGAGAGUAGUAGAAGAUAAAUGUGGCAGUGAAAUAUCUAUACAUUAGUAGAAAGAUAUGAUUGCACCAAUCAAUACUAACCUGUUGAACGCCCUAGCUCGCUGAUCAGGUUUCACCAAUGUACACAUUUAUGCAUGCAUCGAUGACGUGAUGUAUAUGCCAUGGCAUGGAUUUGAGCAUGUUGUCUGCGAUUGAAGUAACUACCUGGAUGCCACAAUUAUUGAGCUGCAGGCGAUGGGGUUACUCCCGCUUCUCCAGCAUCUCUUGUGUAAUGGAUGCCCAUGCUCCCCGUGAGAGAUGUGGCCGGGCAAACCCGGGGCUAGAGCGUUGGACGCCUUGUGCCUCCCGAGGGAAUCCUAUAUUGUCAAGAAGUAUAAGUACAACUGAUGGGCAUAGUGGUGCUCCAGCCCGAUCUUCAUGAGGCAUCCAAAAAUUGUACGUGAGAAGAUUCAGGGUUCAAUACGAAUCCUGAUUAGGAUGAAUUCGAGCGCAAAUCAAAAGAGCGAUACAAAACAAUGUAACACGAAUCAACAUUAAAAUAUAGGAUGGUAGAAUGGCAAGAAAAAUUUAACACAAAAUAUUUUUGAAACGAACCUGAUCUAGACCAGGAAAACAAAAUUGAGGCAGUAAGCCUCUAGACCACGCCAGAUCCAUGGCUUCCCUUCCUUUUCCUCUUAGAUCCACGGACCUGCUUGCUUUUCUUUAGUUUGAGAGAGAUAAUGGCUUUGGUUUUUAUGCGGGAAAAAGAUUGGAGAGAGGAAAGGACGUGAAAUUGUUCCAUGGGGUGGGGGAGAGGAAGGAACGAUGGCAUGGGGCGAGAGAGAGAGAGAUAAUGGAGAGGAAGGAAUCGUGGGCUAGAUAUUUCAGUUUCCAUCGGGGAAUACUUUCCACGCUGAGAUUAGAAUCAGAUCUCUUUCGGAAUCGAUUUUUUUUACCUGCGUCUAUACUUUUAGGAAAAGAUUGCAUCUAUUGUUUUUAUCAUUAAUUAUAGGAACGUGGGGGAGAGUGACAUAUUUGGAGUCCUAUUUUUUCAUCAUACCUAAUCAAGCUAGACACGCCAUGACAGGAAUUGCAAGUUUUAUUUACCUACGUGACCAGUUUGGACUUGUUUUUUUAGCGUGACCAGAUUUAACUUGUUGCUUUUUUUAACGUGACCAGAUUGGACUUGUUGCCCAUGUAGCACAAACCUUUAGCAUUACGUGCAACGUUUUUAUGGAUCAAUGCGGAGGCUUGAAAAACAAGAUUUAUUGAUUGUUUUCUAGGAUUGAUAAAAAAGAUUUAUUGAUUGUUUUCUAAUUAACGUGAGAAUUUCUUGGAAGUCUAGAAUUAGUAUAGGUAGGUAUAGAUAUAGAUUGUAAGGUCCUCCUUCUUUUCAAUAUCAAUUUUUCCUUCGGAAGAAUCAUACCAAGAACUCAUCUACAAUCUUGAAUUUAAAUUAGUCUAUAAAAACUACAAACAACAUGCAUCAAAUUAAUGUAAAAAAUGUGAAGUUGAAGCAAUACAUACCCUGCAAGCGUUUUGUCGAGCACCUUGUGGGCGUCGAGCGGCAGCGAGCUGCCGGGCGCUGUUCAACGGAGGAAUGGCGCGCGCGAGGGGCGGCGGCGACUAGAGGUAGACGGAGGAAGUAGCGGUGGCGCGGGGAUAGGCCGAGGAAGCGCCGGAAUGGUCGCCGGAACAAAUGGGGUGGUGUGGGCGAUGGCGCCAGCGCCUGGAUUGGGGUAGGUAGAAGUCGCGGUGCGGGCGCUCGAGAGUGCAGCGCGCAGGAGCGGGCGCAACAAAUAAACGGCACGAGAUGUUGUUUCGCUCCGCGCGCUGAAGUACUUAUUCCGCGCGCGCGGUUUUUGCGCCUCUGCUGGAGCGCCCGGAGCGGCUGCGCGCGCGCAAAAAACAGAAAUUUUCCAGUGCGGCGCUUAUAUAGCGCGGCUGUUGGAGAUGCUAUAAACAGAGCGUGCACACAUAUGCAUCUCUUUUUUUAUUUUUCAUGGACAACUCGUAUGCAUCUCACUGGUAGAGAAUAGGCCUUUAGUCCCGGUUCGCAAAGGCCAUUAAUCCCGGUUGUGCAAUCGGGACUAAAUAUGCGCGACUAAAGGCCGCCCCCCCCUUUAGUCGCGCCUCUUACGAACCGCGACUAAAGGCCCGUCCACGUGGGCGCCAGGAGUCCGUCGGGGCGGAGGACCUUUAGUCCCGGUUCUCGUGGCUAACCGGGACUAAAGGCCUCCUCCGCAGGUUUAGGGUUUUAGCCCCCCUAAACCUGGUUUCUUUUUAAUUUGUAGUGUUUUAUUUCUUUUAUAUUUUAUUUUGUGUUUUAUUUUAAUUUCGAUGAAGUUUCAGUACACAUAUUCUACGCUACUAUAUAUAUGCAUAUGAAAUUUCAAACAAGAAGAAUUCAAGAGGAAUAUAUAAUAUAUAUUCAAUCUCGGGUGACCAUAUACAACUUCGAACAAGUUUCCAUACACAAUUAGGAUGGAUGACCAUAUACAACUUCGAACAAGUUUCAAUCUCGGGUAUGCAUAUAAAUUUCUUCGUCCUCGGUAUAGUGUUCUCCUUUAGGAUUGAUGACUUCCCUCAUGAAAAAUCCUGCUAAUUCAUCUUGAAUUGGUCGGAAGCGAGCUUCUGGACUAAGCCUCCUCCGCAAGUUAUCCGUCGCCUUCCGCACGCUAUCCGAUGCCUUCCGCUCAGAGGUGUGUCUCCGGAUGUUCUCACAAACAUAGUAUCCACAUAGAUUGGUCCCCGGUGAGCUCAUGUUUGAAUUCACCGACAAUUUCUUCUGAGAACCGUCUCCAAACCCUACAGGGCAAAGAAAAUUAAAUGAACAAGGGAGUUAUUAGUUACUUGAUAUUAGGAAAUGAACGAAAGAGACCGAUCGAUAUAGAGCUCAAAUGAUUGAAAAUAAUUACUUUUGCAGCAUUUUUCUCAUGUCGGCCCAACGCUUUGGAUCCGAAUCCAUAGAGUCCAUGAUUAGAACUCUGGAGGUGUGAAGUUCAAUAUUUAGCAGAAUCCAGUGGAACCUGCGGACACGUUACAUGCACAGUCAUGCAUAACUCAUCGAUUAGACAUACCAUGCAUGGAGUAAACAAAAGAGAAUGGGCACAAGAGAGAAACACUCACCCAAAAUGGUAAGGAAAUAGAAUAUGACUUUUGAGUUGAUGCUUUCUAAGAAACUUGUACAAGUCUUUCUCCACGUCUUCGGGGUGAUUUUGUAACACAUGUCCAUUAACGAUAUGUGGGUCAAUGAACCCAACAUCAUGGAUGUUUCUUAUUUUGCAUUCCCAAAUCUUCAAUCUGCAUAAUAGCGUACGCAACAAUAUAGUUAGGACAAUAUAUAUAUAGUGCAGGCAAUGAAGAACGAGAUGAGGUAGAAAUAAAUCACUUACAGAACGUACCAACUCAGCAUAGAUUUGUCGAGGUCGCGCAGAUUGAACAGCUGGAACAAUUCACUCAUAUGAACUUGUACAGAGUACCGUUUGGUGUGAUGCUCCUCUGUAACAUCCGCAUAAACAUAUUCUUUGUCGGCCCAUGUUAUGAAUUGCUUGUACCAACGUAGCAGAUUUCGCAUUUGUGGCGGUAGACUCUUUUCCCGCGCAGGUUCGACGAGAGGUCCAUUCCGCACAUAUUGUAAUGCUAUCUCACAUACUGGCGCAUCCUCAAGGCCUAAGAAGGCACGAAGAGUCAAACCCAUCUCGGACGCUUGUUUCAUGGCACUCGCUACAGUCAAUCCAAGUGCUGCCGCAGCUGCUAUGAUCUCGGGGUCCUCUUCCGGACCGGCUUUCACUAUGAGCGGGGGGAUCGAUUGUUUAUUCUGCGUCCCGAGCUGGUCAACUUGUUUCCCGCUUUUUUUACUUUCUUCUUUCUCCUCCUUCAAUAUUUUUGCUUGCCUACGAAGUUCAUGUCCAUAGUCGUCAGGCAUAUUCAGCUCGGCUUGGGACGGUGUCGUAAAAAAAUCCAUAGCCCACUUCUUUUACUUCUCAGUGAAUACUUGCUUGGGCUCAGGCUCUUUUUUCGCCUUCGUAUCCGCCUUCCAUUUCUCAUAAUGAGCAGACGCGGCCAAUUUGGUUUCAGCUUCACUAAGUUCCCAAGGCCUUGGGAGGAGAGGCUUCAGUGAUGGCUCCGGUACCCUUGUGGUCUUAGGUACAUAAGGGUCCGGGUUAAUAGUCCAGGAGCGGGUUUCCUUGCUGUCCGCCUGCUUCUGCUUCUUCGCCGGAGGUGGAUUGGGGGGCGUCGUACCCGCCGGAGGAGGAUUGGGGGGUGUCGUACCCGCCGGAGGAGGAUUGGGGGGCGGCGGCUGCUUACCCGCCGGAGGUUGUGGAUCGGGGGACGGCGUCGAAUGGCGUGAAGGAGGUGUAGGUGAACCACCACGACCACCACCACCGCCACCACCACCACCACCACCACCAUCGGAGGGGGGUGGACUUGUUAGCCUUGGCGCCUCGCCUGGAAACACUAUGUACUUCUUUUUCCAUAGAAUGAUCUAGCGCUUGACAUCUCCAAGUCUUCUCUCCCCUUCGGGUGUAGGUUUGUCAAUCUCCAGGUCCUCAAACUCUUGGACUAUGUCUUCCACCGUGACAAGAGCAUAGCCAUAUGCAAUGGGGUUGUUGUGGUGGAGUGCUCCAGGUGUACAGGGUAAAGCACUGCCGGUGGCUACCUUCGUGGAAACGUUCCCCACAGGAUAAUGCAGAUCACAUUCUUUCAUCUCCUUUACAUCAUCCACGGGGUAGUGAGGCUCCGGUGCACGAAUCUCGAUCAUCGGUGCAUUAGCACCAGGCGGGGCAUCCGUGGAAGCCACGCUGCUUCUCCGCUGCUGGCUUCCGCGAUCCGCUUCAUGAUCUUCAUGCAGCCCUGCAGCCGAUUUUUCUUUUACUAGUUCAUGCACGGUCUGCUUCAACUCAUGGAGUUCCGAUGCAAACUUCGCCAAAAGAUCUGCAUCCCGGUCCGUCUUUCUCUUACGGCUUCUGUAACAGUACGGGUCAUUGUCCUGGGAAAACCCUACUUUCCACGGAAUUCUGCCUUUGCCUCGUACACGUCCUCCGUGUUCAUCAUUCCCGAGGGCUGUUGUCAGUGCGUCUUUCUCUCUGUUGAACUUGAUCAAGCCCUCUUGAGCUUGGGUCAUUGCGUCAAUAAGGGCUUCGGUGGGAGCAAACUUUUUCUUCCGGUGAACACACACCCCUGUCUCCGGGUCUAGCGAUCCCCCAUGCCCGUACCACCAGCUUUUGGCCCUUGGGUCCCAUCCCUCUGUACCUAGAGGGAUUCCUCGCACCCUCAGGUCCUCCUCCAUCUUCUGCCACUUAGGCUCCGAAAGGCGGUAUCCUCCUGGCCCCAUAAUAUGAUGGAACUUUUUCUUACUCACAUUAUCCUUAUUUUUUCGAUAUUUCCUUGAAAUGCUCUGAUUUCUUUUGCCUCACAAAUUCUGGCCAAUCAUCUUUCAAUUUCUCAUGUUGUCCAUUGAAAUCCGGAGUCUUGCCCUUCUUGACAUAGUCACGGGUUAAAUUUUUCUUGAAGUUCCGGAAUGCUUCGCCCAUCUUCUGAAGAGCGAACUCUUUAACUAGCCUCCUCCUCUCACGUCCAACCGGAACCUCGUUACCGAAUUCAUCGACUUUGUUGUAUUCCAGAGGUAGAAUGAAAUGUUCCAUAAGCUUUCUCCAGCAAUCAUUUUUCGUUCUCUUGUCGACAAAACUGAAACCAAGACGUGCCUUCUUUGGCUCCUUCCAUUCCUGGACGGUGAUCGGGACGUUGUCUCUAACAACGACUCCGCAUUGGUUGAUAAACUUUGAGGUGUGCUGUAGGGGCUUGCCGGUUUCACUGACAAAAUCAAUGGCAUAUGUUUCUCCUGUUUUCAUCGCCUUGGAUUUGCCACGCUUUGUCGUACUCGAUCCGGCCGAGGGCUAAAAAAAGAAAGAGAGUCGCGCGCGUUAAUACAUAUGUAUUCACAUUUCAGUAAGUUUGUAUCAUGAGAGGCUCAAUGUAUAUAUAUACCUCGCCGGAGGUGGUUGCUACUUGCAAUUCGAGAUCGUUGUUUGUUGACGGUUGACCUCCGUCGACAAUGUCCGUUCCUUCACCUUCUUGAUCAUCGACAAUAUCUGUUCCACCGUCAAGGUUCAGAAAAGAAGAGACUACAUCCUCUUCUUGCUCAUAUUCUGAGCCCGGCACAUAAGGAAUCUCGUUGUUUAUGAUGCCCAUUAAAUAACGUUCAGCCUCCGGAUCCCUAAGCGGCUCGGCUCAAUCGUCCGCCAUAUGUCACUCCUGCAUGUAGUAAAAAUUAAUCAAGUAUAAAGGAAUUAAAAAAUAAGAUUAAGGGGACAUAGAGGAGGAGGAAUUAAAAAUAAGAUUAUUGAGCACUAAUUUGCAUAGAAGUUUUCCUUUUCUUAUUUUAUUUUUCCUUUUCUUUUUCCUUUUCUUCUUCCUUUUUCUUUUUCCCUUUCUUCUUCCUUUUCUUCUUCCUNNNNNNNNNNNNNNNNNNNNNNNNNNNNNNNNNNNNNNNNNNNNNNNNNNNNNNNNNNNNNNNNNNNNNNNNNNNNNNNNNNNNNNNNNNNNNNNNNNNNNNNNNNNNNNNNNNNNNNNNNNNNNNNNNNNNNNNNNNNNNNNNNNNNNNNNNNNNNNNNNNNNNNNNNNNNNNNNNNNNNNNNNNNNNNNNNNNNNNNNNNNNNNNNNNNNNNNNNNNNNNNNNNNNNNNNNNNNNNNNNNNNNNNNNNNNNNNNNNNNNNNNNNNNNNNNNNNNNNNNNNNNNNNNNNNNNNNNNNNNNNNNNNNNNNNNNNNNNNNNNNNNNNNNNNNNNNNNNNNNNNNNNNNNNNNNNNNNNNNNNNNNNNNNNNNNNNNNNNNNNNNNNNNNNNNNNNNNNNNNNNNNNNNNNNNNNNNNNNNNNNNNNNNNNNNNNNNNNNNNNNNNNNNNNNNNNNNNNNNNNNNNNNNNNNNNNNNNNNNNNNNNNNNNNNNNNNNNNNNNNNNNNNNNNNNNNNNNNNNNNNNNNNNNNNNNNNNNNNNNNNNNNNNNNNNNNNNNNNNNNNNNNNNNNNNNNNNNNNNNNNNNNNNNNNNNNNNNNNNNNNNNNNNNNNNNNNNNNNNNNNNNNNNNNNNNNNNNNNNNNNNNNNNNNNNNNNNNNNNNNNNNNNNNNNNNNNNNNNNNNNNNNNNNNNNNNNNNNNNNNNNNNNNNNNNNNNNNNNNNNNNNNNNNNNNNNNNNNNNNNNNNNNNNNNNNNNNNNNNNNNNNNNNNNNNNNNNNNNNNNNNNNNNNNNNNNNNNNNNNNNNNNNNNNNNNNNNNNNNNNNNNNNNNNNNNNNNNNNNNNNNNNNNNNNNNNNNNNNNNNNNNNNNNNNNNNNNNNNNNNNNNNNNNNNNNNNNNNNNNNNNNNNNNNNNNNNNNNNNNNNNNNNNNNNNNNNNNNNNNNNNNNNNNNNNNNNNNNNNNNNNNNNNNNNNNNNNNNNNNNNNNNNNNNNNNNNNNNNNNNNNNNNNNNNNNNNNNNNNNNNNNNNNNNNNNNNNNNNNNNNNNNNNNNNNNNNNNNNNNNNNNNNNNNNNNNNNNNNNNNNNNNNNNNNNNNNNNNNNNNNNNNNNNNNNNNNNNNNNNNNNNNNNNNNNNNNNNNNNNNNNNNNNNNNNNNNNNNNNNNNNNNNNNNNNNNNNNNNNNNNNNNNNNNNNNNNNNNNNNNNNNNNNNNNNNNNNNNNNNNNNNNNNNNNNNNNNNNNNNNNNNNNNNNNNNNNNNNNNNNNNNNNNNNNNNNNNNNNNNNNNNNNNNNNNNNNNNNNNNNNNNNNNNNNNNNNNNNNNNNNNNNNNNNNNNNNNNNNNNNNNNNNNNNNNNNNNNNNNNNNNNNNNNNNNNNNNNNNNNNNNNNNNNNNNNNNNNNNNNNNNNNNNNNNNNNNNNNNNNNNNNNNNNNNNNNNNNNNNNNNNNNNNNNNNNNNNNNNNNNNNNNNNNNNNNNNNNNNNNNNNNNNNNNNNNNNNNNNNNNNNNNNNNNNNNNNNNNNNNNNNNNNNNNNNNNNNNNNNNNNNNNNNNNNNNNNNNNNNNNNNNNNNNNNNNNNNNNNNNNNNAAAAUAAAACUAAUUCAUUUUAAAAUCUUAAAAAUACAAAUAAUAUAUCAAAAAAUUCAGAAAAAUAAAACUAAUUCAUUUUAAAAUCUUAAAAAUACAAAUAAUAUAUCAAAAAAUUCAGUUCAUCGAUCCCUUGAAGGUUUGACAAAAGGUUUGAUACAUCAUUCAGUUCAUCGACCAAAUACAAAUCAUCCGGAUUCGCCAUCGUACGUUUUAAUUCACAUGAUCCAUUCAACAAAGUUUGGUACAAUAAAUUAUUACACAUCAAUUCUUCCCUUGUGUCCCUGCUUGCUUACGAUUGUGCCGUAUCCAUGGAGCAUCCUCAUCAUUUAACUUAAUGCUUGGGUCAGUGUUCACUUUGAAGGGCGGAAUUUCACCAAACAUAUUAUAACCUUCUGACAUGUCUGUCUUGCCCUCCACUCCCACGAUGUUUCUUUUCCCUGAAAGAACAAUGUGGCGCUUUGGAUCAUCGCAUGAUGUACUGAUCAUUUUCUUAUCUUUCCGUUUCCUCUGUUUGCUACUCAUGUCCUUCAAAUAAAAAACCUGAGCGACAUCUUUGGCAAGGACGAAUGGUUCAUCAAGGUAACCAAGAUUGUUGAAAUCCACCAUUGUCAUUCCGUAUUGCUCGUCCACCUUUAGCCCACCUCCUGUUAGCUUGAACCAUUUGCACCGGAACAAAGGGACCUUAAAGGAGGGUCCAUAGUCAAGUUCCCAUAUCUCCUCUAUGUAACCAUAAUAUGUGACCUUUUGCCCAUUCGCGGUUGCUGCAUCAAAGCGGACACCACUGUUUUGGUUGGUGCUCUUUUUAUCUUGGGCGAUGGUGUAAAAUGUAUUCCCAUUUAUCUCGUACCCUUGGAAAGUCGUUAUAGUCGAAGAUGGUGUCUUGGCCAACAUGUACAGCUGAUCUCCAACAUCAUUGUCAUUCAUUAAAUGUUUUCGCAACCAACUGCCGAAAGUCUCCAUGUGGGCCUUUCUAAUCCAGGAUUCAGGCUUCCCCGGGUUGUCCGAGCGUAAAAUAUUCUUGUGUUGCUCGAAGUAUGGAGCCACCAAGCUGGAAUUUUGCAGAACUGUGUGGUGUGCUUCAGUCAUAGAAUGACCGUCCAUACAUAUCGUUGAUUUCCUUCCGAUCGUGCCUUUUCCACUUAGUCUCCCCUCGUGCCGCGAUUGAGGAAUACCAAUCGGCUUAAGGUCAGGAACAUAGUCAAUACAGAACUCAAUUACCUCCUCAUUUCCAUAGCCCUUGACGAUACUUCCUUCUGGCCUAGCACGGUUACGAACAUAUUUCUUUAAUACUCCCAUGAACCUCUCAAAGGGGAACAUAUUGUGUAGAAAUACAGGACCGAGAAUGGAAAUCUCUUCGACUAGGUGGAGCAGGAGGUGCGUCAUAAUAUCGAAGAAGGAUGGUGGGAACACCAACUCGAAACUGACAAGGCAUUGGACCACAUCGUUCUGUAACCGUGGUAGGUCUUCUGGAUUGAUUACCUUCUGAGAGAUUGCAUUGAGGAAUGCACAUAGCUUCACAAUGGCUACUCGAACAUUUUCCGGUAGGAGCCCCCUCAAAGCAAUCGAAAGCAAUUGCGUCAUAAUCACGUGGCAGUCAUGAGACUUCAGGUUUUGGAACUUUUUGUCCGCCAUGUUUAUUAUUCCCUUUAUAUUCGACGAGAAGCCAGACGGGACCUUCAUACUGCUCAGGCAUUCAAAAAAAAUGACCUUCUCUUCUUUGGUAAGAGCGUAGCUGGCACGACCUUGAAACCAUUCCGAAUGCCAGUCAUCUGGGUCUUUCAAAAGUUGCUAGUCCUGCCGUGCUUCCUUUGUAUCACUUGUCUUCCCAUACACGCCCAAGAAGCUUAGCAGGUUCACGCAAAUAUUCUUCGUAACAUGCAUCACAUCGAUUGCAGAGCGGACAUCUAGGACUUUCCAAUAUUCUAGCUCCCAAAAUAUAGAUUUCUUCUUCCACAUGGGUGCGUGCCCGUCAACUCCCCGCGGAACUGAUUGUCCGCCAGGACCCUUUCCAAAGACGACUUUCAAAUCCUUGACCAUAUCAAAUAUCUCAGCACCAGUACGUUCCGCAGGCUUCGGCCGGUGAUCUGCCUUGCCGUUGAAAUGCUUGCCUUUCUUUCUUACGUUAUGAUUUCGGGGAAGAAAUCGACGAUGACCCAGGUACACGUUCUUCUUACAAUUACCCAAAUGUACACUUUCAGUCUCAUGUAAGCAGUGCGUGCAUGCAUUGUAUCCCUUAUUUGUCUGUCCCGAAAGGUUACUGAGAGCAGGCCAAUCGUUGAUGGUUACAAAAAGCAACGCUCGUAGGUCAAAUUCCUCUUCUUUGUGCUCAUCCCAGACACGUACACCAGGUCUGCCCCACAACUGUAAAAGUUCAUCAACUAAUGGCCUUAGGUACACAUCGAUGUCGUUCCCGGGUUGUUUUGGACCUUGGAUGAGCACUGGCAUCAUAAUGAACUUCCGCUUCAUGCACAACCAAGGAGGAAGGUUGUAGAUGCAUAGAGUCACGGGCCAGGUGCUAUGGCUGGAGCUUUGCUCACCAAAAGGAUUCAUGCCAUCAGUACUUAGACCAAAUCUUAUGUUCCUUGCGUCAGCUGCAAAAUCUUUGAACACUCCGUCGAUCUUUCUCCAUUGCGUUCCAUCAGCGGUGUGUCUCAACUCCCCGUCGGACUUACGGUCCUCUUUGUGCCAUCGCAACGACUUGGCAUGCUUUUUGUUCCUGAACAGACGUUUCAACCGUGGUAUUAUAGGAGCAUACCACAUCACCUUGGCGGGAACCCUCUUCCUGGGUUUCUCGCCCUCAACAUCGUCACCAGGGUCAUCGCCUCUGAUCUUAUAACGCAAUGCAGUGCAUACAGGGCAUUCAUUCAAAUUCUCGUAUUCACCGCGGUAGAGGAUGCAGUCGUUAAUGCAUGCAUGUAUCUUCAGAACCUCUAAACCUAGAGGGCAGACAACCUUCUUUGCUUCGUACGUACUGGCGGGCAACUCCUUAUUCUUCGGAAACAUAUUCUUCAACAUUUUCAGCAAAUUUUCAAAUGAUGAGUCAGCUACACCUUCCUGUGCCUUCCAUUUUAGCAAAUCCAGUGUGCAGCCCAGCUUUUUCAGACUAUUAUCACAUCCUGGAUACAACGACUUUUUGUGAUCCUCUAACAUGCGAUCCAAAUUCUCCCUCUCCUUGUCAGUUUCGCAGCGUCUCCAUGCAUCAGCAAUGGUCCGACCAAGAUCAUCAGCGGGCUCAUCAUGUGCCUCUUCUUCACCUUCACCUAACCCUUCCCCACCUUCAGCAUCAUCCUCCAUGAAAGUAUCACCGAAAUGAUCAUGAUAGUUGUCAUCGAUAUCAUCCCCUUCUUCAUCUUCUUCCAUUCUAACCCCUCUUUCUCCAUGCUUGGUCCAACAAUUAUAGCUUCGCAUGAAACCGUGCCGAAGCAGGUGCAUGUGAACGUCUCUUGAGGAGGAGUAACCCUUCUGAUUCUUACAGACAGCACAUGGACAGAUAAUUAAACCUCGCUGCUUGUUCGCAUUUGCCACUACGAGGAAAUCUUUCAAACCAGUAGUGAACUCGCCGGAGAGUCGGGGACCGUACAUCCAUUGCCGAUUCAUCUGCAUUAUUAUUAUAUAAAGUAUAUAAUUAACCAUCAUGCAUUUGUUAAACUAACUAGCUAGAAAUAAUACAAAUUAAACAAUGAACUACACACAUGCAUAUUUUAUCAAUGACACAUGAAAGGUUCAAGUUGCUAACCGCGAUCGCGGAGGAAAAAUAAAUGAGAAAGCUCAAGUGUGGCUCGGACACUUCAUAUCAUGUUUGUUUCAUGCUCUCGGGCAUUUCAUCGAACACCUUGUGUGCAUAGGAGGAACCAAAAGCAAACCCACCACCCCCCUUCUGAAUUGUGGCUAAGUGAAGUGAGCUGAGUCCUAUAUAUAGGGAUGGGCCUUUAGUCCCGGUUGGCCUGGCCAACCGCGACUAAAGGCCUUCGGGCCAGCCUGAGGACCUUUAGUCCCGGUUGGCCAGACCAACCGGGACUAAAGCCCCUCCCGUCCGCCAGCUGUCGACCGAGCGCGCUGGGCCCAGAUAGUUAGUCGCGGGUCUCCUCCCGAACCGCGACUAAAGACCCCUUUUGUCGCGGUUCGAUUAUUUUAGGGACUAAUGGGGGCGUAUGGAAGCCUCUUUUUCUACUAGUGUCUCCUUUUUCACUGAAAAAGGCAAAUGAAGUUUUUUAGCUUGCUGAUGAUAACGUUCAGUGUUGUUGGGUAGCAUGCGAUCUUACAACUGGGUAUCUCCCCACCACACCGCCAAACCUUAUCAUCCUUCCCCACAGAUCUCGCAACUUUCCACAAAUCCGUUCUGCUUCUCCGUCGUUUACUCCGCCAUGCGCCAUAGCGUUGCCAACUCUCCCUGAGUUAUCCCGCACGAUGCCUUCCCAUCCACAGCCCCACUCUCGCCGUGCGUGCUUUUCUGAGGCCGUCCCAUGGCUCCCCAUGUCAGUCCCGAGCUGUUCCAAGGGGUGGUAGGGUGGACGCUACGGCUGCAAUAGCCUGGGCGGAGACGGUGCAAGAUAGGCCGCGUGGUACUGCAACGCAAGCCGCAUCAUGCUUCAAGGUGACGCUGCUGCUGCAAGCCGACCAUGUGGCGCUGCAGGCCGACCGCCCUGCACGGAGCCUGAUGCUAAAAGGGCGUCCCAGGUCACUAGAAAAAAAGGGUCAAAUGUCAAGCACAUUAGUGCCGGUUUGCUUUUGAGCCGGCACUAAUGUGUGCAUUAGUGCCGGUUCCAACGGCUAGCCAGCCGCUUUCAUUAGUACCGGUUCGUGGCCGACCUUUAGCACCAGUUCGUGCCACAGACCGGUACUAAAGUGAGUGGUGGCAGGAUGUUGUCAGUCCGGGGCCCCUCCAGCACCUUUAGUACCGGUUCAUGGCAUGAACCGGUGCUAAAGGUCGACCUACAUAAGCCCUUCGUCCACGCGAGCUCACUCUGUUCUUCCCCUUUCCCCUCUCCUCUCUGUUCUUCCCCUCUUCCUCUCGAGCUCAUCACACAUUUUGCCCAAAAUUUGUCAAGAUUUGAAGCCCCCAUCCAUUCAAAUGAUCACAAAGGUUAGCAACUUUGUCCUUUCAUCUCUCAUUGCUAGAUUAGCUCUUGCAAUGCUUUGUAUAGUGAUUAAUUUAUGAGUUUAGUAAUUUGGUAGAAAAUAUAUGUGAUAGUAUUUGAUUUAUAUGCAAUUUGUUGUCAAAACUAACACUUAGUUUGCAUAUGUAGGUGUGGUUUACUUAGUGCCUUCUAAAUCUCCAUCGUAACCACAGUCGAUCGCCCGCACCGUUCCGUCGCCGGCACCACCUUGUGGUGAGCCUCUUGUUCAUGAAUGUUUUACAUUACCAAAUUGAUGUUUGUGUGAUUUGGAUAUAUAGUUACUCGUAUAAUUAUCUUACCCAUACGUUGUUUGUUAUACAUAGUGCCAUGGUUUUGAUAUCCGUCCCCGUCGGCCCUCGUCCUUGUUACGAUUCGGAUGUGGUAUAUUCUCUUUUAAAACUAGUUGUUGCAUUUUGUGUUUAUGACAAAUUAUGCCCAUCAAGUUGACAUAGAUAUUUUUGUCUAGGAGGUUUGUGAACCGGAAAUUCCAACCGACCCUAUUGUCGAGAGGUUAAAUUUAGUUGAAAGAGAAAAUGAGUAUUUGAAAGAAAAAUUGAAAAGAAUUGAGGGGGAGAAGAUGGAAUUGGAGUUGCAUGUUGCCGAUGUCGUCGAUGAUCACAAGAUCAAGAUGGAGAAAAUGCGCUUGAAGAUUAGAAAGAUUAGAAAAUAUGCCAUUGAUAGUGAGGCUUGAUAUCAUUAUGUUGUUGGAUCAAUUGUUACCUUAGUUACGAUAUUGAUCGCAUUUGUUGUUGCAUUUAAAUUCUUUAGUUAGAGAGUUAUUUGUUUGUUGCAUUUAAGUCUUGUAUGAACUUUAUGUAUGAACUUGUAUUAAUUUGGUCUAUUCGGUGUUGUGUAAUGAAGAUGAGCCGACAAUGGAUGUACGAUGACCGAUGCUCUCCCGAGUUCAUUAAUGGCGUGCAAACUUUUCUGCUUGCGGCUGAGGCAAACAAGCGAGCGGAUGGUUUUUAUGCCUUGUCCAUGUUUAGUCUGUAAGAAUGAUCAUAAUUACUCUACGUCAAGAACCAUUCACGUCCACCUGUCUAAGUCCGGUUUCAUGCCCCACUAAUGUUUGGACCAAGCACGGAGAAAGAGGGGUUAUGAUGGAAGACAAUGAAGAAGAAGAGGACGACGACAGCUAUCCUGGCCAUGGGUUCCCUGAAUACGAUGAUACAACAAUGGGGGAAGAAGCUGAGCCGGCAAUGCGGGAAGAAGCUGAAGAAGAGGCAUCAGAUGAGCCCGCUGAUGAUCUAGGUCGGGCCAUUGCCGAUGCAAAGAGAAACUGCGCAAGUGAUUUGGAGAAGAAGAAGUUGCAGCGCAUGUUAGAGGAUCACAAGAAAUUGUUGUACCCGAAUUGCGAAGUUGAUAAGAAAAAGUUGGGCACCACACUGGAAUUGCUGCAAUGGAAGGCAGAGAAUGGUGUAUCUGACAAGGGAUUUGGAAAGUUGCUGGUAAUGAUAAAGAAUAUGCUUCCAAAGGACAACGAAUUGCCCGAGACUACGUACGAAGCAAAGAAGGCUGUCUGCCCUCUAGGGUUAGAGGUGCAGAAGAUACAUGCAUGCCCUAAUGACUGCAUCCUCUACCGCGGUGAGUACGAGGAUUUGAACGCUUGCCCGGUAUGUGGUGCAUUGCGCUAUAAGAUCAGGCGCGAUGACCCUGGUGAUGUCGAGGGCGAGCGCCCCAGGAAGAAGAUUCCUACCAAGGUGAUGUGGUAUGCUCCUAUAAUACCAUGGUUGAAACGUUUGUUCCAAAAUAAAGAGCAUGCCAAGGCGAUGCGAUGGCACAUAGAAGACUGUAAGAAAGACGGAAAGUUGAUAGUACCCGCUGACGGGUCGUAGUGGAGAAAAAUUGAGAGAAAGUACGGGAAGGAGUUUGCAGAUGACGCAAGGAACGUAUGGUUUGGUCUAAGCGCAGAUGGCAUUAAUCCUUUUGGGGAGCAGAGCAGCGACCAUAGCACCUGGCCUGUGACUCUAUGUUUGUAUAACCUUCCUCCUUGGUUGUGCAUGAAGCGGAAGUUCAUUAUGAUGCCAGUGCUCAUCCAAGGCCCUAAGCAACCCGGCAACGACAUUGAUGUGUACCUAAGACCAUUAGUUGAAGAACUCUUACAGCUGUGGAAUGGAACAGGUGUACGUGCGUGGGAUGAGCACAUGGGGAAGAAUUUGACCUAAAGGCCUUGCUGUUUGUGACCAUCAAUGAUUGGCCUGCUCUCAGUAACCUUUCAGGACAGACAAACAAGGGAUACCGCGCAUGCACGCAUUGUUUGGAUGAUACCGACAGUAUAUAUUUGGACAAUUGUAGGAAGAAUGUGUACCUGGGACAUCGUCGAUUUCUUCCGAGCAGGCAUCCCGUAAGAAAGAAAGGCAAGCAUUUCAAAGGUGAGGCGGAUCACCGGACGAAGCCUCGCCACCGUACUGGUGCUGAUGUACAUGAUAUGGUCAAGGAUUUGAAGGUAGUCUUCGGAAAGGGUCCUGGCGGACAACCUGUUCCGAAUGACGCUGACGGACGCGCACCCAUGUGGAAGAAGAAAUCUUUAUUUUGGGACCUGCCCUAUUGGAAAGAUCUAGAGGUCCGCUCUGCAAUCGACGUGAUGCACGUGACGAAGAAUCUUUGCGUGACCCUGCUUGGCUUCUUGGGCGUGUAUGGGAAGACAAAAGAUACACCUAAGGCACGGGAGGACCAGCAACGUAUGCAUGGAAAAGACGGCAUACAUUAGGGUCAUGCCAGCUAUGCUCUUACCAAAGAAGAGAAGGAAAUCUUCUUUGAAUGCCUGCUCAGUAUUAAGGUACCGUCUGGCUUCUCGUCGAAUAUAAAGGGAAUAAUAAACAUGGCAGAGAAAAAGUUCCAGAACCUGAAGUCUCAUGACUGCCACGUGAUUAUGACGCAACUACUUCCGGUUGCAUUGAGGGGGCUUCUACCGGAUAACGUUCGAUUAGCCAUUGUGAAGCUAUGUGCAUUCCUCAAUGCAAUCUCUCAGAAGGUAAUCGAUCCAGAAAUCAUACCAAGGUUAGAGAAUGAUUUGGUGCAAUGUCUUGUCAGUUUCGAGUUGGUGUUCCCACCAUCCUUCUUCAACAUCAUGACGCACGUCCUAGUUCACCUAUGCGAAGAGAUUAACGUUUUGGGUCCUGUAUUUCUACACAAUAUGUUCCCCUUUGAGAGGUUCAUGGGAGUCUUAAAGAAAUAUGUUCAUAACCGUGCUAGGCCAGAAGGAAGCAUCUCCAAGGGCCAUGAAAAUGAGGAGGUCAUUGAGUUUUGUAUUGACUUUAUUCCUGACCUUAAGCCGAUUGGUGUUCCUGAAUCGCGGCAUAAGUGCAGACUAGAUGGAAAAGGCACGCUAGGAGGGAAUAAAAAAAUAUGUAUGGACGGACAUUCUCUCACUGAAGCACACUACACAGUUAUACAGAAUUCCGCCUUGGUGGCUCCGUAUAUGGACGAACACAAGAAUUUGCUACGCUCCAAACACCCGGAGCGGUCUGAUGACUGGAUUACACGUGAACAAACAAGGAGUUUUGCCGGCUAGUUGCAGACAUGUAUCAUGCAUGACGCCUCUAUUGAAGAUGACCUGUACUCGCUGUCCCAGUUACCAUCUUCGAAUAUAAUGACUUUCAAAGGGUACGAGAUAAAUGGUAAUACAUUUUACACGAUCGCCCAAGAUAAGAAGAGCACCAACCAAAACAGUGGUGUCCGCUUUGAUGCAACAACCAAGACGGGAAAGGAAACAUAUUAUGGUUACAUAGAGGAGAUAUGGGAACUUGACUAUGGACGUGGUUUGAAGGUCCCUUUGUUUCGGUGCAAAUGGGUCAAUAUGACACGAUAUGGGGUAACGGAAGACCCGCAGUAUGGAAUGACAACAAUGGAUCUCAACAAUCUUGCGUAUGCAGACGAACCAUUCGUCCUAGCUAAUGAUGUGGCACAGGUUUUCUAUGUGAAGGAUAUGUCUACCAAGCCGAGAAAAAGAAAAGAUAAGGAAGCGAAUGCAUCAUACGAAGAGUCAAAGCGCCACAUAGUUCUUUCUGGGAAGAGAAACAUCGUGAGAGUGGAUGACAAGACAGACAUGUCAGAAGAUUAUGAAAAGUUUGAUGAAAUUGCUCCAUUCACAGUGAAUAUUGACCCGAGCAUCCAGUUAAAUGAUGAAGAUUUUCCAUGGCUACGGCGCAAAGGGACACACGCGAAGAAAAAGUUUCACACCCAAAGAUCUGGGAAGUGACCGGCUUCACUAUCAUCACUUUCUUCUGUGUUUCACACCCAGGAGGGAAUCUCUGUAAUAGUUAGGGUAGUUAUGUGUUUUGGCAUUUGAAACGCGAACAAAUUCUUUCAUGCAUUUACUGAUUUUUUCAGCUAAAUGACCCUGAAAUUGAAAAGCAUUUCAAAUGAACUCAGAAAAGUUUGAAAGUUGGCAUUGUAUCAUAAUUUCACCCACAUAGCAUGUGCAAAAAAGUAGAGAGGGUUACCGCAAAAAAUGGAUGCACUUCGUGUACAAAAUGGACAAUCUCUUUCGAAGUAUCAGGGUUUCGGAGGAAAACUCAUCCGUUACAAAGGUAUUUCAUUUUUUAAAUCACCUAAGCAUUACCAAAUUGAAUAUAAUGAUAAAACACACUAAUAUUAAACAUAAGAAAAAAGAAUCACUGGAAAAUCUAUUUUCAAAGUUAGGUUAUUCACAAACUAGUGAUUCACACAAAUUUCAAAUAAUUCAAAAUGUAAGCUAUUCAAAUUUGUAAACUACCGGCACUAAUAGAAAGUUUGUAAUUUUUUGUACCUAAAGCAAAAAUAUUCACAAAGAAACUCUAAAUACAGCAAAAAACAACUCAAAAAUAAAUAAAACAAAAAUAAAGAAAGCAAAAAAAUAAGAAAAUAAAAAAUCCCGCCUACUGGGCCAAAGCGGCCUGCAUACGACUAGAAACCCAACCUGUUGUUGGGCCAGGAUGCAGGCCCGCAAAGGCCCAGUAGGCCCAUAGGGCAGCACAGAACAUUUAGGCCCAGUAGGGCUGCUUUGGAGAGGAGCUCGAGAGUGCUACCGCACUGGGGCUUAUAAACCAGUGCGGGCGCCCCUCGGCUAGCAAGGUGGGACUAAACUUGCCGCACCGCACCUGCGCCAGGGCACCCCCUUUAGUACCGGGUGGUGGCUCCAACCGGUACUAAAGGGCGGCCUUUAGUACCGGUUGCAGCCACCACCCGGUACUAAAGGGGUGCGCUUCCCGCCGCUUGGCCUGGCCAAAAUCGACCUUUAGUACCGGUUGGAGGGCUCCAACCGGUACUAAAGGCCCCUCCUAUAUAAACAACACUUACGAAAAUUUCGUCAGUUUCCUCCGACUUCUCUCUGCUUCAUCGCCGCCGCCCCGUCCCGCGCCGUCGCGNNNNNNNNNNNNNNNNNNNNNNNNNNNNNNNNNNNNNNNNNNNNNNNNNNNNNNNNNNNNNNNNNNNNNNNNNNNNNNNNNNNNNNNNNNNNNNNNNNNNNNNNNNNNNNNNNNNNNNNNNNNNNNNNNNNNNNNNNNNNNNNNNNNNNNNNNNNNNNNNNNNNNNNNNNNNNNNNNNNNNNNNNNNNNNNNNNNNNNNNNNNNNNNNNNNNNNNNNNNNNNNNNNNNNNNNNNNNNNNNNNNNNNNNNNNNNNNNNNNNNNNNNNNNNNNNNNNNNNNNNNNNNNNNNNNNNNNNNNNNNNNNNNNNNNNNNNNNNNNNNNNNNNNNNNNNNNNNNNNNNNNNNNNNNNNNNNNNNNNNNNNNNNNNNNNNNNNNNNNNNNNNNNNNNNNNNNNNNNNNNNNNNNNNNNNNNNNNNNNNNNNNNNNNNNNNNNNNNNNNNNNNNNNNNNNNNNNNNNNNNNNNNNNNNNNNNNNNNNNCGUCCCCGUCCCCGCACCGGCCCGCGUCGCCGUCGCCGUCGCCUCGACCUCGCCCGCGCUGUGAGCCUCUGUCCCCCCUCUCCUCUCCCGCCAAUCGAAGCCACCGCGCGCGCCGCCGGCGCCGUCGCCUUGGCUCGCUGUCGCCGUCGCCUGCACACACAACACAUACACACACAUACACACACACACACACACCAUACACACACAUACACAAUUUUUGUUCUGUUUUUAGUUUUUAGUUUUUAGUUUUUCUGUUAUUAGUUAUUAGUUUUUAGUUUUUUUAGUUUGUCUGUAUUAAUGUUAUAGAAAUGUUAGUUAUAUAUAGAAAUGUUAGUUUUUUCUGUAUUAAUGUUAUAGAAAUGUUUGUUAUAUAGAAAUGUUAAAGAAAAUUAGUUAUACAAUUUUUGUUAUAGAAAUGUUAGAAAUGUUAGUUUUAGAUAUGGUCGAUGUUUUUUUAGUUUAUUACAUUUUUAGUUAUAAAAUUUAGAAUUUGCAUAUAAGAAACCACAAUCCAAUCAUUUAAAAAAUGUUACUUUACUUUUGCGGCAUAUAGUAUUUGUUGUCGAUGAUGCCCGGCCCGCAUCCUCGCCGUCGACCCGUUCGCGACGAAGCCCUGCUUCAAAGGACCCAUGUCCGGGAUUGGGCUCCGCCGGGCUGGCACUGGGAGGUGCUACCUGGAGGGGCGCGACGCUUGGUGAAGAACCCGGCCUCGGGUCCCGUCGUCGACCCUGAUCUCCUUUGGUGGUGUUUGCGUGGGCCACAUUCGGUGCAGAGGGAGCCGGCCCCGCCGGAGGUGGUGCGUCGUCGUGUCAGGGAGGAGGACGAGCACGUCCAUCGCUACAUGGCUGCUAUGGACAUCAGGUUCUCCAAUAGCUGGCAGGUUCUUUGGGCAGAUGACCGGAGAUAUGAUCCUGUGAUGGUUCCUUGUCUUUGGGUGUCCACCGCCCGCGCCCCAGGAACCGCGAGUGGCCUAGAUUCUUCUAUAGUAUUCGAUCUUUAUUAGCUACCUAGCUAGUGAUGCAUUCGAGAUUAUAUAUUAUUCGAGACGAUGUAUUCGAGAUUAUAUAUUAUUCGAGACGAUGUAUUCGAGAUUAUAUAUUAUUCGAGACGAUGCAUAUUAUGUACUAUAUGAUUCAGUUUUCCUUAUUGAUUGCAUCCAUGCAUUGUAAUUUGAAUACUAAAUUGUUUUAUAUUUCUUCGGUAUUAGUUAAAUAAAAGCUAUGGCGGACAAUACCGGCAGAGAGGGAGAAGAGGCCCUAUUCGAGAUCAUACGCAGCCCUAGCAGCCCAGAUGAUCUGAAUGAAGCAAAUGACGGCUCCCAAUAUCUGAACAAUACCGGGGAGGGUGAUGAUAAGAUAUUCGAUCUCGACGACAGAGCUGAUGAAGUCAUGAACUAUGAUUAUGAUUAUAAUGACGCAGACAAUGAUUAUGAUGACGAAUACAAUGUUGAUCUUGAAAUAACAAAGACUACCGGCGAGGUAUAUUUAUAUAAGCAGGCAUCUAGUGAUCAUCACAUGUUUUUUUAUUUGAAGAUAUAUUAACGAAUCGAUCUUCCUUCUUUCAGCCCUCCGGAUCGAGCAAAUCUGCUUCUACAGACAGCGGGACAAAGCGCGGCCCGGGCAAAAAGUUGAAGGAGGGUGUAAAGUACAACAUCGAUUCCAUCAAAGCUAGUGGCGAACCCCUCACACCUAAGAACAUUGCGAACAAGUUCGUUCGUCAGUGCGGAGUUCUUGUGAAGGACCAACUCCCGAUCUCCAUUCAAGAAUGGAAAGAGCCAAAAACUAAACACCCAGAUGUUACUUGGGUCGACGACAGAGCAAAACAAAAGCUUUGGGAAUCUCCGAUGGAACAUUUCACCCUACCAGACUAUUUCACUGAUGCAGAUGUGCAGAAAGUGAAGGACGCUGCUCUUUAGAAGAUGGCAAUUGCAUUCAACACCCACAAGAAAACUGUAUGGGCCAACUACCUCGCUGCAGAAAGGAAGACUCCAGAAUUCAAGGGAACACUGGAGAAGCAAAGAGAACACUGGCCCGCUUUCGUGAAAUUCAAGGAAUCAGGAUUAUCUAAGGAACGAUCGAGAAAAAACAAGGCCAAUGCUGCAAAAAAGACGCAGUUCCAUAGGCUAGGUCCAGGUGGCUACGCAGUGGCAAUGCCUAAGUGGGAUAAGUCUGAGCAAGAGAUGGAGGAUGCAGGGGUCACUUCGGUUACUAGGAGCUGGCCCCCCAGGUGCAGAACUUGGUUCUAUGCGCAUGGGGGGCAUUGGACCCGAAGACAGGCCUGGUUUUGAAGAAGGCAAGUCUAAAAGGAGCAGAACAAAAGUUACUUGACGCAAUAGAAGAAGCUCGAAAGGGGGUGUUCAUGCCCAACAGAGAGAACGACGAGCUUACGCGCGCCCUGGGAAAUCCUGAACACCCGGGAAGAACACGAGGCAAGGACAUUAUUCCCUGGUAUGAGGGCUUUUGGGAAUGGAACGACGACUACAGGACCCGUGCAAGAAAGAAGAUGGAGGAGGAGAAGAGGAGGAAGCUGGAGGAGGAGCAGAGGAAGCAGGACGCGAAACGCCUUCAAGGCCUAGAAGCAAGGCACGCGGACUUGGCACUCAAAUUCCAGCAGCAACAACAGCAGAUCGACUCACUUAGCCAGGAAAGGGGGUCUCAGCAGCGGCAGCAGCAAGCGGAUGAUGAUCCAGCAUUGGAUAGCACCGUCCCAUCCAUGCCGAGAAGCAGCGUUGGUUCCGCCCUGGGCGACGCACUGCUGGAUACAUACCCUGUGGAUGACAACAUAGAGAACACUAACUGUGAGCUACACUUCAAAAUGAAGAACAUAUCCAUGAAGGUGGCGGACACCGUUGCUUUCACAAUUACCCCCGAAGCAACCUUCCAUUGCGCCCUGAUUCCAGAGGGAUAUGCUCGUGUCUUGGUUGAUGAGGUGGUGGACCCAUAUUCGGGGCUAGAUCUUGACAUUCCUGGAGGUGACGACGAGCACACACUGGGAGAGGCCAUACAUCGUAUCAUCCUAUGGAGAAAGGAUUGCAUCAUCUUUCGAAGGCCACCGACACCGCGUCUGCCGACUCCUCCUCGAAGUCUGCCACCGUGUCAGCAGACUCCCGCUCCUCCAAGUCCACGAACGCGUGAGCAGACUCCUGCUUCAAGUCCGGCACAACGUCAGGCCACUCCUCCUGUUUCAAGUCUGACACCGUGUCAGGCCACACCUCCUGCUUCAAGUCCGGCACAGCGUCAGGCCACACCUCCUGCUUCAAGUCCGACACCGGUUCAGGCCACACCUCCUGCUUCAAGUCUGGCACAGCGUCAGGCCACUCCUCCUGCUCCAACUAAGCCACAUCAGCCUUCUCCGCCGCCCAAGCAAUCGCAGAAGAGACACGCUGCAGCUAUGGUGCGUAGCGGUACGAGUCGAGGUAGUACAGAAAGUACAGGCGGAGACAAGCGAUAUAAAUAUGGUCCAAGCAGCCUCGCUCCUCUUCCUCAGAGGCCUUACGACAUGACCUAGGAGCAAAACGAUGCAAUAGUGCGGGCCGAAGUGGACGCUCAUUUUCGACCGAAAUCGGCAACGCCGCCGAGGGAGAAAGUGCCUGAGGAAAAGAUUGACCACUUCAUUCGUGUGGCUAGACGACCAGCUCCCAAGCCUGUUGACUCAGACUAUGAGCGCCAAAUCAGGAAGGCACAUCGAGCACGACUACAGAAAGAAGCGAGCUCGAGCUUGAGCCAACAAGCAGCUGUCAAAAAAUGCGGGAAAACCGUUCCCCAGCUGGGAGAACAGGCGGCGCAAUCGACCCCCCAGCUUGUUGUGCCAACAACACAUGAGAGUACGCGCGCCCAAUAUUAUUGUGGGCAAACCGUUUACGUUCCCGAGCUGGGCGAUGUGGUAAUAACCGAGGAGCAUAUAAUGCAGGCUGAAAUGCUCAAGAUCACUAUUGGACAACUCCUCGAGAUCGAGCCCAUGUCUCCGCUUAGAGAGGAGGAAAUAAAACGGAAAUAUGUCCGGGGCCAACCUCUUGUCGAGCCAGACGAGGUCAAGAACCUCCCAAUGAGAAUGUAUGAAUUGCAUCAGUGGUACAUGAACAUUACCAAGAUUUCCAAUCGAGGGUCCCUCAUGGUGAAUGUCAAGGAGGAGCAUUACUUCCAUGAGAAAGCUGUGUCCGUUGAGUAUUCAGAACUAUUUCAGUUAUUCAAUCAAGAUGCACUCGACAAAUCUAUCGUUAGUUGCUAUUGUCUGUAAGUGAUUUCUUUCUGUAAUUUAAGUCUCAAGCUAGCUCUAGUGCUCAUUGAUUGAUCAUUAAUUACCUAUAAUUAUAUAUCCUCACUAUAUAUUCUUUUCUGUGGUAUUAUGCAGGAUGAAGAUGUAUGAAAUGAUAAAAGCUGGACGCUAUGGCAUUGGGUUCAUUGACCCAAAUACAGUUAAUGAAUACACAUGGAAAUUGGAAUGGUGUAGACAAGAUAUAGAGAAAUGCAUGCUAGAGUUCUUGAAGCGCCUCAAUAGCAAUGAAGAUAUACUACUUCCUUACAACUUCGAGUGAGUCACACUGUCUUGUACUACAAAUUCUGUUUUUGCUUACUAGCUAGAUGUUAAUAAGUGUAUAGGUUUUAGGGUUAUAGUUGAUUGGUGUUAUGCACAUGCCCGCUUAAUUUAUACAUGCAAACGUACGCGCAUCCAGCAUCCACUGGAUCUUGUUAGACAUUAAAGUUGACGAAGGAAAAGUUGAAGUACUGGACUCACUACUUAAAAAAGAUAGUGACUACAACAUCGUGAAGGGGAUAGUCGACAGGUUAUUUCAAUCAUUAUUAACUAUUUCUCGGCCUAUUUAGUUCGUCAUUUCCUGAUAUGAACUAUUUUUAAUAACCCCUUUAUUAAUUUUCUUUGCCGGCGGGCAGGGCUUGGGCAAAGUACAUCAAGGUGACUCCAGGAAAAUGGCGACAAAAGCUAUGUUAGUAUCGACCCAAGGUAAGUAAUUAAGUAGUACUAGCUAGCUAGCUACCAUCUCUUUAAUUCUUGAUUCAAUACCAUUAAUUAAUUAACAUGCUUGAUUAAUAAUUAUCUGAUUAAAUUCUAUUCUCAUAAAGGCCCUGAAGCAUGCGCCGGGGACUGAAGUGUGUGCAUACUACGUUUGCGAGAACAUUCGCAUGAUGGCGUCUGAAAGGAGCAGAUCUGAUAGACAGGACUGGGUACGUUUGCCAGAACACUAUUCACAAAUCUUACAUGAUUGUGGAUAUCUAGUCACACAACUAAUACACAUGCAUAUUGAUCUCCUUCUUAACAGUUCAAAGAGGUGCGGGACCAGCUCCUAUCAACAGAGCGCAUACGAGCACUUCAAGAGGAAAUAGCGGGAUUUUUGCUCGACCAGGUCAUAGAUCCCAAAGGAGAAUACUAUUACCCGCUACCGCCCCCAUGAACCACUUGUCGUCGUGCUCCGAAGGCACCAAGGCAACAUGUAGGAGAAAUUGUAUAUAUAUACAUGUGUACGUGUGAAUAAUUAAUGAUGGUUGUGAGACAUUCGAUUAUAUAUAUAUAUGAUCGGUUCUACGAGAAAAUCUAUUUAUAUAUAUGCAUAACAUGUACAAUAUGUAGUAUGGUAAAAUACCAGCAAACAAAAAAGAAUUAAAUGGAAAACACAAAAUUAAUGGAAAAAUAAAAAUUAAAACCAAAACCCCCCCAAACAUUUAGUACCGGUUGGUGCUACCAACCGGUACUAAUGGUCUACCAGCACCCGGGCUUGGCUUGUGCCACGUGGUGGCACUUUAGCGCCGGUUCGUGUCGAACCGGUAGUAAAGGGCGGGGGCCUUUAGUCUCCACUCUUUAGUGCCGGUUGCAGAACCGGCACUAAAGGCCCUUACGAACCGGCGCUAAAGCCCGGUUCUGCACUAGUGGUGCUUCAAAGCUUGUCGGCGUCGGAGUGUCACUGCUGAAAAACGUCCCGCGUUACUGCAAGCCAAACCCGGGGAUGAACGCAUCUACUACAAACUGACAUCUUGGACGGUGACGCUGCCAAGCGACCACAUGCUGCUGCUAGCCGACGCUGGGGCCUCCGCUGCUACAAAGCGACCAAACGGUACGAGAAACGAACGAAUGUGCUGCAAAGUGAGCGGACGGUUCUGAGCUACACCGAUUGGUAUUCAAAGCUUCCACCGAAGCUAGCAAAGAAAAGUUCAGAUAUGAGGAGAUAAAAAUAGGAAGGAGAAGGCCCCCACCUCUGGUGGAUGAGUUGUUUUUGGAGGACACUGACGGUGGCAUGCACGGUUCGCCGAGGGAUCGGGUCGACGUUGGCGCUUAUGACUUGGGCCAACAAAGCCCCUACUGGUAGCCAUCAUGGAGCUCUAUGCCGGCGUUAGUGCUUUGGUAUCUUGCGGCGACGGCCUAAUAAGGCUUGACCAGCGAAGGUGUAGUAUGGCUUGUUUGGCUGCCUUCACGUUGGCCAACUAGAGUUGUUUCGAUUAAACUUCGAUGCAAUUAUUUUAUUACCUAUGGUUAAUGAGGCUGAAAGGAUACAAUAGUAUCGGCCAAUCUGCCUCCUUAAUGUCAGAUUUAAAAUCUUCACGAAGGUUGCGACGAUUAGACUACAUUCGGUUGCUAAACAUGUGGUUCGUCCUUCUCAAACUGCUUUCAUGCAAGGCAGAAACAUCCUAGAUGGGGUUGUUGUCCUUCAUGAUACAGUCCACGAAUUGCAUCGGAAAAAACUGAAUGGGGUAGUUCUAAAAAUCGACUUUGAAAAAGCUUAUGACAAAGUCAAGUGGUCUGUUCUUCAACAGACUCUCAGAAUGAAAGGAUUUUCUGCAGAGUAGCACGCAAUGAUCCAUAGCUUUGUGACAGAAGGUAGUGUUGCCAUUAAAGUCAAUGAUGACAUUGGUAACUAUUUUCAAGCGAAGAAAGGAUUGCGACAAGGUGACCCAGCAUCGCCCAUGCUAUUCAAUAUAGUAGCAGAUAUGCUAGUGGUCAUGAUUGAGCGUGCCAAGUUGAUGGCCAAAUUGAUGGGGUGGUGAAUCAUCUAGUUGAUGGUGGUCUCUCUAUCCUUGAAUAUGCUGACGAUACAAUUCUCUUUAUGAAUCAUGACCUACAGAAAGCAAGAAAUCUGAAAUUAAUUUUAUCAGCAUUUGAGCAACUCUCAGGGCUUAAGAUCAAUUUCCAUAAAAGUGAAUUGUUUUGUUUUGGCGAGGCUCAAGACGAGGCCCACCUAUAUGCUGACCUAUUCGGAUGCGGGUUGGGCUAGUAUCCGAUCACUUAUUUGGGGAUACCGAUACAUUAUCGGAGACUCACAAAUGCUGAAUGGAAAUACGUCGAGGAGAGACUACAAAAAGACUUAGCAGUUGGAAAGGUAAACUGCUAUCUCUGGGUGGAAGGUUGGUCCUCAUAAAUUCAGUACUAUGUAAUAUGGCACUAUAUAUGAUUUCCUUCUUCCAGUUGCCGAAAGGAGUAUUACAUAGAUUGGAUUACUUCCGAUCGAGAUUCUUUUGGCAAGGAGAUAGCGAAAGAAAGAAAUAUCGGCUGGCUAAAUGGAGUGUGGUUUGCCGUCCCAAGGACCAAGGCGGGUUGGGCAUUCAUGACCUUGAGGUUAAGAAUAGGGCCCUUCUUGGCAAAUGGUUGUUUAAGUUAUUGACGGGAGAUGGUGUGUGGCAAACCCUCCUUAGAAGAAAAUAUGUGAGUUCAAAGGAGGUAUCACAAGUAUACUGGAAGUCUGGGGACUCCCAUUUUUGGGCGGUACUAAUGGUAACGAAGAAAUAUUUCUUUCGCUAUGGUUCCUUCUUGAUUAAGGAUGGCUCAGAAAUUAGAUUUUGGGAGGAUAAGUGGCUAGGUAAUGCUACACUCCGUGAACAAUAUCCAGCUCUAUACAAUAUUGUGUGUCACAAGGGUGAUACUAUCGCCAAGGUUUUCGAAUCAUUUCUGCCAAAUGUGAUGUUCAGAAGGGAUUUAAUUGGACCUAGACUCCAAUCGUGGAACAUACUACUCCAGCGGUUAGCCACGGUACAGUUGUCACAAGGGUCCGACAUAUUUCGUUGGAACCUACAUGGGAAUGGGAAAUUCUCAGUGGAUUCUAUGUAUAGAGCUUUGAUCCAGUCUGACGUGCCAGUUGAUAAUAAUAAGAAGAUCUGGAAGAUGAAGAUACCUCUUAAGAAUAAAAUCUUUGCAUGGCAUCUUCGUCGCGGAGUCAUUCUUACUAAAGAUAACCUUAUUAAGAGGAAUUGGCAUGGAAGUACACAAUCUGUCUUUUGUCCGCAUGAUGAGACAAUAAAACAUUUAUUCUUCCAAUGUAAAUUGGCUCGUUCUAUAUGGUCAGUCAUCCAAAUAGCGUCUGGCUUGUAUCCUCCUUGUAGUGUUGCUAAUAUAUUUGGCAACUGGCUACAUGGGAUUGAUCACAAGUUUAGAAUUCUUAUCAGGGUGGGAGCGCUUGCCGUGAUUUGGUCGCUUUGGCUAUGUAGAAAUGAUAAGGUUUUUAGUGAUAAAAGUAUUUCUCUUAUGCAGGUUAUCUACAGAUGUAACGAGACUCUUCAUUUAUGGUCCUCUCUACAUCGAGUGGAGAAUCGAGACCUGUUUAUGGAGGUGUGUACACGGUUGGAGGCUACGGCGAGGAAUAUUUUUAUCCAACGUGGGUGGCAGCAUGAUCUUAGGAUUGGGCCACCUUCAGUUUAGGCGUUAUACAUAAUACAUUUUCCUUGUAUAUUGCCUUUUUCUUUUAUUUUGGCUUGGUGUGAGGACUUUGUUGGCUCUGCAUCUUAGUUAUGCAGAGGCCGGGUGUAAUGCUUAAACCUUUUAAGUAAUAAAGCGCCCCUUUUUAAAAAAAUAGUGUGGGGAGAGACACAUAUAAAGCGAGAAGUAGAAGAAUCAAGAAGACCACGGUGGGGAUUUACUUACCAUCGUUGAAAUUUAAUGAUAGAGGGGAGAUGAAGGAACCGUCCAACAAACCAAUCAAAGUGGCACUAAAAUGAUGAGGCAGAAGAGAUAAAAACUCCUCGAGAAAAAGGGUGAAAAUACUCUUUUUCUUCUAAUGGAACUAAAAGUUUUAACUUUUGAUUGGAAUGUCGCAUGUGAGAGAGGAGUCUGUUGGUGUUCACGGCUCGAAACGAAAUGAUGAUGGGCAGUGCCAUGCAUGUGUAGAGUUGACCGAUUGAAUGCUUUUUGGAAACUAAAUGCUGACGUGGCAUCAUAUUGACGUGAACAGCUUGCAUGUUAAGAUAAAUCAAGUAGUGGGGAUGAAGUUCUUACGUAGUAUAUAGAAUAAGGAUCUCUUUAAGAAAGAAGUUAGAAAUGGUUUUAGUCUAAGUACUGAUUUCUUCUCUCCUACAGAGAAGGUCUCGGAAAAUGAUAAUGCAUCCUUACAAGCGAAAACUUGCUUCUGUGCACGGCGUCCACUCGUGUGCAUAUCCGGAGCAUGCGUGUUCAUAUAGAUCAGCGAACUGCAUUUAAGGCUGGUAGUAUAUCGAACAAUUCUUUUGCGUACACGACCAAGUAUUCCCUCAAGUGUAGCGAUGUAGUGGCACUGUUGUAUUUGCGAACCAACGUGUGGUUGUAUGGUUAGAGGGAUUGUGGUAUCUCUAGCCCACCAGCAUUCAAGUCCUGGUGAUAUGGUUAGAGGGAUUGUGGUAUCUCUAGCCCACCAGCAUUCAAGUCCUGGUGAUCGCAUUUAUUUCUGGAUUUAUUUCAGGAUUUCCGGCGAUGCGCAUUCAGUGCAAGGAGACGUUCCUGUUGAUGACGAGGUGCCUACAUUGACUUCGUAAAUUUCAAGAUGAUAUGCCGCUCAGUCUUUUGGAGGUGCUCAUAGGUGUAGGGUACGCGUGCGAGCGUUCAUAGGGGUGAGUGUAUGCACAUGUAUAUGAGCGCUUGCAUCUGUACUGUGUUAAAGAAAAAGCCUCUGUUGUAUUUUAUAUCCGGUGCCGACAUGUGGUUAGUCAGAUGCUGGUCACAGAAAGAUCAUCCAAGCACAACAUGUACCAACGAGGUCGAUUUCAAAUAUUUACAACACUUUCCACACGCUCCAUACUCAGAUGACUUGUACUUGGUGCAUCAAUUUCAAAAUAUUUAUAACACUUUUUCCAUGUGUUUUUAAGUGUGUUCAUCAUUCCCCUAUGUUUUAAGGCCAAACUUUUAAUCAAGAGAAAUAAAAUAGACACAAAAUUCAUGGAAGGAUAAUCACCUAGUUCCGACAAACUGCCCACUAAGUACCAUAAUAAACCAGACAUAAAGCAAUUAGCACAACACAAAACAUGACUAAAUAUGGGUUUCAAUAGUUUGAAGCUAUCAACUCUUCUAGUCUUAAAUAUACAAGCCCUCUAGGACGAUGUCAACACUCCAUUGGCCAUUUUGCAUGUUCUUAGGACGAUAAGUUUAUAUCGGCCAUUGCUUGUGUGAAUAUUCUGAUGCAAGCUUGGGUGAAAACUUGUCAACUUCUAUAACAAUCCGGUGAUACGGUUCCAUAGAUCAAAACCAUCCUCCGAACCAUAUUGUUCACCCUUUCGCUAGGAUUUUGCAGAUAAUCAAGAAUGAACUUCCUCCAAUCCUUGUUUCACCUGCAUAAAAGUUUCAUUAGUGGCCGAGGUGGUGAGCUCCAUUUCAGCCUUACCUAUGUUGGCAAGAAUAAGCAUAGGCUAUUGAUAGAUGUGCAAUACACCAUGACCAACAUGGUAGCCGAAUGCUUGCUGUGCCAACUCUCUCCAAUUGUCAUGUCUAGAUAUAUGAAGAAUAUUAAAACUACCCAAGGUAAAUUUUACGUCUAGACAUACCUCAAGAUAAACUAAAAGUGAUUCAUCAAAACAUUGAUAACCAUUGGAUAUUUGUUGCACUACUAAUAAUGAAUCACCGAAAGUCUCAAUAUGUAUAGCACCUAUAUAUAGCAAGGAAAAACUCCAAUCCGAAUAACAAUGCAUAUUCGGCUUUGAUCAUUUGUGCAUAAAUAUUUUAAGCGGCAUGAGGCUUCACAAAAUAACACCGUAAGGAGAUAUAUAUACAACACCAACACCUUGGCCAUUGCUACAAAUUAAACCAUCAAUAUAUAAUCUCCAUGGUACUAGAGAGAUAAAGCUGAAAUCAACAUUAUGCAUGAUGUCAAUAUGAUGCUCAGUAAUAUAAUCAACCAUGAUUUGGCCUUACGUAAAUUUUGAAAACUAAUAAGCCAAAGCACAGCCAAUCAAAACAUACCUUCAAUGGCAUCAAUUUGACAAACUCCUUUGCAAGCACUUAUCUCAAUCUCUACUCAAACUAAGGACGAUGUUAGAGUACCACACCGGCCAUUCUUAGAUAUAUUCUUAGGGCCAUAGAUAAGUAUCAGCCAUUACCAUGAGGUCCAUGUAGAAUUCACCCACCAAAGUAUGUAUAGCCGAAAUAAACAAAUGAAAUAGCAAUAAAAUAUUUUGGCCUGUUUGUGUUAGCAACAAAAAUAUAACUAACAACAUGUAUAGUGAUUUGGUAAUACCCUGUUAUGAUAUAGAAAAUUAUGUUGCACCCAUGGAUCAAUAUAAAUCCAUGGAGGGUAAUUGAUCGUACCAAUGGAUGAAUUCCAUGGCAAAGGCAUCAAUGGCAUUCUUGAAGAAAAUAGUGAUGUGCUAAUCGAAGAUUUUGAUGUUGUGAUGCACACCUUGGGCUUAAUUGUUUGUUGCUUCCAUUCUUCGCUUUCUUCACUUUUAUUGUAUUUGUUGCAAUAGAAGCUUGCACAUCAUUUUUGUUAUGAUUGAUCCUCACUACAAGAAAUAUGUCAACUUGUGAUCCUCACUAUUGGCCGCUGAAAGGUCAUUGUUUUUCAUUUGCGACAUUUUUUUGACCAAAAACAGAAGGUCAAAAGCUGGCAGUCGUAAACUGAAAUUAACGACCUUCUGUAAAAGGUCGUUGGAUCUUCGACCAAAAUUUUGGUCACUAGCAGCCUCCCCAAGCCCAGUCCAAUUAGGUGUCUAUAUGGGCCAAGCCCAUUAAUUCAGCCUAUUUAUUGUUUUUUCCUUUCAUUUUUUGUCAGCUACAUGGGCCAAGCCCAAUAGCCAUUUAUUUUUUGGGCCAGUCUUUUACAGUAUACAUUUUUUUGGGCCUCAACAUUUUUCCAGCCCACUUGCCAGUUUUCUUUUAUUUCUUUUUCAUUUUAAAGUAGGUUGCCAGGAUCACUCUUUCUGUACCACACGUUAGUUCUAUAUUUGUGCAUAAUAUUGGAUUCAAAAAGAACCAAUAAGGCAUAUAAUUUCAUACAACAGCCAAGCAAAGAAAUUACAAUGAUACAGAUAUACAGAUAACUAGUCCAGUGAGCUAAAACGCAUUGCUGGUAACAAUACAAAUAUGGUUUUCAGGUAAAAUACAAAUCUGGUAACAGUGAGAUAAUAGUACAAAUAUGGUAUUUAACUAAAAUACAACUAGAUAAAUAGAUAACUAGUCGAGUGAGCUAAAACGCAUUGCUGGGUGUGGGUUUUCUUCAGGAUUCUUCUUCCUAGAGCUCCAACUUCUAAAGACUGAAGGCCAGCAUCUGCAAAUAAUAAAUUAUGAUAAGUUAGAAACAUAAUCAGGUGAAUCCAUGAAUAUAAAAUUCUCAUAACGAUGAAAAAUUGCUGCAAAACUUUGGAUUUAACAGGAAACAAUGCAUAUAACAUUCUCAUAAUAGCGAAAACAGAGAUAUAUUUUGCAAAUGAUAAGUACGAGCACAACAGAUGGACAGUACAAGCUACAAGCAAAUGAUUUUCCACUUUAGAACAGGGCACAUGCAUCAAUGUUUAUAGUCAGGAACAAAGAAGACAAUGUUGGAAGAGGCCAAAGAGAUGAAAUACCCUGGGGCGGCCGAAGAUGGUGAAAUGAUGGUCUGCUUGUUCUUAGACAGCUCAAGGAGCACCUGAUAUCAAAAAAUAGGCAUUUAAAGGGGAAAAAUAGCCUGAUUGUAGGCUCCAAUCAGCCUGCAUACAACAAGUAAUAAAACUGUUAGGAGAGAAUAUACAGUUACCAGCAGCAUGUAUAAAACAACUUUGAUGAUGUAAUAUUUAUUAAAUAUGACAGGUCAGGUUUCAAGUAUAAACGACUAAUGGAGCAUGCAACAAAUGUAUUUGAUACCAACUUAACUAAUUCCACAUGAAUAUUGUACGUUCCAAUAUACACAAUCACUCCAAGAUUAAGCUUAUUCAGCCAAUAAAAUAAAGAGUUUCACCACCAUAAUGGACCAAUGGGUACAAAUCGACCCAAAAAAUCCCAGAGAAGCUAAAGCACAAAAAUAAUCAACACUCCCUAGAAGCAUGCUGAAUUAAUCAUUUAAUCCCAACAUCUAGGUACCACAGAACAUAACAUCACACAAUUAAAGAAGAAUGUUCAACAGUUCAAGACAUUCACGAAAAUAAAUAAGAACGAGAUUGCACAGGCGAACUUGUACUAUGCAUAAAUGGCAAUCUAACUCGAAACAAGGAACAAAUUUUCCCCAUGCAUGUCCCUGUACAGCCUACACAGCAAUUCUGCAUAUGCUUCAAGAGGGUGGACAAAUCCAGCUUGAUUUGGUACAUCAACCCAUAUAGACGCAUAUCAUGUUGAAUAAGAAAAGCAUGCAUGGUACACUCAUCCUAAUCAACGUGGUAGUAGCACAUUCUCAUAUGAAUGGAACAAGCAGUCGCACAGCUUGAUGAAUGGAUUAAAACUGAGACGUUUAAUUAUUUGCAGAAUUGAAAUUGUUCAAAACAUGCAGUUGUACUAUCGGAAGUGUAUCUCCAUCAGACCUUAGCAAUCACAAAUGAGAAAUGCAGAAGUAAAACGAAUGUAAUAUUCUGGGUCAACAUCUUAAUUUUAAUGAACAUCAUAUUAUAUUCAUAUGAAAUCACGUAGAUAAAGAAGAAGCAAAGGCAUACAACUUCAUUUAUUAACUAGCACUGCCCUUUCUAUUAGCAGAAAAGAGAAUUCAUGAAUGAAAGAUAACCAACAACAAACAAAAACUCUACAGCUUAAAUGACAUCAGAUGACACAUCGCUGAACACUCAACAGUUGGAACUGGUGAAAAAUAUUGACAGCGCGAGCGCAAUAGACUGCAGAAUGUAGAUGAUAUGUCAGAACAAGUAAAAUUAAAUGCUCACUGCACAUCAACAUCACAAGUCAUAACAGAUAAGACAAGAACACUGAACUUGCCCAAGUUGCAGGCUAUACUGAUCUUUACGGUGUAGAUAAACUAAAGAACUGACAAAGAUUUAACCAAUCCAGAGUGUCAAAUCCCUAAUCCAACACCCCCGCUAUGCUACAAUACACCAGAAUGCAGUCGCCAGGCCGAUCAGGGAAUCGAAACUAGCGAUUGGGACCAACAUACAGAUCGGGAGAGGGUGGGGUUAGGGCGCCCUCGUUGGAUACCUUGGGAGUAGUGUUGCUGGUGGUGGUGCUACGGCGGCUGGUCCUCGUGGGCGUCGGGGGCGGCGGCGGCAUUGGCCUUGUACUUGGCGGCCUUCUUGCUGGCCCUGCCGACGACGGCGCUGCCCAUGACGAGGAGCUGUUCGGCCUGCCGAACCAUCGAAUCAGACCAUCAGCCACGCGAUUGAUAACAAAGGUCAACUAUGGAUCAGAUCGAGAAAAGGAUCAAGAGGACAGCGCACGUACCAUCUCGCUCUGGUCCUUCUACACUCCUCCCCUCCCCUCUCCAGCGGCGGCGGCGGAAACCCUGGGACGGAGUCAAUGGCCAGCGGGGGGGGGGGGCAGCCGCAGAUCCGGGGCGGAGUGAGGAAGCCCGUACCCUGUUCGUGGUCCUCGUGUCGGAUCCAGCGCGCGGUAGACGUCGCCGGCCUUGGUUUGUGGCGGAGGGCCGCCGAGGCGGUGGAUGUAGGGGGCGGCGACAUGGCGACGCAGGCCCACACCGCCGCCAUCAGCGCAGGGCCGCGCCGGCGCUGAGCAGCGCNNNNNNNNNNNNNNNNNNNNNNNNNNNNNNNNNNNNNNNNNNNNNNNNNNNNNNNNNNNNNNNNNNNNNNNNNNNNNNNNNNNNNNNNNNNNNNNNNNNNNNNNNNNNNNNNNNNNNNNNNNNNNNNNNNNNNNNNNNNNNNNNNNNNNNNNNNNNNNNNNNNNNNNNNNNNNNNNNNNNNNNNNNNNNNNNNNNNNNNNNNNNNNNNNNNNNNNNNNNNNNNNNNNNNNNNNNNNNNNNNNNNNNNNNNNNNNNNNNNNNNNNNNNNNNNNNNNNNNNNNNNNNNNNNNNNNNNNNNNNNNNNNNNNNNNNNNNNNNNNNNNNNNNNNNNNNNNNNNNNNNNNNNNNNNNNNNNNNNNNNNNNNNNNNNNNNNNNNNNNNNNNNNNNNNNNNNNNNNNNNNNNNNNNNNNNNNNNNNNNNNNNNNNNNNNNNNNNNNNNNNNNNNNNNNNNNNNNNNNNNNNNNNNNNNNNNNNNNNNNNNNNNNNNNNNNNNNNNNNNNNNNNNNNNNNNNNNNNNNNNNNNNNNNNNNNNNNNNNNNNNNNNNNNNNNNNNNNNNNGGGUUGAGGACGGCCGUUGGAUCUACGAGCAUCCGACGGCGUAUGAUGCACGAUACGCGUGAGACGUCCACGGACCAAUCAGAAUGCAGUAUGAUGUUGCGACCAUCUAAAUAGGUCAUAGUUGCCUAAAAAUAAUGCAUUAAAAUCAUGUCAGCUAUUUUAUGACUUGAGAAAUUCAAAAAGAAAAUGGAAAACCUUCUCAUUGUGUCACCAAAAUGUGAACAAGUUUUCAGAAAAAAAAAUAACUAAGAUGAAAAAAGAUAAAUAUCUUUAAAAAGGUGUUGUGAGACAUGAGUUUUCUUGGCAAAAAAAGCCAUUUUCCAUUUGUCGAAUCCCUGAAAUGAGUUUUUUUGUGAAGGACCUAUAAUAUAUUUGUUGAAAAAUUGGACCAAAUCAAUUUUUAAGAAUAUUAGGCCAAAUUUAAUGCACAGUUGCCCAAAUGGUUGGGGGUCAGAAGUUUUGAUCCACCUCUGGUGAAAAAGACAAAUUUUCACCGAUUCAGCAGGAAGCGGGUCAAAUUUGAACUGCAGCUGCCUUAUGGUUUGUUCUUUAUUUUUUCCAAAAAUCAUUUCUAGGUACAUAAGUAUCUAUUUAAUCAUAGAAACAUCAAAAGUUUUCCAAGAUUCAACCACUAGCUAGGAACGGUCAAGCCCGCCGUUUUGACCACAUUUUGAAACGGGCAUAAAUAAUUAAAAAAAAUCACAAAAUUGGAAAACCUUCGCAUUGUGUCAUUAUAUGUGACCAAGUUUCCAGGAAAAAUAAUAAACUUGUAAUACGGCAAUUAUUUUAAAAAAGUGUUCUCAGAAAUGAGCUAUCAUGCGUGAAGAUUCAUGGCUUUCAAGCCAAAUGAUCAAUCUUAUGGCCACAUUCAUGGCAUAGUUUGUUCAAAAGAAUGUUGCCUAGGUGAGUUUUCAUUUUCUUUGGACGAAAAAUCAAUUUUCCAUUUUUCGAGUGCCCAAAAUGAGUUUUUUUGGUGAAGGACCUACCAUAUAUUUGUUGCAAAAUUGUACCAAAUCAAUUUUCUAAAAUACUAGGCCAUAUUUAAUGCACAAUUGACCAAAUGGUUGGGUGUCAAAAGUUUCGAUCCACCUCUGGUGAAAAAGACAAAUUCCCGCCUAUUCAGUAGGAAGCGGGUCAAAUUUGAACUACGGCUGCCUCAUAGUUUGCUAUUUAUUUUUUCAAAAAAUCAUUUCUAUGUACAAAAGUAUCUAUUUAAUCAGAGAAAUAGCAAAAAAUUUCCAAGAUUCAACCACUAGCUAGGAACGGUCAUUCCCGCCGUUUUGACCGCAUUUUGAAACGGGCAUAAAAAAUUCAAAAAAAUCAAAAAAUUGUGAAACCUUCGCAUUGUGUCAUUAUAUGUGCCCAAGUUCCCAGGAAAAAUAAUAAACUUGUAAUACGACAAUUAUUUUAAAUAAGUGUUAUCAGAAACGAGCUAUCACAUGUGGAGAUCAAUGGCUUUCGAGCCAAAUGAUCAAUCUUAUGGCCACAUUCAUGGCAUAAUUUGUUCAAAUGUUCUCAUAUUGUGCACAAGGGUGCAUAUUGGAAUGGCAAAAAAAGUUGCCGAAGGAAGUUUUCAUUUUCUUUGGACGAAAAAACCAUUUUCCAUUUUUCGAGUGCCCAAAAGGAGGUUUUUUUGUGAAGGACCUCCCAAAUAAUUGUUGCAAAAUUGGACCAAAUCAAUUUUCUAAAAUACUAGGACAUAUUUAAUGCACAAUUGACAAAAUGGUUGGGUGUAAAAGGUUUUGAUCCACCUCUCGUGAAAAAGACAAAUUUCCGCCGAUUCAGAUGGAAGCGGGUCAAAUUUGAACUGCAGCUGCCUCAUAGUUUGCUAUUUAUUCUUUCCAAAAAUCAUUUCUAGUUACAUAAGUACCUAUUUAAUCAUAAAUACAUGGUUUGGUGGCGAUACGUCGAGAUUUGGGCGGUGGCCGAGGGCCCCAACUCUAGAGCGCGUAAACUCGCAUGCCCGCCGCGUGGUCACCGCGUGACCGUGGCGUUGCCAUGUGUUCUGGGCGGCCUAGGCAUGUCUAGUGGGUUGGUCACUCCCCAGGUAGGUGCUAGGAAGAAAAUUACAACAUAAGAUUCUCACGAGGAGACCGAUCGAUGCUCAAACAUGAAUUAGCAGCCAAGUGUUUGAUUAGCGGUACGGGAAAUCUACAUGGCUAAUGGGCGUGAGUUUUGGCCGAGGAUGAUCAGUUACUAAGAAGACCGCCUUCACAAAUUUUCAGCUCAAAAGGAGGAGCCUAGGUGGUAUUUGCUUUGCAAAGUACCGCACUGGACAUAAAUACGAAUAUUGAAGCUGGGCUCAAAAUAAUGAAUGGAUUGAGCUGGCAUUUGGUGGAGGAUGGUUAUUUGGGCAUAGGAAAGCACCUUAGAAAUGGAUACUAUUUGGACAUGCCAAAGUGGUACUUCCUUCACAAAGUGUUGUACUGAACAGAAUAGGAAAAUGAAUACUGUUGAAUUAUUUUUGAACUAGGCAAGGAAGGUUUUUUACAUAUUUGAUGAAGAUAUGACCCAAAGAAUUUAUGAGAUUUUUUUGGGAAUUUUGGGAAUGACAGAAAUAUAGGUUGCUUCACAACCUGGGGCAAAAAUUGCCACAUGGACAUGACACAUAGGCAAAACUGAUGAGGUGGCGCCUAGUCAUAGCAACCCACCACAAUUUACAAGGUUAUGACCAUCUAUAUUGGUCGUGAUCAGCUAGAAAUAAGGCAGCGGACCAGUGCUAUCUGCUUUAUGACCAUUUCGUGUAAGGAAAUUACGACCUUUCUGACCAAAAUGGUCGUUAUAGUUUAGGGUUUGGAGCCCCCCGAACAGCUUUUGACCAAUUGGUCUGAAAUGGUCAUAGAUCUAUGACCAAUUCUUCCAGGGUCACUGACAGAAGGUCACUAGUUGACAUAUUUCUUGUAGUGCCUCUUGGGAACCCAUUCCAUGUUCCUUUGUCUCAGCUCUUGUGCACUAAGAUUUUGUAAUUCCUUCUUUUGCCAAUACGAUAAGCCGAGUGAGCACCGCGACUGUGAUUUUGUUUCAACGAAUGGCAACUCUUAUUGGGCCUUGUGCACCCUCAACUUCUUUUCUUUAGAUUUGGCACUCUGAUUUUAAUCAAUGGAUUGCUUCGCUUCUUUGCCUUUUGUAGCCAAUGUCAACACUUUAAUUGGAUCUUUGUUAUUUGAGAUCAAUUCUGAAGUAGCACACUUACGACCAUCUCUUUUCACGCGGUAAACUUGCUUGACCACCUCUUUCUUCUUCCUUCAGCUCUGGACCGAUUCCUUAUGAGUGAAACGGUCUUUGACGCAUGAUUGUUCAAAUGUUGAUCUUCUUGGAGCUGCAUAGUAUUGGUGAGAUGGUCUAAAAUAAGAUGGAGAAUGUGCCCUUGUAUCAUACCUGUCCAAAUAUGAAUAUGGAUUUAAAUGAGCACGGGGAGGCAUCCACGACAUUGGCAUUGGCGGCCCAAAAUAAGGAUAUGAAUAUAUUGCAUUAAAAUUCUCACUUUGCCAAUACCGAUCCUCAUAUUUGCACCUUGGGGGUGAUCUUGGUUUCUUUGCAUGAUUUGGCCGAUAAGCAUUCUUCUCUUCACUCUUCUUUUGAUAUUUAUCCAAUAGUUCAGCGAAGGUGAUUUUUGAUCUCUUACACUUGCGCUUAUUUCGGCCUUUGUUUUCUUUUGGUUUGCUUUCAUUGAUCUCUGAAUUUUCUUGAUGCCCCCAGUAUUUGGCAUCUUCUGUGCAACCUUGAGGGAAUUCUCGCCUUCAAGAAUAUCUUCAUUGUGCUCUUGAACAACUUAUUUACUUGAAACUAUUUUUACGUUCUCAUCAUUUAAUGAAUCAGCUUGAAGAAGCCGCUGCAAAUUUUUUUUGCCAUCAGGACCAAUCGGAAUAGACUGGUCAUCCUUUGGUGUUUCAACAAAUCUCAAUCGUCCUUUCUCAAUGGGCCCAGUGCACCGCUGCCGCCCACAGCCCUUCGCAGCACCACCCGAGGGCUGCCGCCACACCAACAGCUCCCGUAGCCACGCCACCACCGGACGGGCAUAUGGUGCGUGCCGCACACCACCGGGAUGGGGAACAAGAGUGGCCUGCCGCCAGCGAUGUUGGCAGGGCUUCACCCACCAAUGAGCCACCGGCGACGGUGAGGGGAGGGAGCGAGAGGUGGGAAGUUUAGCGAGGCGGCUAGGGUUUUCUCCCAGGGCGCUCGCAGGAGCGCCGCGGGAGAGGCAGUUGUCCUUGAAACCAUAUUCACAAGAGUGAGAGAAUAGGACAUUAUUAAAAAGGAAUCGUGGUGCAGUUAUUUGCGAUUCAUUUGACACAUCAGCCAUGUUAGAUAGCGUGGGUUCCAACUUUGAGCUUCAGUUGCUCCUUCGAACACACUGAAAUACGACAUCUUUAGGUGUCAAUAGAGAGCAAGUAUAAACACUCAGAGAGAGAGAGAGAGAAUAUCCGCAGGGCUUCACCAGGCACUACAAAAAUAUGACCGGAGGUGUAAAUCGUAGAAUGAGGCGCCGCACACUGCUAGGCAAUUGUCUGUUGUGUGCUAGGCACCCCCUUCCCACAUAUAUAUUUUUGUGGGAGGGAGGAGCAGCCAAGGGGGGCGCCCAAGUAGGGGGAAUCCUACUUGGGGUCUUUCCCAAGCCGCGCCCCCGUUUCCUUAUUUGGAGCGCAGGGAAAGGCAGGGGAGGGUGGCGUCCCCCCACCCCACUUUCCUUUCUCCCAUGAGAAAGCAAGGCGGGAGGGGCUAGCCCUCCCCUUUUUAUUUCCCUAGGGCUAGCCAAACAAGGGAGGAAGCGCACCAGCCCCCUUGUGGGCUGGUCUGUCCCCUCCAUUAGCCCAUAAGGCCCAUAACUUGCCGCGGGGUUCCCGGAACCCCUUCCGGUGACCCGAUUCCUUCCCGGUAUGUCCCGAAACACCUCAGAUAUUAUGAAGGUCAAGCAGCGCGAAUUCCUCGCUCUCACCCAAUGAAGCCUGUCAGUAAGUGAGUACCUGCAUAAGUUCACCCAUUUAGCAUGUUAUUCUCUCUAUGAUGUGGCCACAGAAGAAAGGAAGAUCGACAGAUUUCUUGGAGGACUGAAUCAACACCUCAGAUGCACUCUCAGUGUGCUCGAUUUUUCGGAUUUCCAGACUCUGGUAAAAAAAAGCCCUCAUUACAGAAAGGGAACACAAGCUCCUGCACAACAACAGGCCCGCUAAUAAGGAUCAGAAGGGCAAAUUUGAGCCCAAGAAGGAUGGACAACUAGUGUAGAAGGCUCGUACCUGGCAGCAGACUCAGGCUGAGUACAAGCCCAACUGGCAGCAGAACGUGAAUAAGACCACUACUCAUGUCAAGAAUGUCGUGACCAGCCUGGUGCGCGAAGAAUGUCAGGCAACAAUUCGUGUUUUAAUUGUGGUCAAACUGGACAUUAUGCCAGGAAGUGCCCUAAGAGCGGCAAGCCAAAUGCUCCAUCUAGGCCGCAAGUCAACCACAUGGGGCCAUAUCCUGCCCAGAAGACCAUCCAAGGGAAAGUUCAUCACCUCUCCGCAGACGAAGCCCAAGAGGACCAGGAAGUCAUCAUUGGUAUGUUUCCUUUGUUGGGGAACGUAGUAUUUCAAAAAAAAAUCCUACGAUCACGCAAGAUCUAUCUAGGAGAAGCAUAGCAACAAGCGGGGAGAGUGUGUCCACGUAGCCUUGUAGACCAAAAGCGGAAGCAUUCAGUAACGCGGUUGAUGUAGUCGAACGUCUUCGCGAUCUAACCGAUCAAGUACCGAACACAUGGCACGUCCGUGAUCUGCACACGUUCAGCUCGGUGACGUCCCUCGAACUCUUGAUCCAGUUGAGGCUGAGGGAGAGUUUCGUCAGCAUGAUGGCGUGGUGACGAUGAUGAUGAAAUUACUGGCGCAGAGCUUUGCCUAAGCACUGUGACGAUAUGACCGAGGUGUGUAGCUGUGGAGGGGGGCACCGCACACGGCUAAAAGUUCAACUUCUGUGUCUUUGGGGUGGCCCCCUGCCCCCAUUUAUAAAGGAGGCGAGGAGGAGGCCGGCCAACAGGGGGCGGCCCAGGGAGAGGGGAGUCCUACUAGGACUCCAUUCCUAGUAGGAUUCGGCCCCACCCUUUUUUCCUUCUACAGGAGGGGGAAAAGCCGAAUGAGAGGGAGUAGGACAAGGAAAGGGGGGUGGCGCCCCCUUCCGAAGUCCAAUUCGGCCUCCUCCCUUGUGGGGGGCGCACCAGCCCCUUUUGGGCUGGUUAGCCUCCCUCCUAUGGCCCAUAAGGCUCAUAUCUUUCCCCUGGGGGUUCCGGUAACCUCCCGGUACUCCAGAAAAAUGGCCGAAUCACUCGGAACCAUUCCGAUGUCCGAAUGCAACCUUCCAAUAUAUGAAUCUUUAUCUAUCAACCAUUUUUUGACUCCUCGUCAUGUCCGUGAUCUCAUCCGGGAUUCCGAACAAACUUCGGUCAUCAAAUCACAUAACUCAUAAUACAAAUCGUUAUCGAACGUUAAGCGUGCGGACCCUACGGGUUCGAGAACUAUGUAGACAUGAGCGAGACACAUCUCCGGUCAAUAACCAAUAGCGGAACCUGGAUGCUCAUAUUGGCUCGUAAAUAUUCUACGAAGAUCUUUAUCGGUCAAACCGCAUAACGACAUACGUUAUUUCCUUUGUCAUCGGUAUGUUACUUGCCCGAGAUUCGAUCGUCGGUAUCAUCAUACCUAGUUCAAUCUCGUUACCGGCAAGUCUCUUUACUCGUUCCGUAAUGCAUCAUCCCGUAACUAACUCAUUAGUCACAUUGCUUGCAAGGCUUAUAGUGAUGUGCAUUACCGAGAGGGCCCAGAGAUACCUCUCCGAUACACAGAGUGACAAAUCCUAAUCUCGAUCUAUGACAACCCAACAAACACCUUCGGAGACACAUGUAGAGCAUCUUAAUAAUCACCCAGUUACUUUGUGACGUUUGAUAGCACACAAGGUGUUCCUCCGGUAUUCAGGAGUUGCAUAAUCUCAUAGUCAAAGGAACAUGUAUAAGUCAUGAAGAACGCAAUAGCAAUAAAACUCAACGAUCAUAAUGCUAAGCUAACGGAUGGGUCUUGUCCAUCACAUCAUUCUCUAGUGAUGUGAUCCCGUUCAUCAAAUGACAACACAUGUCUAUGGCUAGGAAACUUAACCAUAUUUGAUUAACGAGCUAGUCAAGUAGAGGCAUACUAGGGACACUCUGUUUUGUCUAUGUAUUCACACAUGUAUCAAGUUUCCGGUUAAUACAAUUCUAGCAUGAAUAAUAAACAUUUAUCAUGAUAUAAGGAAAUAUAAAUAACAAUUUUAUUAUUGCCUCUAGGGCAUAUUUUCUUCAUCCUGUUAAUAGCACACCUGCAAUAAUUUUAUUUGUCUUUGGGCUUCCCACUCUUUUAUUUCGUGGAGUUUUGUUGCCCAAACAAAGUUUCCUUGCUCGAUUUUGGGAAAAAGUAUGCUGGUACAAUCCCUGAGAUCGGUGCUCAGAAGCAAUCUGGUCUGCCGCAAUUUGGAAAUCGGUAUCAAGGGAGUCACCUUCCCAACAUCUUUGAUCGUUAUUGAGUCUGCCAAGUUGGAUAUUAUUUUGGGAUUGAACUGGUUGACCCAAUAUCAUGUAUGCAUCAACUGUGCGACCAGAGAAGUCACUUUGACAAGUCAGGAAGGCCGGACUACAAAAUUCUUUGCUCGAAGGAGCAUACCCAAGAAAGACAUGGUCUGCACCGCUGUAGCUGAAGAAUUGGAAUUAAUUGUUGUGUCCAGUGAGUUUCCGGAUGUAUUCCCUGAGGAAUUACCAGGAAUGCCGCCAGACCGAGAGCUUGAGUUUGCAAUUGACCUUGUGCGUGGGACCGCACCGUUAUACAAGAAGUAUUAUCGGAUGCCUUCCUCAGAAUUAAUUGAAUUAAAGAAACAACUUGAUGAGAUGCUUCAAAAAUGAUACAUCCGUCCAAGCUCUUCACCAUGGGGAUCACCCACAAUAUUUGUGGACAAGAAGGACGACAGUCUCCGAAACGUGUGUGGAUUACCGUCAAUUGAAUUAUGUCACUAUUAAGAAAAAAUAUCCACUGCCAAGGAUUGACGAUUUUUUCAAUCAACUCAGUGGGGCAAAAGUAUUCUCCUAGAUUGAUCUAAGGACCGGAUACCACCAGCUCAAAAUCAAGAAAGAAGAUAUUCCUAAGACUGCGUUCACUACUCGAUACGGCCUUUGUGAAUAUACAGUCAUGUCUUUCGGCCCCACUAAUGCCCCUGCCUUCUUCAUGCAUAUGAUGAAUGAAGUAUUCAUGGACUUCUUGGAUAAGUUUGUGGUGGUCUUCAUCGAUGACAUCCUCAUAUACUCAAAAGGUGAAGAAGAGCACAAGGGACAUCUCAGAGCAGUCUUGAAGAGACUCCGUGACCAUCAACUAUAUGCGAAAUUCAACAAAUGUGAGUUUUGGCUCAAGCAAGUCGGAUUUUUGGGGCAUGUUCUGUCAGCAGAAGGCAUAGCCAUGGAUCCAAGUAAGGUGAAGGACGUGUUUGAUUGGACGGCACUCACGACAGUAACAGAGAUCCGUAGUUUCCUUGGAUUAGCAGGAUACUACCGCCGCUUCAUUGAAGGGUUCUCUAAGAUUGCCAAGCCAAUGAUAGAACUCGUCAAGAAUGAUAAGAAAUUUGAAUGGAGUGAGGACGGUGAGAAAAGCUUUAAUGAGCUAAAGAUCAGACUGAUAAUAGCACCUGUGUUGACCCUUCUAGACAUCUACCGUAGCUUUGAUGUAUACUGUGACGCAUCCAGGAAAGGUAUUGGAUGUGUACUCAUGCAAGAUGUCAAGGUUGUCGCAUACACAUCUUGACAACUACGGCCUCACGAAGGGAACUAUCCUACACAUGAUUUGGAGUGGGCCGCAGUUGUGCACGCUCUGAAAAUUUGGAGACACUACCUCAUUGGCAAAAGAUGUCAGAUAUUUACCGACCACAAGAGUCUCAAGUAUAUAUUCACUCAACCGGAAUUAAACCUUCGACAGCGAAGAUGGCUCGAGUUGGUAAAGGAUUAUGAUCUUGGAAUAAAUUACCAUCUCGGUUGUCGGUGGAAACGACACCUAUGGGAUCACUGGGACCCCUUCUAUGGUUGGCGGGCGCGGGGUUGUGCAAAGAGCGGGUCUGGCAGGAAGCACAAGGAUCAUUUACCCAGGUUCGGGCCGCGAGGAUGCGUAAAAUCCUAGUUCUGCUUUGGUGUAUGUAUUUGAGUGUUCUUGAGUUCUUGAACUAGCUACGGUGUGUCUGUAGUCCAAAAGAUCUGAAUCCUUCUCCUGGUCGCCUCGGGCCUCCUUUUAUAGACAAAAGAGGUCGCCACAGUGGCACACAGGAGGUGGAAAGGUGUACAGUGGAUGAGUCUAUCCUCUGGCACCGUCGGACAAACACAUUUAAUGUGCUGCCGACGUGCCCCUCUUGCUUUAUUGGGGACGGCAAGGAAGCUCGUCCCAGCUGUCGCCGCCUCGCCUGGCUGCAAUGCGCGUCCGGGCUGACGAGGAGUUGUAGCGCCACGUUCGCUGGCAGCUGGGCUGGCGCGGUGGUGGAGUCUUCACGAAGAUCUACAUGCCACCACACAGGUGCUAGCUGAGUCGGCGUAGAGGCCGCAUGCUGCCACGCAGGUGCCUGCCCAGCUGGUUGAGCUAGCAGCUGCGUGGGAGCGGCGAUGUAGUCUUGGCAGACGUGGGCCUGGCCGUGGCCCCGCAAGCGUCCUCGGCGAGGGCCUUGCCGGGGACCCGGCAAGGGUCUUGCCACGGCACUGUGGUCGUCCCCGGAAAGGCUCUUGCCGGGGGUCUCGUGGAUCUCCUCGGCAAGGAUCUCGCCAAGGGUCGUCGUCUUCUGGUCCUCAUCUGAUCUUGUGUGUUUAUGAUCUUGACGAAGAUCUGCGUGCCACCACAGAGGUGCCUCCCGAGCCUUGGUUCCAAUGUGGAUGGUUGGUGGUGUUGGAACCCGCGGGCUCAAGGGUGGCUUGCUCCGCUGGCAUCGGGCAAGGUGCCCCGGCAAGGGUGUUGCCGGGGGAAUCCACCUCGCCCUCUUCCUCUUUGUGUCUCUUGGUCUUGGCGUUGCUUUGGUUGCCUUGCGCUUCGGCUUCCCCCUUCUGCCCUGCUCAGUGUGGCCGUGGGCGCGGCUCUGACUGCCCGUGCACAAGUAAAGGGGUAAAAAGGAGUGCCCUACUUUCGGUGGAAACGACACCUAUGGGAUCACUGGGACCCCUUCUACGGUUUGCGGGCACGGGGUUGUGCAAAGAGCGGGUCUGGCAGGAAGCACAAGGAUCGUUUACCCAGGUUCGGGCCGCGAGGAUGCGUAAAUCCCUAGUCCUGCUUUGGUGUAUGUAUUUGAGUGUUCUUGAGUUCUUGAACUAGCUACGGUGUGUCUCUAGUCCAAAAGAUCCGAAUCCUUCUCCUGGUCGCCUCGGGCCUCCUUUUAUAGACAAAAGGGGUCAACACAGUGGCACACAGGAGGUGGAAAGGUGUACAGUGGAUGAGUCUGUCCUCUGGCACCGUCGGACAAACGCAUUUAAUGCGCUGCCGACGUGCCCCUCUUGCUUUAUUGGGGACGGCAAGGAAGCUCGUCCCAGCUAUUGCUGCCUCACCUGGCUGUGACGCGCGUCUGGGAUGACGAGGCAUUGUAGCACCACGUUGGCUGGCUGCUGGGCUGGCGCAGUGGUGGAGUCUUCACAAAGAUCUGCAUGCCACCACGUAGGUGCUAGCUGAGUCGGCGUAGAGGCCGCAUGCUGCCACGCAGGUGCCUGCCAAGCUGGUUGAGCUAGCAGCUGCGUGGGAGCGGCGGUGUAGUCUUGGCAGACAUGGGCCUGGCCGUGGCCCCGCAAGCGUCCUCGGCAAGGGCCUUACCGGGGCCCCGGUGGUCUCUCUCAAGCAACCCUGCAACCAAAUAACAAAGAGUCUCUUGUGUCCCCAGCACACCCAAUACAAUGGUAAAUUGUAUAGGUGCACUAGUUCGGCGAAGAGAUGGUGAUACAAGUGCAAUAUGGAUGAUAGAUAUAGGUUUUUCUAAUCUGAAAAUAACAAGGUAGCAAGUGGUAAAAGUGAGCGUAAACGGUAUUGCAAUGCUAGGAAACAAGGCCUAGGGUUCAUACUUUCACUAGUGCAAGUUCUCUCAACAAUAAUAACAUAAUUGAAUCAUAUAACUAUCCCUCAACAUGCAACAAAGAGUCACUCCAAAGUCACUAAUAGCGGAGAACAAACGAAGAGAUUAUGGUAGGGUAUGAAACCACCUCAAAGUUAUUCUUUCCAAUCAAUCCGUUGGGCUAUUCCUGUAAGUGUCACAAACAGCCCUAGAGUUCGUACUAGAAUAACACCUUAAGACACACAUCAACCAAAAUCCUAAUGUCACCUAGAUACUCCAAUGUCACCUCAAGUAUCCGUGGGUAUGAUUAUACGAUAUGCAUCACACAAUCUCAGAUUCAUCUAUUCAACCAACACAUAGGACCUCAAAGAGUGCCCCAAAGUUUCUACCGGAGAGUCAAGACGAAAACUUGUGCCAACCCCUAUGCGUAGGUUCAUGGGCGGAACCCGCAAGUUGAUCACCAAAACAUACAUCAAAUGAAUCACGUGAUAUCCCAUUGUCACCAUAGAUACGCACGGCAAGACAUACAUCAAGUGUUCUCAAAUCAUUAAAGACUCAAUCUGAUAAGAUUACUUCAAAGGGAAAACUCAAUCCAUUACAAGAGAGUAGAGGGGGAGAAGCAACAUAAGAUCCAACUAUAAUAGGAAAGCUCGCGAUACAUCAAGAUCGUGCCAAAUCAAGAACACGAGAGAAAGAGAUCAAACACAUAGCUACUGGUACAUACCCUCAGCCCCGAGGGUGAACUACUCCCUCCUCGUCAUGGAGAGCGUCGGGAUGAUGAAGAUAGCCACCGGUGAGGGUUCCCCCCUCCGGCUGGGUGCCGGAACAGGGUCCCGAUUCGUUUUUGGUGGCUACAGAGGCUUGCGGCGGCGGAACUCCCGAUCUAUUCUGUUCCCCGAUCGUUUUAGGGUAUAUUGAUAUAUAUGCGGAAGAAGUACGUUAGGGGAGCCACGAGGGGCCCACGAGGGUGGAGGGCGCGCCCCCUGCCUCGUGCCUUCCUCAUUGCUUUCUUGACGUGGACUCCAAGUCUCCCGGGUUGCUUUCCUUCCAAAAAUAACUUCUCCAGAAGGUUUCAUUCUGUUUCGACUCCGUUUGAUAUUCCUUUUCUUCGAAACAUUGAAACAAGGGGAAAAAACAGGAACUGGCACUGGGCUCUGGGUCAAUAGGUUAGUCCCAAAAAUAAUAUAAAAGUGUUUAAUAAAGCCCAUAAACAUCCAAAACAGAUAAUAUAAUAGCAUGGAACAAUAAAAAGUUAUAGAUACGUUGGAGACGUAUCAGCAUCCCCAAGCUUAAUUCCUGCUCGUCCUCGAGUAGGUAAAUGAUAAAAACAGAAUUUUUGAUGUGGAAUGCUACCUAACAUAUUUCUUAAUGUAAUUUUCUUUAUUGUGGCAUGAAUAUUCAGAUCCAUAAGAUUCAAGACAGAAGUUUAAUAUUGACAUAAAAAUAAUAAUACUUCAAGCAUACUAACUAAGCAAUUAUGUCUUCUUAAAAUAACAUGGCCAAAGAAAGUUUUCCCUACAAAAUCAUAUAGUCUGGCUAUGCUCUAUCCUCACCACACAAAGUAUUUAAAUCAUGCACAACCCCGAUGACAAGCCAAGCAAUAGUUUCAUACUUUUGGUGUUCUCAAACUUUUUCAAUCUUCACGCAAUACAUGAGCGUGAGCCAUGGACAUAGCACUAUAUGUGGAAUAGAAUGGUGGUUGUGGAGAACACAAAAAGGAGGGAGAAGAUAGUCUCACAUCAACUAGGCGUAUCAACGGGCUAUGGAGAUGCCCAUUAACAGAUAUCGAUGUGAGUGAGUAGGGAUUGCCAUGCAACGGAUGCACUAGAGCUGUAAGUAAAUGAAAGCUCAACAAGAGAAAAUAAGUGGGUGUAGAGUGCUACUUGGCAUAAUUUCAAUGUAAUUCUUCUUAAUUGUGGUAUGAAUAUUCAGAUCCGAAAGAUUCAAGAUAAAAGUUCAUAUUGACAUAAAAAUAAUAAUACUUCAAGCAUACUAACUAAGCAAUCAUGUCUUCUCAAAAUAACAUGGCCAAAGAAAGUUAUCCCUACAAAAUCAUAUAGUCUGGCUAUGCUCUAUCUUCACCACACAAAGUACUUAAAUCAUGCACAACCCCGAUGACAAGCCAAGCAAUUGUUUCAUACUUUUGACAUUUUCAAAACUUUUUCAAUCUUCACGCAAUACAUGAGCGUGAGCCAUGGACAUAGCACUAUAUGUGGAAUAGAAUGGUGGUUGUGGAGAAGACAAAAAGGGAGAAGAUAGUCUCACAUCAACUAGGCGUAUCAACGGGCUAUGGAGAUGCCCAUCAAUAGAUAUCAAUGUGAGUGAGUAGGGAUUGCCAUGCAACGGAUGCACUAGAGCUAUAAGUAUAUGAAAGCUCAACAAAGGAAACUAAGUGGGUGUGCAUCCAACUCGCUUGCUCACGAAGACCUAGGGCAUUUUGAGGAAGCCCAUCAUUGGAAUAUACAAGCCAUGUUCUAUAAUGAAAAGUUCCCACUAGUAUAUGAAAGUGACAAAACAAGAGACUCUCUAUCAUAAAGAUCAUGGUGCUACUUUGAAGCACAAGUGUGGUAAAAGGAUAGUACCAUUGUCCCUUCUCUCUUUUUCUCUCAUUUUUUUUUAUUUGGGCCUUCUCUUCUUUUUUUAUGGCCUCUUUUUUUCGUCCGGAGUCUCAUCCCGACUUGUGGGGCAAUCAUCGUCUCCAUCAUCCUUUCCUCACUAGGACAAUGCUCUAAUAAUGAUGAUCAUCACACUUUUAUUUACUUACAACUCAAGAAUUACAACUCGAUACUUAGAACAAAAUAUGACUAUAUGAAUGCCUCCGGUGGUGUACCGGGAUGUGCAAUGACUCAUGAGUGGCAUGUAUGAAAGAAUUAUGAAUGGUGGCUUUGCCACAAAUACAAUGUCAACUACAUGAUCAUGCAAAGCAAUAUGGCAAUGAUGGAACGUGUCAUAAUAAACGGAACUGUGGAAAGUUGCAUGGCAAUAUAUCUCGGAAUGGCUAUGGAAAUGGCAUGAUAGGUAGGUACGGUGGCUGUUUUGAGGAAGGUAUAUGGUGGGUGUAUGAUACCGGCGAAAAGUGCGCGGUAUUAGAGAGGCUAGCAAUGGUGGAAGGAAGAAAAGUGCGUAUAAUUCAUGGACUCAACAUUAGUCAUAAAGACCUCAUAUACUUAUUGCAAAAGUCUAGAAGUUAUCAAAGCAAAGUAUUACGCGCAUGCUCCUAGGGGGAUAGAUUGGUAGGAAAAGGCCAUCGCUCGUCCCCGACCGCCACUCAUAAGGAGGACAAUCAAUAAAUAAGUCAUGCUCCGACUUCAUCACAUAACGGUUCACCAUACGUGCAUGCUACGGGAAUCACAAACUUUAACACAAGUAUUUCUCAAAUUCACAACUACUCAGCUAGCAUGACUCUAAUAUCACCAUCUUCAUAUCUCAAAACAAUCAUAAGGAAUCAAACUUCUCAUAGUAUUCAAUGCACUUUAUAUGAAAGUUUUUAUUAUAUCUCUCUUGGAUGCCCAUCAUACUAGGACUAAAUUCAUAACCAAAGCAAAUUACCAUGCUGUUUAGGACUCUCAAAAUAAUAUAAGUGAAGCAUGAGAGUUCAUCUAUUUCUUCAAAAUAAAACCACCAUCGUGCUCUAAAAGAUAUAAGUGAAGAUCAAUGAGUAGCCAAAUAAUUAUGCAACUAAGUGCAGACUCUCUAACAUUUAAGAAUUUCAGAUCUUGGUAUUUUAUUCAAACAGCAAGCAAAGCUAAAGGAAAUAAAAUGAUGCUCCAAGCAAAACACAUAUCAUGUGGUGAAUAAAAAUAUAGCUCCAAGUAAAGUUACCGAUGAACGAAGACGAAAGAGGGGAUGCCAUCCGGGGCAUCCCCAAGCUUAGGCUCUUGGUUGUCCUUGAAUAUUACCUUGGGGUGCCUUGGGCAUCCCCAAGCUUAGGCUCUUGCCACUCCUUAUUCCAUAGUCCAUCGAAUCUUCACCCAAAACUUGAAAACUUCACAACACAAAACUCAACAGAAAACUCGUAAGCUCCGUUAGCGAAAGAAAACAAAACACCACUUCAAGGUACUGUAAUGAACUCAUUCUUUAUUUGUAUUGGUGUUAAAUCUGCUGUAUUCCAACUUCUCUAUGGUUUAUAAACUAUUUUACUAGCCAUAGAUUCAUCAAAAUGAGCAAACAACACACGAAAAACAGAAUCUGUCAAAAACAGAACUGUCUGUAGUAAUUAGUAACUAACGCAAACUUCUGGAACUCAAAAAAUUCUAAACUAAAUUGUUGGACCUGAGGAAUUUGUCUAGUAAUCAUAUGAAAAAAGAAUCAACUAAAUAGCACUCUCGAGUAAAAGGUUGAAGCUAAUCUCGUGAGCGCUAAAGUUUCUGUUUUUUACAGCAUGAUCAUAAAGACUUCACCCAAGUCUUCCCAAAGGUUCUACUUGGCACAAACACUAAUUAAGACAUAAAACCACAUCUAAAAAGAAGCUAGAUGAAUUAUUUAUUACUAAACAGAACCAAAAAUCAAGAAACUAAUAUAAAAUUGGGUUGCCUGCCAACAAGCACUAUCGUUUAACGCCCCUUGCUAGGCAUGAUGAUUUCAAUGAUGCUCACAUAAGACAUAAGAAUUGAAACAUAAAGAGAGCAUCAUGAAGAAUAUGACUAGCACAUUUAAGUUUAACCCACUUCCUAUGCAUAGGGAUUUUGUGAGCAAACAACUUAUGGGAACAAUGAUCAACUAGCAUAGGAAGGCAAAACAAGCAUAACUUCAAAACUUUAAGCACAUAGAGAGGAAACCUGAUAUUAUUGCAAUUCCUACAAGCAUACAUUCCUCCCUCAUAAUAAUUUUCAGUAGCAUCAUGAAUGAAUUCAACAAUAUAACCAGCACCUAAAGCAUUCUUUUCAUGGUCUACUUGCAUAGAAAUUUUAUUACUCUCCACAUAAGCAAAUUUCCUCUCAUGGAUAAUAGUGAGAGCAAACUCAACAAAAUAACUAUCAUGUGAUUGAAAAUUAAGAUCAAGAUGACAAGUUUCAUGGUUAUCAUUAUUCUUUAAAGCAUAUGUGUCAUCACAAUAAUCAUCAUAGAUAGGAGGCAUGCUUUCAUCAUAGUAAAUUUGCUCCUCAAAGCUUGGGGGACAAAAAGUAUCAUCUUCAUCAAACAUAGCUUCCCCAAGCUUGUGGCUUUGCAUAUCAUAAGCAUCAUGGGUAUUCAAAGAAUUCAUACUAACAACAUUGCAAUCAUGCUCAUCAUUCACAUAUUUUAUGCCAAGCAUUCUGUGUAAUUCUUCUUCUAGUACUUGAGCACAAUUUUCCUUUCCAUCAUUUUCACGAAAGAUAUUAAAAAGAUGAAGCAUAUGAGGCACCCUUAAUUCCAUUUUUUUGUAGUUUUCUUUUAUAAACUAAACUAGUGAUAAAACAAGAAACUAAAAGAUUCGAUUGCAAGAUCAAAACAUAUACCUUCAAGCACUCACCUCCCCGGCAACGGCGCCAGAAAAGAGUCUUGAUGUCUACUACACAACCUGCUUCUUGUAGACGUUGUUGGGCCUCCAAGUGCAGAGGUUUGUAGAACAGUAGAAAAUGUCCCUCUAGUGGAUGACCUAAGGUUUAUCAAUCCGUGGGAGGUGUAGGAUGAAGAUGGUCUCUCUCAAGCAACCCUGCAACCAAAUAACAAAGAGUUUCUUGUGUCCCCAACACACCCAAUACCAUGGUAAAUUGUAUAGGUGCACUAGUUCGGCGAAGAGAUGGUGAUACAAGUGCAAUAUGGAUGAUAGAUAUAGGUUUUUGUAAUAUGAAAACAGCAAGGUAGCAAGUGGUAAAAGUGAGUGUAAACGGUAUUGCAAUGCUAGGAAACAAGGCCUAGGGUUCAUACUUUCACUAGUGCAAGUUCUCUCAACAAUAAUAACAUAAAUGGAUCAUAUAACUAUCCCUCAACAUGCAACAAAGAGUCACUCCAAAGUCACUAAUAGCGGAGAACAAACGAAGAAAUUAUGGUAGGGUACGAAACCACCUCAAAGUUAUUCUUUCCAAUCAAUCCGUUGGGCUAUUCCUAUAAGUGUCACAAACAGCCCUAGAGUUCGUACUAGAAUAACACCUUAAGACACACAUCAACCAAAACCCUAAUGUCACCUAGAUACUCCAAUGUCACCUCAAGUAUCCGUGGGUAUGAUUAUACGAUGUGCAUCACACAAUCUCAGAUUCAUCUAUUCAACCAACACAUAGAACCUCAAAGAGUGCCCCAAAGUUUCUACCGGAGAGUCAAGACGAAAACGUGUGCCAACCCCUAUGCAUAGGUUUAUGGGCGGAACCCGCAAGUUGACCACCAAAACAUACAUCAAAUGAAUCACGUGAUAUCCCAUUAUCACCACAGAUACGCACGGCAAGACAUACAUCAAGUGUUCUCAAAUCAUUAAAGACUCAAUCCGAUAAGAUUACUUCAAAGGGAAACUCAAUCCAUAAGAAGAGAGUAGAGGGGGAGAAGCAACAUAAGAUCCAACUAUAAUAGCAAAGCUCGCGAUACAUCAAGAUCGUGCCAAAUCAAGAACAUGAGAGAGAGAGAUCAAACACAUAGCUACUGGUACAUACCCUCAGCCCCGAGGGUGAACUACUCCCUCCUCGUCGUGGAGAGCGCCGGGAUGAUGAAGAUAGCCACCGGUGAGGGUUCUUGCGGCGGCGGAAAUCCCGAUCUAUUCUGUUCCCCGAUCGUUUUAGGGUAUAUGGAUAUAUAUAGGCGGAAGAAGUACGUCAGGGGAGCCACGAGGGGCCCACGAGGGUGGAGGCCGCGCCCAGGGGGGUGGGCGCGCCCCCUGCCUUGUGCCUUCCUUGUUGCUUUCUUGACGUGGACUCCAAGUCUCCCGGGUUGCUUUCCUUCCAAAAAUAACUUCUCUAGAAGGUUUCAUUCCGUUUCGACUCCGUUUGAUAUUCCUUUUCUUCGAAACACUGAAACAAGGAAAAAAACAGGAACUGGCACUGGGUCAAUAGGUUAGUCCCAAAAAUAAUAUAAAAGUGUUUAAUAAAGCCCAUAAACAUCCAAAACAGAUAAUAUAAUAGCAUGGAACAAUCAAAAAUUAUAGAUACAUUGGACACGUAUCACCCGGCAAGGGUCUUGCAGCGGCACCGUGGUCGUCCCCGGCAAGGGUCUUGCCGGGGGUCUCGUGGAUCUCCUCGGCAAGGAUCUCGCCAAGGGUCGUCGUCUUCUCGUCCUCAUCUGAUCUUGUGUGUUUAUGAUCUUGACGAAGAUCUGCAUGCCACCACAGAGGCACCUCCCGAGCCUUGGUUCCAAUGUGCAUGGUUGGUGGUGUUGGAACCCGCGAGCUCAAGGGUGGCUUGCUCUGCUGGUGUCGGGCAAGUUGCCCCGGCAAGGCUCUUGCCGGGGCUGCAGAGGCUGCCCCGGCAAGGGUCUUGCCGGGGGAAUCCACCUCGCUCUCUUGCUCUUUGUGUAUCUUGGUAUUGGCAUUGCUUUGGUUGCCUUGCGCUUCGGCUUCCCCCUUUUGCCCUGCUCAGUGUGGCCGUGGGCGCGGCUCUGACUGUCCGUGCACAAGUAAAGGGGUAAAAAGGAGUGCCCCUACUUUUGUACACCGACAGGAGCCCCCGGGCCUGGGCCACACAUAAGCUCGACACAUUGUUGGGCCUGGCCCACAACGGUGCGCGGGCAGGUGGGGCGGAUUUUUACCGCGGUAACUUUUUCGCUCGCUUGCGCUUCCCCACGACCCCCGUUGAAUGCGCGUCGUGGAGGGUCGUGCGUAACAUGGGGGUCAUGCGUGGGAUGGUUCCCACAUGCAUGCGUCACGUCACAGUAAAGAGGCGGCUCGCGCCUUCCCCAUAAAAAGAGGGGAACACAGAGGCGCGACUCAUUUACUGAGCGGACUCGGGUCGCGGUCUUCAAGGCAUCUGCGCCCCACAAUCACGGGGUGGGGAACGGUUGCCUCACCCGACCCCUCGAUAGCUGCUUGCUCGCCAUGUGUUCUCGAUGCCUUUAAGGUGGCAGGCGGUGGAGCCAGGAAACCGGGCCGUCACUGAUUGGAGCAGCGGCUCGGUCCUGAUUCCCUGCGCCCCCGACAGCCGGAUUGGUUGAGUGGGGCGGCUGAGCCCCGAUCCCGCCCCUUUAUAAAGGGGGGGGAUCGGGAUGGCACCCCACAUUCUAUCAUCAUCCAUCUCCUUCCACCUCGUCUCCUUCCUUCCAUCUGCCAUGGCGAGAGGAGGCGCUGGUCCUUCGACGGUGGCAGCGAGGGUCUCUGCUCGACAGCGCGUCCCUCCUCGCCAAGAGCUCGCGGCGGCGAGGCCGGCCACGAGAGGAAGGGGGUGGGGGCGAGGCCGAGGUCGCUGUGGCGCUCGGGGAAGUGGGGGACGGGGCGGCGCACCGGCCUUGCCUCCGCUAGCGAUGCCUCCUCCAACGGAGGGCCACGUCGCGGACCAGCCCCAUGAGUUCUUCAUCAGGCUGCGUCGUGCACCGCGCCGUCGUCUUCGUCUCCCCACCCCAUUCGCUCGGGAGAUGGAGCUCGACCCGCCACAGACCCUCAGGUUGCAUAUGAGGGGCUGCGGGAAUGGCGGCACGCAGGUCGACGUCGACUUUCCCGCUCCUCACGUCAUGUACCUUCGUCGUGGGUGGAAGACAUUCGCUCGUGUCCACAGCCUGACGGCGGGGCUCUUUCUCUACUUCAAAUUAAUGGAGAACAGCCUGCUCUCCGUCAAGGUCUUUGGGGACCUUGGAACUCGCCUAAAGUGCUGCGUGGAGAGCUCCUCCGAUGAUGAAGACUCUUCCUCGAGCAGGAGUGACGAGGACGACAGCGACAGCGACGACGAGGGCGUCGAGCGAGGCGACGCCGACCUUGACUCUGACUGACCGUGUCAUCCCUUCAUCGGCUACGCGCCCUGCCAAGGGCCUUCCUUGUCAAGCUCUCCAUCAGCGCGUUCCCCGCCGCCUCCUUGGCGGCUGGCGUAGGAGGGCCGAAGAAGACGAAGAAGGCGGGCCGUCAAGUCAGAGUACACGGGCACCGACGCCUUCAUUGCGUAUUGUCGGCCUGCUGCCUCAUCUUUUGGCUCCUCUCCCGGCAUUGGGAUGCUCUCCUGGUGUCUUCUGCUGCUCGUACCUCACCUAGGCACUCUUUUUGCCCUCCGGCUACCUUGUUCCAUCUUCUGAGGAGAGGGACAAGAAAGGGAUUAUGGGCAUCUUAUCUCUUUUUAGUUUGUAAGCCUCCGGGCACUUGUUAGAUUUAAAACUUGUAAUCCCCUUGCUCAUGUUUUUCAUCCCGUAUGAACUGUACCUGUAUGGGACAUUUUAAUGAAAAAGGGUGCUUGCCGGGUUCUUUGUGCGUGAGCGAGGCCCAUGCCAAGGAGUGAAUCCUUGUUAUUUUUAAGAUAAACAUUGUUGCCCGGCAACAGGCCUUGCCGUCUGAAGGAAAUAUGCCCUAGAGGCAAUAAUAAAGUUAUUAUUUAUUUCCUUAUUACAUGAUAAAUUUUUAUUAUUCAUGCUAGAAUUGUAUUAACCGGAAACAUGAUACAUGUGUGAAUAAAUAGACAAACAGAGUGUCACUAGUAUGCCUCUACUUGACUAGCUCGUUGAUCAAAGAUGGUUAUGUUUCCUAGCCAUAGACAUGAGUUGUCAUUUGAUUAACGGGAUCACAUCAUUAGGAGAAUGAUGUGAUCUACUUGACCCAUUCCGUUAGCUUAGCACUUGAUCGUUUAGUAUUCUGCUGUUGCUUUCUUCAUGACUUAUACAUGUUCAUAUGACUAUGAGAUUAUGCAACUCCCGUUUACCGGAGGAACACUUUGUGUGCUACCAAACGUCACAACGUAACUGGGUGAUUAUAAAGGUGCUCUACAUGUGUCUCCGAAGGUACUUGUUGGGCUGGCGUAUUUCGAGAUUAGGAUUUGUUACUCCGAUUAUCGGAGAGGUAUCUCUGGGCCCACUCGGUAAUGCACAUCACUAUAAGCCUUGCAAGCAUUGUAACUAAUGAGUUAGUUGCGGGAUGAUGUAUUACGAAACGAGGAAAGAGACUUGCCGGUAGCGAGAUUGAACCAGGUAUUGAGAUACCGACGAUCAAAUCUCGGGCAAGUAACAUACCGAUGACAAAGGGAACAACGUAUGUUGUUAUGCGGUUUGACCGAUAAAGAUCUUCGUAGAGUAUGUAGGAGCCAAUAUGAGCAUCCAGGUUCCGCUAUUGGUUAUUGACCGGAGACGUGUCUCGGUCAUGUCUACAUAGUUCUCGAACCCGUAGGGUCCGCACGCUUAAAGUUUGAUGAUGAUUUAUAUUAUGAGUUAUGUGAUUUGAUGUAUCGAAGGUAGUUCGGAGUCCCGGAUGAGAUCGGGGACAUGACGAGGAGUCUCGAAAUGGUUGAGACGUAAAGAUCGAUAUAUUGGACGACUAUAUUCGGACAUCGGAAAGGUUCCGAGUGAUUCGGGUAUUUUCGGAGUACCGGGAGUUACGGGAAUUCACCGGGAGAAGUAGUGGGCCUUAUUGGGCCAUAAGGGAAUAGAGGAGGGAGGCCAAAAGGAAGGAGGCGCGCGCCCCCCCUCUGGUCCGAAUUGGGCAAGGGGUGCAACCCCCUUUUCCUUCUCCCUCUCCCCCUCUUUCCUUCUCUCCUACUCCGGAAAGGAAUGGGGAAUCCUACUAGGACUUGGGAGUCCUAGUAGGACUCCCCACACUUGGCGCGCCCCCUCUAGGGCCGGCCUCUCCCUCCCUCCUUUAUAUACGGGGGUAGGGGGGGCACCUCUAGACACAACAAUUGAUCUCUUGAUCUCUUAGCCGUGUGCGGUGCCCCCCCUCCACCAUAUUCCACCUCGAUAAUAUCGUACCGGUGCUUAGGCGAAGCCCUGCGUCGGUAGCAUCAUCAUCACCGUCACCACGCCGUCGUGCUGACGGAACUCUCCCUCAAAGCUCGGCUGGAUCGAAGUUCGAGGGACGUCAUCGAGCUGAACGUGUGCUGAACUCGGAGGUGCCGUACGUUCGGUACUUGAUCGGUUGGAUCGUGAAGAAGUACGACUACAUCAACCGCGUUGUGCUAACGCUUCCGCUUUCGGUCUACGAGGGUGCGUGGACACACUCUCCCCUCUCGUUGCUAUGCAUCACCAUGAUCCUGUGUGUGCGUAGGAAAUUUUUUGAAAUUACUACGUUCCCCAACAGUGGCAUCCGAGCCUGGUUUUAUGCGUAGAUGUUUAUGCACGAGUAGAACACAAGUGAGUUGUGGGCGAUACAAGUCAUACUGCUUACCAGCAUGUCAUACUUUGGUUCGGCGGUAUUGUUGGAUGAAGCGGCCCGGACCGACAUUACGCGUAUGCUUACGCGAGACUGGUUCUACCGACGUGCUUUGCACACAGGUGGCUGGCGGGUGUCAGUUUCUCCAACUUUAGUUGAACCGAGUGUGACUACGCCCGGUCCUUGAGAAGGUUAAAACAACACUAACUUGACGAUCUAUCGUUGUGGUUUUGAUGCGUAGGUAAGAACGGUUCUUGCUCAGACCGUAGCAGCCACGUAAAACUUGCAACAACAAAGUAGAGGACGUCUAACUUGUUUUUGCAGGGCAUGUUGUGAUGUGAUAUGGUUAAGACAUGAUGCUAAAUUUUAUUGUAUGAGAUGAUCAUGUUUUGUAACCGAGUUAUCGGCAACUGGCAGGAGCCAUAUGGUUGUCGCUUUAUUGUACGCAAUGCAAUCGCCCUGUAAUGCUUUACUUUAUCACUAAGCUGUAGUGAUAGUCGUAGAAGCAUAAGAUUGGCAAGACGACAACGAUGCUGCGAUGGAGAUCAAGGUGUCGCCCCGGUGACGAUGGUGAUCACGACAGUGCUUCGGAGAUGGAGAUCACAAGCACAAGAUGAUGAUGGCCAUAUCAUAUCACUUAUAUUGAUUGCAUGUGAUGUUUAUCUUUUAUGCAUCUUAUCUUGCUUUGAUUGACGGUAGCAUUAUAAGAUGAUCUCUCACUAAAUUAUCAAAGUAUAAGUGUUCUCCCUGAGGAUGCACCGUUGCGAAAGUUCUUCGUGCUGAGACACCACGUGAUGAUCGGGUGUGAUAGGCUCUACGUUCAAAUACAACGGGUGCAAAACAGUUGCACACGCGGAAUACUCAGGUUAAACUUGACGAGCCUAGCAUAUAACAGAUAUGACCUCGGAACACGGAGACCGAAAGGUCGAGCGUGAAUCAUAUAGUAGAUAUGAUCAACGUAGUGAUGUUCACCGUUGAAACUACUCCAUCUCACGUGAUGAUCGGACAUGGUUUAGUUGAUAUGGAUCACGUGAUCACUUAGAGGAUUAGAGGGAUGUCUAUCUAAGUGGGAGUUCUUUAAUAAUUUGAUUAACUGAACUUUAAUUUAUCAUGAACUUAGUACCUGAUAGUAUUUUGCAUGUCUAUAUUGUAGAUCAAUAGCUCGGUUUAGCUCCCCUGUUUUUAUUUUUAUAUGUUCCUAGAGAAAACUAAGUUGAAAAAUGUUAGUAGCAAUGAUGCGGAUUGGAUCCGUGAUCUGAGGAUUAUCCUCAUGCUGCACAGAAGAAUUAUGUCCUUGAUGCACCGCUAGGUGACAGGCCGAUUGCAGGAGCAAAUGCGGACGUUAUGAACAUUUGGCAAGCUCGAUAUGAUGACUACUUGAUAGUUCAGUGCACCAUGCUUUACGGCCUAGAAUCGUGGCUUCAAAGACGUUUUUGAAACACCACGGAACAUAUGAGAUGUUCCAAGAGUUGAAAUUAGUAUUUCAGACUCAUGCCCUUGUCGAAAGGUAUGAGACCUUUGACAAGUACUUCGCCUACAAGAUGGAGGAAAAUAGCUCAGCUAGUGAGCAUGUGCUCAGAAUGUGAGUACUACAAUCACAUGAAUCAAGUGGGAGUUAAUCUUCCAGAUAAGAUAGUGAUUGAGAGAGUUCUCUAGUCACUAUCACCAAGUUACUAGAACUUCGUGAUGAACUAUAAUAUUCAAGGGAUAACGGAAACGAUUCCCAAGCUCUUCGUGAUGUUGAAAUUGACGAAGGUAGAAAUCAAGAAAAGCAUCAAGUGUUGAUGGUUGACAAGACCACUAGUUUCAAGAAAAGGGGCAAAGGGAAGAAGGGGAACUUCAAGAAGAACGGCAAGCAAGUUGCUGCUCAAGUGAAGAAGCCCAUGUCUAGACCUAAGCCUGAGACUAAGUGCUUCUACUGCAAAGGGACUGGUCACUGGAAGCGGAACUGCCCCAAGUAUUUGGUGGAUAAGAAGGAUGGCAAAGUGAACAAAGGUAUAUUUGAUAUACAUGAUAUUGAUGUGUACUUUACUAGUGUUUAUAGCAACCUCUCGGCAUUUUGAUACUGGUUCAGUUGCUAAGAGUAGUAACUCGAAACGGGAGUUGCAGAAUGAACAGGAACUAGUUAAGGGCGAGGUGACGAUGUGUGUUGGAAUGAAUUCCAAGAUUGAUAUGAUCAUCAUCGCACAUUCCCUAUACUUUCGGGAUUAGUGUUGAACCUAAAUAAGUGUUAUUUGGUGUUUGCGUUAAGCAUGAAUAUGAUUUGAUCAUGUUUAUUGCAAUACGGUUAUUCAUUUAAGUUACAGAAUAAUUGUUGUUCUGUUUACAUGAAUAAAACCUUUUAUGGUCAUACACCCAAUGAAAAUGGUUUCUUGGAUCUCGAUCGUAGUGAUACACAUAAUCAUAAUAUUGAAGCCAAAAGAUGCAAAGUUAAUAAUGAUAGUGCAACUUAUUUGUGGCACUGCCGUUUAGGUCAUAUUGGUGUAAAGCGCAUGAAGAAACUCCAUGCUAAUGGACUUUUGGAAUCACGUGAUUAUGAAUCACUUGAUGCUUGCGAACCAUGCCUCAUGGGCAAGAUGACUAAGACUCCGUUCUCCGGGACAAUGGAGCGAGCAACAGAUUUGUUUGAAAUCAUACAUACUGAUGUAUGUGGUCCGAUGAAUAUUGAGGCUCGCGGCGGGUAUCAUUAUUUUCUGAUCUUCACAGUUGAUUUGAGCAGAUAUGGGUAUAUCUACUUGAUGAAACACAAGUCUGAAACAUUUGAAAAGUUCAAAGAAUUUCAGAGUGAAGUGGAGAAUCAUCGUAACAAAAAUAAAAGUUUCCACGAUAUGAUCGCAGAAGUAAGAUAUUUGAGUUACGAGUUUGGCCUUCAGUUAAAACAAUGUGAAAUAGUUUCACUACUCACGCCACCUGGAACACCACAGUGUAAUGGUGUGUCCGAACGUCGUCACCGUACUUUAUUAAGAUAUAGUGCGAUCUAUGAUGUCUCUUACCGAUCUACCACUAUCGUUUUGGGGUUAUGCAUUAGAGACAGCUACAUUCACGUUAAAUAGGGCACCAUCUAAAUCCGUUGAGACGACACCGUAUGAACUAUGGUUUGGCAAGAAACCUAAGCUGUCAUUUCUUAAAGGUUGGGGUUGCAAUGCUUAUGUGAAAAAAAUUCAACCAGAUAAGCUCAAACCCAAAUCGGAGAAGUGCGUCUUCAUAGGAUACCAAAAAAAAUGUUGGGUACACCUUCUAUCACAUAUCCGAAGGCAAGAUAUUCGUUGCUGAGUUUGGAAUUUUCUAGAGAAGGAGUUUCUCUCGAAAGAAGUGAGUGGGAGGAAAGUAGAACUUGAUGAGGUAACUAUACUUGCUCCCUUAUUGGAAAGUAGUUCAUCACAUAAACCAGUUCCUGUGACACCUACACCAAUUAGUAAGGAAGCUAAUGAUGAUGAUCAUGAAACUUCAGAUCAAGUUACUACCGAACCACGUAGGUCAACCAGAGUAAGAUCCGCACCAGAGUGGUACGGUAAUCCUGUUCUGGAAGUCAUGUUACUUGACCAUGACAAACCUAUGAACUAUGAGGAAGCGAUGAUGAGCCCAGAUUCCGCAAAAUGGCUUGAGGCCAUGAAAUCUGAGAUGGGAUCCAUGUAUGAGAACAAAGUGUGGACUUUGAUUGACUUGCCCAAUGAUCGGCGAGCCAUUGAAAAUAAAUGUAUCUUCAAGAGGAAGACGGACGCUGAUAGUAGUGUUACUAUCUACAAAGCUAGAAUUGUCGCAAAAGGUUUUCGACAAGUUCAAGGUGUUGACUACGAUGAGAAUAUCUCACUCGUAUCUAUGCUUAAGUUUGUCCGAAUAAUGUUAGCAAUUGCCGCAUUUUAUGAAAUCUGGCAAAUGGAUAAACAAAAAUGCAUUCCUUAAUGGAUUUAUUAAAGAAGAGUUGUAUAUGAUGCAACCAGAAGGUUUUGUCAAUCCUAAAGGUGCUAACAAAAUAUGCAAGCUCCAGCGAUCCAUCUAUGGACUGGUGCAAGCAUCUCGGAGUUGGAAUAUACGCUUUGAUAAAUUGAUCAAAGCAUAUAGUUUUAUACAGACUUGCGGUGAAGCCUGUAUUUACAAGAAAGUGAGUGGGAGCACUACAACAUUUCUGAUAAGUAUAUGUGAAUGACAUAUUGUUGAUCGGAAAUAAUGUAGAAUUAUUCUGCAAAGCAUAAAGGAGUGUUUAAAAGGAUUUUUUCAAAGAAAGACCUUGGUGAAGCUGCUUGCAUAUUGAGCAUCAAGAUCUAUAGAGAUAGAUCAAGACGCUUGAUAAGUUUUUUCAAUAAGUACAUACCUUGACAAGAUUUUGAAGUAGUUCAAAAUGGAACAGUCAAAGAAAGAGUUCUUGCCUGUGUUACAAGGUGUGAAAUUGAGUAAGACUCAAAGCCCGACCACGGCAGAAGAUAGAAACAGAAUGAAAGUCAUUCCCUAUGCCUCAACCAUAGGUUCUAUAAAGUAUGCCAUUGUAUACCCUACACUGAUUUUGGCAAGGGAGUACAAUAGUGAUCUAGGAAUAGAUCAUUGGACAGCGGUCAAAAUUACCCUUAGUGGAAAAAGGAUAUGUGUCUCGAUUAUGGAGGUGACAAAAAGGUUUGUCGUAAUGGGUUACGUCGAUGCAUGUUUUGACACUGAUCCAGAUGACUCUAAGUCUCAAUCUGGAUACAUAUUGAAAGUGGGAAGCUGUUAGCUAGAGUAGCUCCGCGCAGAGCAUUGUUGACAUAGAAAUUUGCAAAAUACAUACGGAUCUGAAUGUGGCAGACCCGUUGACUAAACUUCUCUCACAAGCAAAACAUGAUCACACCUUAGUACUCUUUGGGUGUUAAUCACAUAGCGAUGUGAACUAGAUUAUUGACUCUAGUAAACCCUUUGGGUGUUGGUCACAUGACGAUGUAAACUAUGGGUGUUAAUCACAUGGUGAUGUGAACUAUUGGUGUUAAAUCACAUGGUGAUGUGAACUAGAUUAUUGACUCUAGUGCAAGUGGGAGACUGAAGGAAAUAUGCCCGAGAGGCAAUAAUAAAGUUAUUAUUUAUUUCCUUAUUACAUGAUAAAUGUUUAUUAUUCAUGCUAGAAUUGUAUUAACCGGAAACAUGAUACAUGUGUGAAUACAUAGACAAACAGAGUGUCACUAGUAUGCCUCUACUUGACUAGCUCGUUGAUCAAAGAUAUUUAUGUUUCCUAGCCAUAGACAUGAGUUGUCAUUUGAUUAACGGGAUCACAUCAUUAGGAGAAUGAUGUGAUUGACUUGACCCAUUCCGUUACCUUACCACUUGAUCGUUUAGUAUUCUGCUACUGCUUUCUUCAUGAUUUAUACAUGUUCCUAUGACUAUGAGAUUAUGCAACUCCCGUUUACCGGAGGAACACUUUGUGUGCUACCAAACGUCACAACGUAACUGGGUGAUUAUGAAGGUGCUCUACAGGUGUCUCCGAAGGUACUUGUUGGGUAGGCAUAUUUCGAGAUUAGGAUUUGUCACUCCGAUUGUCGGAGAGGUAUCUCUGGGCCCACUUGGUAAUGCACAUCACUAUAAGCCUUGCAAGCAUUGUAACUAAUGAGUUAGUUGCGGGAUGAUGUAUUACGGAACGAGUAAAGAGACUUGCCGGUAACGAGAUUGAACUAGGUAUUGAGAUACCGACGAUCAAAUCUCGGGCAAGUAACAUACCGAUGACAAAGGGAACAACGUAUGUUGUUAUGCGGUUUGACCGAUAAAGAUCUUCGUAGAGUAUGUAGGAGCCAAUAUAAGCAUCCAGGUUCCGCUAUUGGUUAUUGACCGGAGACGUGUCUCGGUCAUGUCUACAUAGUUCUCGAACCCGUAGGGUCCGCACGCUUAAAGUUUGAUGACGAUUUGUAUUAUGAGUUAUGUGAUUUGAUGUAUCGAAGGUAGUUCAGAGUCCCGGAUGAGAUCGGGGACAUGACGAGGAGUCUCGAAAUGGUCCAGACGUAAAGAUCGAUAUAUUGGACGACUAUAUUCGGACAUCGGAAAGGUUCCAAGUGAUUCGGGUAUUUUCGGAGUACCGGGGAGUUACGGGAAUUCACCGGGAGAAGUAUUAGGCCUUAUUGGGCCAUACGGGAAUAGAGGAGGGAGGCCAAAAGGAAGCACGCCCCCCCGGUCCGAAUUGGACAAGGGGUGCAACCCCCUUUUCCUUCUCCCUCUCCCCCUCUUUCCUUCUCUCCUACUCCGGUAAGGAAUGGGGAAUCCUACUAGGACUUGGGAGUCCUAGUAGGACUCCCCACACUUGGCGCGCCCCCUCUAGGGUCGGCCUCUCCCUCCCUCCUUUAUAUACGGGGGCAGGGGGCACCUCUAGACACAACAAUUGAUCUCUUGAUCUCCUUAGCCGUGUGCGGUGCCCCCCUCCACCAUAUUCCACCUCGAUAAUAUCGUAGCGGUGCUUAGGCGAAGCCUUGCGUCGGUAGCAUCAUCAUCACCGUCACCACGCCGUCGUGCUGACGGAACUCUCCCUCAAAGCUCGCCUGGAUCGGAGUUCGAGGGACGUCAUCAAGCUGAACGUGUGCUGAACUCGGAGGUGUCGUACGUUCGGUACUUGAUCGGUCAGAUCGUGAAGAAGUACGACUACAUCAACCGCAUUGUGCUAAUGCUUCCGUUUUCGGUCUUUGAGGGUACGUGGACACACUCUCCCCACUCGUUGGUAUGCAUCACCAUGAUCCUGUGUGUGCAUAGGAAUUUUUUUGAAAUUACUACAUUCCCCAACACCGUCCCCUUACUUCGUUCGACCAUUCUCACGCUCUUGGCGGAGGAAGGGGUGAAGUAGAGUUAGGCCCUUCGUUUAUUUCCUUGUCACCGCGACUGCGACCCAGUCCCGACCCAGGGAAUAGUUUCUUGGUACAGAAAGAAGGGGGAGCACGGCGACCUAGGAAUAAAACAAGGUUUCACACGUCCUAACUUCAUAUGGGAAUGCACAAUUGGGUAUGAAAGACUUAUCUGGAUCCGCAGCCCCCGGCAGCCUUGGCUUGCCGUGGUUGGACUCUUACGUCUACAGCCCCUGGCAACCUUGGCUUGCCGGGGCCGGAAUGUCGACUUGUUCUCUUCCUUCCAAACAGCUCAGAAGAAACGUCCAUGUACCCUGCGAACCAAAGAAGACAGAAAGGAACAGAGAGACGCACACUCGACCUCUAUGCUAGGGGUUAGUCCAUUAACCCUAACUGAGGGAGAGACCUGACCUAGCUUGCAUGCUAAAACUUAGGGCACCAGCGCUUCAUUUAUUUAUGCUCAGGGUCUGCGCCUGGCUUUAUACAGAGGGUUACAUGACUCGCUGGCAAGGCUUGUACAAAAGGUGGUUUGUCAUGGGGGCUGAUACGUCUCCAACGUAUCUAUAAUUUUUGAUUGUUCCAUGCUAUAUUAUAUUCUGUUUUGGACAUUAUUGGGCUUUAUUAUACACUUUUAUAUUAUUUUUGGGACUAACCUAUUAACCGGAAGCACAGCCCAGAAUUGUUGUUUUUUGCCUAUUUUAGAGUUUCGCAGAAAAAGAAUAUCAAACGGAGUCCAAACGGAAUAAAACCUUCGUGAACGUGAUUUUUGGAACGAACGUGAUCCAGGGGACUUGGACCCUACGUCAAGAAAGCUACCAGGAAGCCACGAGGUAGGGGGCGCGCCUACCCCCCUGGGCGCGCCCUCCACCCUCGUGGGCCCCACGUUGCUCCACCGACGUACUCCUUCCUCCUAUAUAUACCUACGUACCCCCAAACUACCAGAUACGGAGCCAAAAACCUAAUUCCACCGCAACAACUUUCUGUACCCGUGAGAUCCCAUCUUGGGGCCUGUUCCGGAGAUCCGCCGGAGGGGGCAUCGGUCACGGAGGGCUUCUACAUGAACACCAUAGCCUCUCCGAUGAUGUGUGAGUAGUUUACCUCAGACCUUCGGGUCCAUAGUUAUUAGCUAGAUGGCUUCUUCUCUCUUUUUGGAUCUCAAUACAAUGUUCUCCCCCUCUCUCGUGGAGAUCUAUUCGAUGUAAUCUUCUUUUGUGGUGUGUUUGUUGAGACCGAUGAAUUGUGGGUUUAUGAUCAAGUUUAUCUAUGAACAAUAUUUGAAUCUUUUGAAUUCUUUUAUGUAUGAUUGGUUAUCUUUGCAAGUCUCUUCGAAUUAUCUGUUUGGUUUGGCCUACUAGAUUGAUCUUUCUUGCAAUGAGAGAAGUGCUUAGCUUUGGGUUCAAUCUUGCGGUGUCCUUUCCCAGUGACAGUAGGGGCAGCAAGGCAUGUAUUAUAUUGUUGCCAUCGAGGAUAACAAGACGGGGUUUAUAUCAUAUUGCAUGAGUUUAUCCCUCUACAUCAUGUCAUCUUGGUUAAAGCGUUACUCUGUUCUUAUGAACUUAAUACUCUAGAUGCAUGCUGGAUAACGGUUGAUGUGUGGAGUAAUAGUAGUAGAUGCAGGCAGGAGUCGGUCUACUUGUCUCGGACGUGAUGCCUAUAUACAUGAUCAUACCUAGAUAUUCUCAUAACUAUGCUCAAUUCUGUCAAUUGCUCAACAGUAAUUUGUUCACCCACCAUAAAUACUUAUGCUCUCGAGAGAAGCCACUAGUGAAACCUAUGGCCCCCGGGUCUAUUUUCCAUCAUAUUAAUCUUCCAACACUUAGCUAUUUCCGUUGCCUUUUAUUUUGCUUUUAUUUUACUUUGCAUCUUUAUCAUUAAAAUACCAAAAAUAUUAUUCUAUCAUAUCUAUCAGAUCUCACUCUCGUAAGUGACCAUGUAGGGAUUGACAACCCCUUAUCGCGUUGGUUGCGAGGAUUUAUUUGUUUGUGUAGGUGCGAGGGACUCGUGCGUGGCCUCCUACUGGAUUGAUACCUUGGUUCUCAAAAACUGAGGGAAAUACUUACGCUACUUUGCUACAUCACCCUUUCCUCUUCAAGGGAAAACCAACGCAGUGCUCAAGAGGUAGCAAGAAGGAUUUCUGGCGCCGUUGCCGGGGAGUCUACGCAAAAGCCAACAUACCAAGUACCCAUCACAAACCCUUAUCUCCUGCAUUACAUUAUUUGCCAUUUGCCUCUUGUUUUCCUCUCCCCCACUUCACCCUUGCCGUUUUAUUCGCCCUCUCUUUUCCGUUUGCCUUCUUCUUUCCUUUUUGCCCCUCGCUCUUUCUACCGUUAUGUCUGAAAUUGGGGAAAAUAUUGUCGAUAUGGACAAUAAUAAUGUCAUGGAAAAUUCUGAUGCUCCUGAUGAAGAACCCCUUACCUUGCAUACAAAAAAAAAUUCGAAUUGGUAGUGGUAAUAUUAUUGGGAAAGGGGUUAUUCAGGAUUUCUUUACUUGUGCCGGUGCUUUGCCCUCUAUGGGCAGUUCUAUCCUUCAUAAAACUAAUAGUCUUGCGGAAGCUAUUGCCAUGCUUGUAGCUGAACUUGAAAGACAAUUUAUGCAUAUGCAUCCUUGCAUAUAGAGGAUUUUCCUAGAAUUUUCUAACAUUGAGCACUCUUCUGUUAAGCGUGCCGCUACUAUCUUUUUGGCUCAUGAGUUCAGAUUUAUUAUAAAAGAGGCCAAAGAAAUCUUUGCGCAUUAUAGGGUGGACGCUGGAUGUCCUCCCAUAGAAACUAUCUUAUUUGAUCAAGAGGAAAUAGUGCGUUUUCAAUCUCUAGAUUAUGCUGCUUUUAAUGAAAACCUUAGAAAAAAGGUUCCUACCAAUAUUCUAAUUGAUAGAAUUUUUAAACUUAAUGAUGAUUUUGCUAUUCGAAAUAAUGAGCUAGGAUAUUCUCUCGAGUAUAGGCUCACAAAGUUCUGUCAAAAGAAUGCUUAUAAUGAUGAAUUGGUUGUGCAAUACGAAGGGCCGAAGGAGGAACCUAUACCUCCUAAAAUUGAUCUUGGGGACUUUUGUCCCAUUAAAUUUAGCCCUUUUGAUUACUUUUGCUUGCCUCAAAGGAAACUUGCUGCUGAACGUAGAGAAUAUGAAAUGAGUUUUAAUGAUCUAUCCUACUACUAUGGCAAUACCUAGAUCUAUCCUUGUUUUUAUGCCUAGCUAGGGGCGUUAAACGAUAGCGCUUGUUGGGAGGCAACCCAAUUUUAUUUUGAGUUUUUUUGCUUUAGCUUCUGUUUAGGAACAAAUUUUUGUUCUAACCUCUGGUUAGAUGUGUUUUUUUUGUUUCAGUUAGUGUUUGUGCCAAGUUAAACCUAUAGGAUCUUAUUGGAUAAUAGUUAUUUGAUCUUGCUGAAAAUUCCAGAAACUUUCUGUUCACGAAAAUAAUUGUUAAAAAUCACUAGAACGUGAUAAAAUAUUGAUUCCAAUUGCUGCUGAUCAAUAAACAAAUUUUCUAGGUCGUCCUAUUUUGGCUGAAUUUUUGAAGUUCCAGAAGUUUGCGUUAGUUACAGAUUACUACAGACUGUUCUGUUUUUGACAGAUUCUGUUUUUCAUGUGUUGUUUGCUUAUUUUGAUGAAUCUAUGGCUAGUAAAAUAGUUUAUAAACCAUAGAGAAUUUGGAAUACAGUAGGUUUAACACCAAUAUAAAUAAAGAAUGAGUUCAUUACAGUACCUUGAAGUAGUCUUUUGUUUUCUUUCGCUAACGGAGCUCACGAGAUUUUCUGCUGAGUUUUGUGUUGUGAAGUUUUCAAGUUUUGGAUGAAAGAUUUGAUGGAUUAUGGAACAAGGAGUGGCAAGAGCCUAAGCUUGGGUAUGCCCAAGGCACCCCAAGAUAAUCUAAGGACACCUAAAAGCCAAAGCUUGGGGAUGCCCCAGAAGGCAUCCCCUCUUUCGUCUAGUUCCAUCGGUAACUUUACUUGGAGCUAUAUUUUUAUUCACCACAUGAUAUGUGUUUUGCUUGGAGCGUCUUGUACUAUUUGAGUCUUUAUUUGUUAGUUUACCACAAUCAUUCUUGCUGUACACACCUUUUGAGAGAGUCACACUUGAUUCGGAAUUUAUUAGAAUACUCUAUGUGCUUCGCUUAUAUUUUUUGAGCUAUAUAGUUUUUGCUCUAGUGCUUCACUUAUAUCUUUUAGAGCACGGUGGUGGAUUUGUUUUAUAGAAACUAUUGAUCUCUCAUGCUUCACUUAUAUUAUUUUGGGAGUCUUGAAACAGCAUGGCAAUUUGCUUUAAUUAAUAUCAUGAGAAAUUUGAUGCUUGAUAAUUGUUUCGGGAUAUAAAGGUGGUAAUAUCAUAGUUGUGCUAGUUGAGUAAUUGUGGAAUUGAAAAAUACAUGUGUUGGAGUUUAUGAUUCCCAUAGCAUGCACGUAUGGUGAACCGUUAUGUAAUGAAGUCGGAGCACGAAGUAUUUGUUGAUUGUCUUCCUUUGUGUGGCGGUCGGGAUCGCGCGAUGGUUAACUCCUACCAACCCUUCCCCUAGGGGCAUGCGUAGUAGUACUUUUCUUCGAGGGCUAAUAAAUUUUUGCAAUAAGUAUAUGAGUUCUUUAUGACUAAUGUGAGUCCAUGGAUUAUACGCACACUUACCUUUCCGCAAUUUUCUAGCCUCUUCGGUACCGCGCAUUGCCCUUUCUCACCUUGAGAGUUGGUGCAAACUUCACCGGUGCAUCCAAACCCCGUGAUAUGAUACGCUCUAUCACACAUAAACCUCCUUAUAUCUUCCUCAAAACAGCCACCAUACCAACCUAUUAUGGCAUUUCCAUAGCCAUUCCGAGAUAUAUUGCCAUGCAACUUUCCACCGUUUCAUUCAUCGUGACACGCUCCAUUAUUGUCAUAUUGCUUUGCAUGAUCAUGUAGUUGACAUAGUAUUUGUGGCAAAGCCAUCGUUCAUUAUUAUAUCAUACAUGUCGCUCUUGAUUCAUUGCAUAUCCCGGUACACCGCCAGAGGCAUUCAUAUAGAGUCAUAUUUUGUUCUAAGUAUUGAGUUGUAAUUCAUGAGUUGUAAGUAAAUAAAAGUGUGAUGAUCAUCAUUAUUAGAGCAUUGUCCCAAGUGAGGAAAGGAUGAUGGAGACUAUGAUUCCCCCACAAGUCGGGAUGAGACUCUGGACUUAAAUAAAAAAAGAGGCCAUAAAAAAAAGAGAAAAGGCCCAAAUAAAAAAAUGAUGAGAGAAAAAGAGAGAAUGGACAAUGUUACUAUCCUUUUACCACACGUGUGCUUCAAAGUAGCACUGUGAUCUUCAUAAUAGAGAGUCUCUCAUUUUGUCACUUUCAUAUAAUAGUGGGAAAUUUCAUUAUAGAACUUGGCUUGUAUAUUCCAAUGAGGGGCUUCCUCAAAUGCCCGAGGUCUUCGUGAGGAAGCAAGUUGGAUGCACACCCACUUAGUUUUCUUUUUGAGCUUUCAUACACUUAUAGCUCUAGUGCAUCCGUUGCAUGGAAAUCCCUACUCCUCACAUUAACAUCAAUUGAUGGGCAUCUCCAUAGCCCGUUGAUUAGCCUCGUUGAUGUGAGACUUUCUCCUUUUUUGUCUUCCCACAUAACCCCUACCAUUAUACCUUAUUCCACCAUAGUGCUAUAUCCAUGGCUUGCGCUCAUGUAUUGCGUAAGAGUUGAAAAGGCGGAAGCGCGUUAAAAGUAUGAACCAAUUGCUUGGCCAAAACCGGGGUCGUACAUGAUAUGAAUAAUUUGUGUGGGGAAGAUGGAGCAUAGCCAGACUAUAUGAUUUUGUAGGGAUAACAUGCUUUGGCUAUGUUAUUUUGAUAAGACAUAAUUGCUUAGUUAGUAUGCUUGAAGUAUUAUUGUUUUUAUGUCAACAUUAAACUUUUUAUCUUGAAUCAUAUCAAAUCUGAACAUUCAUGCCACAAUAAGAAGGAUUAUGUUGAAAUUAUGCCAAGUAGCAUUCCACAUAAAAAAUUCUGUUUUUAUCAUUUACCUACUCGAGGACGAGUAGGAAUUAAGCUUGGGGAUGCUUGAUACGUCUCCAACGUAUCUAUAAUUUUUUAUUGUUCCAUGCUAUAUUAUAUUCUGUUUUGGACAUUAUUGGGCUUUAUUAUACACUUUUAUAUUAUUUUUGGGAUAACCUAUUAACCGGAGGCCCGGCCCAGAAUUGCUGUUUUUUUGCCUAUUUCCGAGUUUCCUAGAAAAAGAAUAUCAAACAGAGUCCAAACGGAAUGAAACCUUCGGGAACGUGAUUUUUGGAACGAACGUGAUCCAGGGGACUUGGACCCUACGUCAAGAAAGCUACCAGGAAGCCACGAGGUAGGGGGCAUGCCUACCCCCCUGGGCGCGCCCUCCACCCUCGUGGGCCCCAUGUUGCUCCGCCGACGUACUCCUUCCUCCUAUAUAUACCUACGUACCCCCAAACUACUAGAUACGGAGCCAAAAACCUAAUUCCACUGCCGCAACUUUCUGUACCCGUCAGAUCCCAUCUUGGGGCCUGUUCCGGAGCUCCGCCGGAGGGGGCAUCGAUCACGGAGGGCUUCUACAUCAACACCAUAGCCUCUCCGAUGAUGUGUGAGUAGUUUACCUUAGACCUUCGGGUCCAUAGUUAUUAGCUAGAUGGCUUCUUCUCUCUUUUUGGAUCUCAAUACAAUGUUCUCCCCCUCUCUCAUGGAGAUCUAUUCGAUGUAAUCUUCUUUUGCGGUGUGUUUGUUGAGACUGAUGAAUUGUGGGUUUAUGAUCAAGUUUAUGUAUGAACAAUAUUUGAAUCUUCUGAAUUCUUUUAUGUAUGAUUGGUUAUCUUUGCAAGUCUCUUCGAAUUAUCAGUUUGGUUUAGCCUACUAGAUUGAUCUUUCUUGCAAUGGGAGAAGUGCUUAGCUUUGGGUUCAAUCUGGCGGUGUCCUUUCCCAGUGACAGUAGGGGCAGCAAGGCACGUAUUGUAUUGUUGCCAUCGAGGAUAACAAGAUGGGGUUUAUAUCAUAUUGCAUGAGUUUAUCCCUCUACAUCAUGUCAUCUUGCUUAAAGCGUUACUCUGUUCUUAUGAACUUAAUACUCUAGAUGCAUGCUGGAUAGCGGUCGAUGUGUGGAGUAAUAGUAGUAGAGGCAGGCAGGAGCCGGUCUACUUGUCUCAGACGUGAUGCCUAUAUACAUGAUCAUACCUAGAUAUUCUCAUAACUAUGCUUAAUUCUGUCAAUUGCUCAACAGUAAUUUGUUCACCCACCGUAAAUACUUAUUCUCUCGAGAGAAGCCACUAGUGAAACCAAUGGCCCCCGGGUCUAUUUUCCAUCAUAUUAAUCUUCCAACACUUAUCUAUUUCCGUUGCCUUUUAUUUUGUUUUUAUUUUACUUUGCAUCUUUAUCAUAAAAAUACCAAAAAUAUUAUUCUAUCAUAUCUAUCAGUUCUCACUCUCGUAAGUGACCGUGUAGGGAUUGACAACCCCUUAUCGCGUUGGUUGCAAGGAUUUAUUUGUUUGUGUAGGUGCGAGGGACUCGUGCGUGGCCUCCUACUGGAUUGAUACCUUGGUUCUCAAAAACUGAGGGAAAUACUUACGCUACUUCGCUGCAUCACCCUUUCCUCUUCAAGGGAAAACCAACGCAGUGCUCAAGAGGUAGCAGGGGCCCGGCAACCGCGCCUUAUGGGUAAAACUUGCGAAGAUGUUUGAUGACCCACAAGUAUAGGGGAUCUAUCAUAGUCCUUUCGAUGAGUAAGAGUGUCGAAGCCAACGAGGAGCAGAAGGAAAUGGUAAGCGGUUUUCAGCAAGGUAUUCUCUGCAAGUACUGAAAUAAGUGGUAACAGAUAGUUUUGUGAUAGGAUAAUUUGUAACGAGCAACAAAUAACAAAAGUAAAUAAAGUGCAGCAAGGUGGCCCAAUCGUUUUUGUAGCAAAGGACAAGCCGGUACAAACUCUUAUAUAGAGAAAAGCACUCCCGAGGACACAUGGGAAUUGUCGUCAAGCUAGUUUUCAUCACGUUCAUAUGAUUCGCGUUCGGUACUUUAAUAAUUUGAUAUGUGGGUGGACCGGUGCUUGGGUGCUGUUCUUACUUGAACAAGCAUCCCACUUAUGAUUAACCUCCAUUGCAAGCAUCCGCAACUACAACAAAAGUAUUAAGGUAAACCUAACCAUAGCAUGAAACAUAUGGAUCCAAAUCAGCCCCUUACGAAGCAACACAUAAACUAGGGUUUAAGCUUCUAUCACUCUAGCAACCCAUCAUCUACUUAUUACUUCCCAAUGCCUUCCUCUAGGCCCAAAUAAUGGUGCAGUGUUAUGUAGUCGACGUUCACAUAACACCACUAGAGGAUAGACAACAUACAUCUCAUCAAAAUAUCGAACGAAUACCAAAUUCACAUGACUACUAAUAGCAAGACUUCUCCCAUGUCCUCGGGAACAUACGUAACUACUCACAAAGCAUAUUCAUGUUCAUAAUAAGAGGGAUAUUAAUAUGCAUAAAGGAUCUGAACAUAUGAUCUUCCACCAAAUAAACCAAUUAGCAUCAACUACAAGGAGUAAUCAACAGUACUAGCAACCUACAAGUACCAAUCCCGGACUUGGAGACAAGAAUUGGAUACAAGAUAUGAACUAGGGUUUUGAGAGGAGAUGGUGCUGGUGAAGAUGUUGAUGGAGAUUUCCCUCUCCCGAUGAGAGGAGCAUUGGUGAUGACGAUGGCGAUGAUUUCCUCCUCCCGGAGGGAAGUGUUCCCGGCAGAACAGCUCUGCCGGAGCCCUAGAUUGGUUCCGCCAAGGUUCCGCCUCGUGGCGGCGGAGUCUCGUCCCGAAAGGUUGCUUAUGAUUUUUUCCUCGACUAAAGACUUCAUAUAGUAGAAGAUGGCCACCGGAGAGCCAACAGGGGGCCCACGAGGCAGGGGGCGCGCCCUGGGGUAGGGCGCGCCCCCACCCUCGUGGACAGGUGGUGGCCCCCUGGCGUAUUUCUUCCGCUCAGUAUUUUUUAUUAUUUCCAAAAGUAACUUUCGUGGAGUUUCAGGACUUUUGGAGUUGUGCAGAAUAGGUCUCUAAUAUUUGCUCCUUUUCCAGCCCAGAAUUCCAGCCGCCGGCAUUCUCCCUCCUUAUGUAAACCUUGUAUAAUAAAAGAGAAUAGGCAUAAGUAUUGUGACAUAAUGUGUAAUAACAGCCCAUAAUGCAAUAAAUAUCGAUAUAAAAGCAUGAUGCAAAAUGGACGUAUCAACUCCCCUUCGCUUAGACCUCGCUUGCCCUCAAGCGAAAGCCGAUAACGAUAAAUAUGUCCACAAUGCAUGAUUAUUCUCAUAACAGCAAGAUAUAUAGAUAUUGUCAUAUGAUUUCUUAUGCUCAAGUAAUAAUCUAUUCACAAUGCAAAGUAUGAAUCAGAAACUUUAUUGAGAAGCAACAAACUAUAAUCUCAGUCAUUGAGGCAAUUGCAAUUUAUCAUAAUAUCAGAAAGAGUCUAUGUCAGAGCUUUCUAGCAAGUCCACAUACUCAACUAUCAUUUAGUCUUUCAUAAUUGCUAACAAUCAAGCAAUACUUGUGGUUACGGAGUUUUAAUCGGACACAGAGAAAGAUAGGGGCUUAUAGUUUCGCCUCCGAACUUUUUACCUCAAGGGUAAUGUCAACAAUAAUAACUCAUGCUGACUUACAUCCAAUUAGAUAUAUCUAUCAGGAUCUUUCCAACACCCUGUGCUUGCCAAAGGAUAAAAUAUAAAAAGGAAAGGUGAAGAUCACCAUGACUCUUGCAUAAGGUGGAAGAUAAUAAUAAAAGAUAGGCCCUUCGCAGAGGGAAGCAGAGGUUGCCAUGCGCUUUUAUGGUUGGAUGCACAAAAUCUCAAUGCGAAAGAACGUCGCUUUAUAUUGCCACUUGUGAUAUGAACCUUUAUUAUGCAGUCCGUCGCUUUUAUUUCUUCCACAUCACAAGAUCGUAUAAAGCUUAUUUCAUCCACACCAAUCAAUCAUACAUAUUUAGAGAGCAAUUUUUAUUGCUUGCACCGAUGACAACUUACUUGAAGGAUCUUACUUAAUCCAUAGGUAGGUAUGGUGGACUCUCAUGGCAAAACUGGUUUAAGGGUAUUUGGAAGCACAAGUAGUAUCUCUACUUGGUGCUAAGAUUUUGGCUAGCAUGAGAGGGAAAGGCAAGCACAACAUGUUGGAUGAUCCAUGACAAUAUACUUUAUCUCAGAUAUAAGAAAACAUAACCCAUUACGUUGUCUUCCUUGUCCAACAUCAACUCUUUAGCAUGUCAUACUUUAAUGAGUGCUCCCAAUCAUAAAAGAUGUCCAUGAUAGUAUAUUUAUAUGUGAAAUCUCUCUUUCUUUAUUACUUCCUAUUAAUUGCAACGAUGACCAAAACUAUGUUUGCCAACUCCCAACAACUUUUAAUCACCAUAUCCUUUAUAUGUGAAGUCAUUACUCUCAAUAAGGUCAACAUGAUCUCUUGGUUUCCUUUUUUAUUCUUUUCCUCUUUUCUUUACUCAAGAUCAUUGCAAAAUAAUCAAGCCCUUGACUCAACACUAAUCUUUAUUAUAUAGCUCAUGUACUCGAUUACAUAGAGAGAUCAUAAAGCAAAAACUCAAAACUAGAUCAUGCCAUAAACUUUUAUUCUACUAGAUCAAGAUACUACUAAUAGGAUCGAACUAAGAAAACGGUAAAGAUAGGAGUGUGGUGGUGAUACGAUACCGGGGCAUCUCCCCCAAGCUUGGCAGUUGCCAAGGGGAGUGCCCAUACCCAUGUGAUUAUAUCUCCUUUGCUGAUGAAGAAGGUGGUGGUGUUGUUGAUGAUGCGGGCUUAUCGUCCAUCUUCCAAGGCAUAGGCUCACCAUCAUAGAAGGAUGAUCGAGUCUCCGGGAUCCUCAAAUCUGUAGCCAAACUCAUCCUUUUGAAUCUAUAUUCAUACUCACAGUUUUGGUUUUGCAGGUCAUAGAUUUGGGCUUGAAGGUGCUCGAUCUUCUCGUGAAGCUUGAAGAUGGUCUCCCCAAUGUUGUCGGCAUCCAGCUUGUGGUUGUUGGUGAACUCCGCGAUCAUCAUGUGGUUGGAGUUGAGUCCACGUUCCACCACCCCCUGGCACUUGAAAACUUGUUGCUCCAUUGCUUCGAGCCUCGUAUCCACACUUCCGGUCCCCUUCGGUCCCUCAACAUCGCGGAUGUGCAGCAACCCAUCACGCAUCUCAAUGGUUUGAGGGUGUCGCAGCACCACCGCGAGGUAAGGGUUGAUGACCUUCUCGAAGAACUUGUCCUUGGGGGCACUUGGAGACGUCAUGAUAAUCUAGAUCUGUCAGAAAAACAGCUCGAAACAAGAACAGAGGAUAUCUGCGUGAUACAUGGGUCAAAACCUUCGGGAGAUUGUAUAAUGAAUUUUUACCAACCAAAAUACGUAUCGUGCAAGAAAACGGAGUCCGGAGAGCACACGAGGUGCCCACGAGGUAGGGGGCGCGCCCAGUAGGGUAGGGCGCGCCCUCCACCCUCGUGGAGGCCUCGUGUCCUUCCCGGACUACUUAUUUUUCUAUUUUUCUAAAUAAUCCAAAAUGGAGAAAUAUUGCCAUAUAAACUGUUUUGGAGUCGGUUUACUUACCAUACCACAUACCUAUUCCUUUUCGGAGUCUGAAACGUUCCGGAAAGUGUCCCUUAUGUAUUCGUCCGGGGUUACGGUUUCAAUAACAUUGGUUUCAACAUUUAUGGGAUUACCUGAGAUAUAAUGUUUGAUUCUUUGCCGUUCACCACCUUCGGAUUUGUGCCUUCGAAGUUGUUGAUUUUUAUGGCACCAGAACGAUAGACCUCCUCGAUAACGUAAGGACCUUCCCAUUUAGAGAGAAGUUUUCCUGCAAAAAAUCUUAAACGAGAGUUGUAUAGCAAUACAUAAUCACCUACAUUAAACUCACACUUUUGUAUCCUUUUGUCAUGCCAUCUUUUAACUUUUUCUUUAAACAACUUGGCAUUCUCAUAAGCUUGGGUUCUCCAUUCAUCAAGUGAGAUAAUAUCAAAUAACCUCUUCUCAGCGGCAAGUUUGAAAUCAUAAUUGAGCUCUUUAAUAGCCCAAUAAGCCUUAUGUUCUAGUUCGAGAGGUAAGUGACAUGCUUUUCCAUAAACCAUUUUAUACGGAGACAUACCCAUAGGAUUUUUAUAUGCAGUUCUGUAGGCCCAUAUUGCAUCAUCAAGUUUCUUGGACCAAUUCUUUCUAGAUCUAUUAACAGUCUUUUGCAAAAUUAAUUUGAGUUCCCUAUUACUCAAUUCUACUUGACCACUAGACUGCGGGUGAUAAGGAGAUGCAAUUCUAUGAUUAACAUCAUACUUAGCAAGCAUUUUACGGAAAGCACCAUGAAUAAAAUGUGAACCACCAUCGGUCAUUAAAUAUCUAGGGACUCCAAACCUCAGAAAAAUAACUUCCUUAAGCAUCUUAAUAGAAGUGUUAUGAUCAGCACUACUAGUUGGAAUAGCUUCUACCCACUUAGUAACGUAAUCAACAGUAACUAAAAUAUGUGUGUAACCAUUAGAGGAAGGAAAAGGUCCCAUAUAAUCAAAACCCCAAACAUCAAAUGGUUCAAUAACAAGUGAAUAGUUCAUAGGCAUUUCUUGACGUCUACUAAUAUUACCAAUUCUUUGACAUUCAUCACAAGAUAAGACAAACUUACGGGCAUCCUUGAAGAGAGUAGGCCAAUAAAAACCGGAUUGCAAUACCUUAUGUGCAGUUCUAUCUCCAGCGUGGUGUCCUCCAUAAGCUUCAGAGUUACACUUGCGUAGUAUCUGUUCCUUUUCAUGCUCAGGUACACAACAUCUAAUAACACCAUCUACUCCUUCUUUAUAAAGAUGUGGGUCAUCCCAGAAGUAAUGUCUCAAAUCAUAGAAAAACUUUUUCUUUUGCUGGUAUGUGAAACUAGGUGGUAUAAAUUUAGCAACGAUGUAAUUAGCAUAAUCAGCAUACCAUGGAGCUGUACAAGAAGCAUUUAUGACAUUUAAUUGCUCAUCAGGAAAGCUAUCAUCAAUAGGUAGUGGGUCAUCAAGAACAUUUUCUAACCUAGACAAGUUGUCUGCAACGGGGUUCUCAGCUCCCUUUCUAUCAACAAUAUGCAAAUCAAAUUCUUGUAGCAAGAGAACCCAUCUAAUAAGUCUAGGUUUAGCAUCUUUCUUUUCCAUAAGAUAUUUAAUAGCAGCAUGAUCCAUGUGAAUAGUUACUUUAGAAUCAACAAUAUAAGGUCUGAACUUAUCAUAAGCAAAUACAACUGCUCAGAAUUCUUUUUCAGUAGUAGCAUAAUUUCUUUGAGCAUUGUCUAGAGUAUUACUAGCAUAUUGAAUAACAUUUAAUUUCUUAUCAACCAUUUGUCCUAGAACAGCACCUAUAGCAUAAUCACUAGCAUCACACAUAAUUUCAAAGGGUAAAUUCCAAUCAGGUGGCUGAACAAUAGGUGCAGAGAUCAAUGCUUUCUUAAGUAUUUCAAAUGCUUCUACACAAUAAUCAUAAAAAACAAAUGUAUAUCUUUUUGAAAUAAAUUAGUCAGAGGCCGAGAAAUUUUGGAGAAGUCCUUAAUGAACCUCCUAUAAAAACCGGCGUGACCAAGGAAACUUAUUAUACCUUUGAUGUCCUUGGGACGUGGCAUCUUCUCAAUAGCAUCAACCUUGGCUUUUUCAACUUCAAUACCUCUUUCAGAAACUUUAUGCCCCAAGACAAUACCUUCGUUAACCAUGGAUAGUAGAUAUAGGUUUUUGUAAUCUGAAAAUAUAAAAACAGCAAGGUAACAAGUGGUAAAAGUGAGCGUAAACGGUAUUGCAAUGCUAGGAAACAAGGCCUAGGGUUCAUACUUUCACUAGUGCAAGUUCUCUCAACAAUAAUAACAUAAUUGGAUCAUAUAACUAUCCCUCAACAUGCAACAAAGAGUCACUCCAAAGUCACUAAUAGCGGAGAACAAACGAAGAGAUUAUGGUAGGGUACGAAACCACCUCAAAGUUAUUCUUUGCAACCAAUCCGUUGGGCAAUUCCUAUAAGUGUCACAAACAGCCCUAGUGUUCAUACUAGAAUAACAACUUAAGACACAAAUCAACCAAAACCCUCAUGUCACCUAGAUACUCCAAUGUCACCUCAAGUAUCCAUGGGUAUGAUUAUACGAUAUGCAUCACACAAUCCCAGAUUCAUCUAUUCAACCAACACAUAGAACCUCAAAGAAUGCACCAAAGUUUAUACCGGAGAGUCAAGACGAAAACGUGUGCCAACCCCUAUGCAUAAGUUCAUGGGCGGAACCCGCAAGUUGAUCACCAAAACAUACAUCAAGUGAAUCACGUGAUAUCCCAUUGUCACCACAGAUACACACGACAAGACAUACAUCAAGUGUUCUCAAAUGAUUAAAGACUCAAUCCAAUAAGAUUACUUCAAAGGGAAAACUCAAUCCAUUACAAGAGAGUAGAGGGGGAGAAACAACAUAAGAUCCAACUAUAAUAGCAAAGCUCGCGAUACAUCAAGAUUGUGCCAAAUCAAGAACACGAGAGAGAGAUAGAGAUCAAACACAUAGCUACUGGUACAUAUAUACCCUCAGCCCCGAGGGUGAACUCUCCCUCCUCGUCAUGGAUAGCGCCGGGAUGAUGAAGAUGGCCACCGGUGAGGGUUCCCCCCACCGGCAGGGUGCCGGAACAGGGUCCCGGUUGGUUUUUGGUGGCUACACAGGCUUGCGGCGGCGGAACUCCCGAUCUAUUCUGUUCUCUGAUAGUUUUAGGGUAUAUGGGUAUAUAUAGGAGGAAGAAGUACGUCAAGGGAGCCACGAGGGGCCCACGAGGGUGGAGGGCGCGCCCUAGGGGGUGGGCGCGCCCCCCUACCUCGUGGCUCCCUCGUUUCUUUCCUGACAUGCACUCCAAGUCUAUCGGGCAGCUUUCCUUCCAAAAUUAACUUCUCCAGAAGGUUUCAUUCCAUUUCGACUCCGUUUGAUAUUCCUUUUCUUCGAAACACUGAAACAAAGGGAAAAAAACAGGAACUGGCACUGGGCUCUGGGUCAAUAGGUUAGUCCCAAAAAUAAUAUAAAAGUGUUUAAUAAAGCCCAUAAACAUCCAAAACAGAUAAUAUAAUAGCAUGGAACAAUCAAAAAUUAUAGAUACGUUGGAGACCUUGAUGACCCACAAGUAUAGGGUAUCUAUCGUAGUCCUUUCGAUAAGUAACAGUGUCGAACCCAACGAGGAGCAGAAGGAAAUGAUAAGCGGUUUUCAGCAAGGUAUUCUCUGCAAGUACUGAAAUAAGAGGUAACAAAUAGUUUUGUGAUAGGAUAAUUUGUAACGAGCAACAAGUAACAAAAGUAAAUAAAGUGCAGCAAGGUGGCCCAAUCCUUUUUGUAGCAAAGGACAAGCCUGGACAAACUCUUAUAUAGAGAAAAGCACUCCCGAGGACACAUGGGAAUUAUCGUCAAGCUAGUUUUCAUCACGUUCAUAUGAUUCGCGUUCGGUACUUUGAUAAUUUGAUAUGUGGGUGGACCGGUGCUUGGGUGCUGUUCUUACUUGAACAAGCAUCCCACUUAUGAUUAACCUCUAUUGCAAGCAUCCGCAACUACAACAAAAGUAUUAAGGUAAACCUAACCAUAGCAUGAAACAUAUGGAUCCAAAUCAGCCCCUUACGAAGCAACGCAUAAACUAGGGUUUAAGCUUCUGUCACUCUAGCAAACCAUCAUCUACUUAUUACUUCCCAAUGCCUUCCUCUAGGCCCAAAUAAUGGUGAAGUGUUAUGUAGUCGACGUUCACAUAACCCCACUAGAGGAUAGACAACAUACAUCUGAUCAAAAUAUCGAACGAAUACCAAAUUCACAUGACUACUAAUAGCAAGACUUCUCCCAUGUCCUCAGGAACAAACGUAACUACUCACAAAGCAUAUUCAUGUUCAUAAUCAGAGGGAUAUUAAUAUGCAUAAAGGAUCUGAACAUAUGAUCUUCCACCAAAUAAACCAACUAGCAUCAACUACGAGGAGUAAUCAACACUACUAGCAACCUACAAGUACUAAUCCCGGACUUGGAGACAAGAAUUGGAUACAAGAGAUGAAGUAGGGUUUUGAGAGGAGAUGGUGCUGGUGAAGAUGUUGAUGGAGAUUGCCGUCUCCCGAUGAGAGGAGCAUUGGUGAUGACGAUGGCGAUGAUUUCCCUCUCCCGGAGGGAAGUGUCCCCGACAGAACAGCUCUGCCGGAGCCCUAGAUUGGUUCUGCCAAGGUUCCGCCUCGUGGCGGCGGAGUCUCGUCCCGAAAGGUUGCUUAUGAUUUUUUCCUCGACUAAAGAGUUCAUAUAGCAGAAGAUGGCCACUGGAGAGCCAACAGGGGGCCCAUGAGGCAGGGGAGCGCGCCCUGGGGGGUAGGGCACGCCCCCACCCUCGUGGACAGGUGGUGGCCCCCUGACGUAUUUCUUCCACUCAGUAUUUUUUACUAUUUCCAAAAAUAACUUUCGUGGAGUUUCAGGACUUUUGGAGUUCUGCAGAAUAGGUCUCUAAUAUUUGCUCCUUUUCCAGCCCAGAAUUCCAGCUGUCGGCAUUCUCCCUCCGUAUGUAAACCUUGUAAAAUAAAAGAGAAUAUGCAUAAGUAUUGUGAGAUAAUGUGUAAUAACAGCCCAUAAUGCAAUAAAUAUCGAUAUAAAAGCAUGAUGCAAAAUGGACGUAUCAAUGUUCGAUGUUCCAGGAGUUGUUCUCUGGAAUAGCAUCUUCGGUCUCCAGGCGCACUGCGCCAGGCCUGGUGACUGAUGUCUACUACACAGCCUUCUUCUUGUAGACGUUGUUGGGCCUCCAAGUGCAGAGGUUUGUAGGACAGUAGCAAAUUUCCCUCAAGUGGAUGACCUAAGGUUUAUCAAUCUGUGGGAGGCGUAGGAUGAAGAUGAUCUCUCUCAAACAACCCUGCAACCAAUUAACAAAGAGUCUCUUGUGUCCCCAACACACCCAAUACAAUGGUAAAUUGUAUAGGUGCACUAGUUCGGCGAAGAGAUGGUGAUACAAGUGCAAUAUGGCUAGUAGAUAUAGGUUUUUGUAAUCUGAAAAUAUAAAAACAGCAAGGUAACAAGUGGUAAAAGUGAGCGUAAACGGUAUUGCAAUGCUAGGAAACAAGGCCUAGGGUUCAUACUUUCACUAGUGCAAGUUCUCUCAACAGUAAUAACAUAAAUGGAUCAUAUAACUAUCCCUCAACAUGCAACAAAGAGUCACUCUAAAGUCACUAAUAGCGGAGAACAAACGAAGAGAUUAUGGUAGGGUACGAAACCACCUCAAAGUUAUUCUUUCCAAUCAAUCCGUUGGGCUAUUCCUAUAAGUGUGACAAACAGCCCUAGAAUUCAUACUAGAAUAACACCUUAAGACACAAAUCAACCAAAACCCUAAUGUCACCAAGAUACUCCAAUGUCACCUCAAGUAUCCAUGGGUAUGAUUAUACGAUAUGCAUCACACAAUCUCAUAUUCAUCUAUUCAACCAACACACAGAACCUCAAAGAAUGCCCCAAAGUUUAUACCAGAGAGUCAAGACGAAAACGUGUGCCAACCCCUAUGCAUAAGUUCAUGGGCGGAACCCGCAAGUUGAUCACCAAAACAUACAUCAAGUGAAUCACGUGAUAUCCCAUUGUCACCACAGAUACGCACGACAAGACAUACAUCAAGUGUUCUCAAAUGAUUAAAGACUCAAUCCGAUAAGAUUACUUCAAAGGGAAAACUCAAUCCAUUACAACAGAGUAGAGGGGGAGAAGCAACAUAAGGUCCAACUAUAAUAGCAAAGCUCACGAUACAUCAAGAUCGUGCCAAAUCAAGAACACGAGAGAGAGAGAGAGAGCUCAAACACAUAGCUACUGGUACAUACCCUCAGCCCCGAGGGUGAACUACUCCCUCCUCGUCAUGGAGAGCGCCGGGAUGAUGAAGAUGGCAACCGGUGAGGGUUCCCCCCUCCGGCAGGGUGCCGGAACAGGGUCCCGAUUGGUUUUUGGUGGCUACACAGGCUUCCGGCAGCGGAACUCCCAGUCUAUUCUGUUCUCCCAUCAUUUUAGGGUAUAUGGGUAUAUAUAUAGGAGGAAUAAGUAUGUCAGGGGAGCCACGAGGGGCCCACGAGGGUUGUGACGCCCCCGAUUUGACCGUACACUAAUCAUGCACGCAAAUGUGUACGAUCAAGAUCAGGGACUCACGGGAAGAUAUCACAACACAACUCUAAAACAUAAAUAAGUCAUACAAGCAUCAUAAUACAAGCCAGGGGCCCCGAGGGCUCGAAUACAAGUGCUCGAUCACAGACGAGUCAGCGGAAGCAACAAUAUCUGAGUACAGACAUAAGUUAAACAAGUUUGCCUUAAGAAGGCUAGCACAAAAGUAGCAACGAUCGAAAAGGCAAGGCCUCCUGCCUGGGACCUCUUAACUACUCCUCGAAGCCGAACUCCACGUAGAAUCAUCCUUGGGAUCUCUAGCUCCUGGACUCCAGCAUCUGGUUGCGACAAUCAGGUAUAGAAAGGGGAAAAGAGGGACAAAAGCAACCGUGAGUACUCAUCCAAAGAACUCGCAAGCAAGGAGCUACACUACAUAUGCAUGUGUAUAAGUGUAAAGGGGCCAUAUCAGUGGGCUGAACUGCAGAAUGCCAGAAUAAGAGGGGGAUAGCUAAUCCUGUCGAAGACUACGCUUCUGGCAGCCUCCAUCUUGCAGCAUGUAGAAGAGAGUAGAUUGAAGUCUUCCAAGUAGCAUCGCAUAGCAUAAUCCUACCCGGCGAUCCCCUCCUCGUCGCCCUUUUAGAGAGCGAUCACCGGGUUGUAUCUGGCACUUGGAAGGGUGUAUUUUAUUCAGUAUCCGGUUCUAGUUGUCAUAAGGUCAAGGUACAACUCCGGGUCGUCCUUUUACCGAGGGACACGGCUAUUCGAAUAGAUAAACUUCCCUGCAGGGGUGCACCACAUAACCCAACACGCUCGAUCCCAUUUGGCCGGACACACUUUCCUGGGUCAUGCCCGGCCUCGGAAGAUCAACACGUCGCAGCCCCACCUAAGCACAAUAGAGAGGUCAGCACGCUGGUCUAACCCUAUGCGCGCAGGGGUCUGGGCCCAUCGCCCUAUGCACACCUGCACGUUGCGUACGCGGCCGGAAGCAGACCUAGCCUAGUGGCGUUCCAGUCCAAUCCGGCGCGCGCCACUCAGUCGCUGAUGUCACGAAGGCUUCGGCUGAUACCACGACGCCGGGAUACCCAUAACUACUCCCGCGUAGAUGGUUAGUGCGUAUAGACCAAAUGGCCAGACUCAGAUCAAAUACCCAGAACUUGUUAAGCGUGUUAUGUAUCCGCGAACGCCGACCAGGGCCAGGCGCACCUCUCUCCUGGGUGGUCUCAACCUGCCCUGUCGCUCCGCCACAAAGCAACAGUCGGGGGCCGUCAGGAACCCAGGCCCACCUCUACCGGGGUGGAGCCACCUGUCCUUUCAGCCCCCUCAUCAGAAUCACUUGCGGGUACUCAACGAGCCGACCCGACUUUAGUCACCACAUGUGUCAUGUAUAUAAUGCAUAUAGUAUAUACCCGUGAUCACCUCCCAAAGUCAUCACGGCCCAGUAGUAUAGCAUGGCAGACGGACAAGAGUGUAGGGCCACUGAUGGAACACUAGCAUCCUAUACUAAGCAGUAGGAUAGCAGGUAAGGGUAACAACUGUAGCAACAAUGACAGGCUAUGCAUCAGGAUAGGAUUAACGGAAAGCAGUAACAUGCUACACUACUCUAAUGCAAGCAGUAUAGAGAAGAAUAGGCGAUAUCUGGUGAUCAAGGGGGGGGGGCUUGCCUGGUUGCUCAGACAAGAAGGAGGGGUCGUCUUCGAUGUAGUCGAACACACGAACAUCGGCAGCAGUCUCGGAGUCUACCGGAAAGAAGUAACGGAGGGGGAACACAAUAAAUAAUAGAGCAAUCAAAUGUAACACAAAGGAAGACGCGGCGAUACGUUGUGCUAGGGGUGACCUAACGUAGGGAUAGGUGAUACCGGCGAAAGGGGAAACAUCCGGGAAAGUAUCCCCGGUGUUUCGCGUUUUCGGACAGAUGAACCGGAGGUGAAAUGUUACAGGUUUGCUAUGCUACGGAUGGGUGGCGGACGAACGGGCUGCGUAUCCGGAUUCGUCUCGUCGUUCUGAGCAACUUUCAUGUAGAAAACUUUUUCAUCCGAGCUACGGAUAUUUUUCUAUGAUUUUCCAAUGUUUUAAACAAUUUCUAAAAUUAUUAAAUAUUUCGAAAUUAAUUAGAUAAAGCUAUGGGUACACAGAAGUGUACCCAGCACUAUGUACAUGUGGCUUACAGGUGGGUCCACCGGGACCAGUUGACCAUAGUCAACAGUCCUAGUCAGCAGUCAAUUGGGUUGACUGUUGACUGGUCAAAUAUGACAGGCGGGGCCCCAUUGUCAUUGCCUGCCUAUUUAACUACUAGGAUUAGCUUAAACUAACUAAGUAGCUAACAGGUUAAUUAACAUGAUUAAUUGGUUAAUUAAUUUAACUUUUUUUUAUUCUGUUAUUAUUAAUUUAUUUUAAUUAAUUUUUUUUAAUUUGUUUAAUUUUCUUAAACGUUUUGGGGCUGGUCCCACGUGAAGUGGCUCACAGGCCAUAGCAGGUGUGGGUGCUGGAUCAGGGCGUGGCCAGCAGGCGGGGUGGUGUUGGGUGCGGGGCCGCACCCACGGCGAGGCGCACCGGCCGGCCCCGGGCACCACAGCGCGGCAAGCGCGCGGCGCGGCAAGGGCCAGCAACUGGGGAAGGCAGCGGGCGAUGAGCGGGGUAUGGCUGCGAGCGUGCAGGAGCGCGCCCAUGGGCGUGGGCGGCUGCGGUGAGCGCGAGCUCCAGUGAGCUCGGCCAAGGCGACGUACGGCGUCAACGGCGACGGAUCCACGCGAAGGAGGAGGGGGAUCGACGGAGGGCUCACCAGCCCUGUAGUGGUGCAAACGCGUGCUCAGGGAGGGCCGUAGUCACGGGGGACGGCGCGCGCCGGCGACGGGGACGGCGAGGCGGCGACGUCCAGCUCGGGGGGAAUUGCGCGAGGGAGAGGCAGGGACNNNNNNNNNNNNNNNNNNNNNNNNNNNNNNNNNNNNNNNNNNNNNNNNNNNNNNNNNNNNNNNNNNNNNNNNNNNNNNNNNNNNNNNNNNNNNNNNNNNNNNNNNNNNNNNNNNNNNNNNNNNNNNNNNNNNNNNNNNNNNNNNNNNNNNNNNNNNNNNNNNNNNNNNNNNNNNNNNNNNNNNNNNNNNNNNNNNNNNNNNNNNNNNNNNNNNNNNNNNNNNNNNNNNNNNNNNNNNNNNNNNNNNNNNNNNNNNNNNNNNNNNNNNNNNNNNNNNNNNNNNNNNNNNNNNNNNNNNNNNNNNNNNNNNNNNNNNNNNNNNNNNNNNNNNNNNNNNNNNNNNNNNNNNNNNNNNNNNNNNNNNNNNNNNNNNNNNNNNNNNNNNNNNNNNNNNNNNNNNNNNNNNNNNNNNNNNNNNNNNNNNNNNNNNNNNNNNNNNNNNNNNNNNNNNNNNNNNNNNNNNNNNNNNNNNNNNNNNNNNNNNNNNNNNNNNNNNNNNNNNNNNNNNNNNNNNNNNNNNNNNNNNNNNNNNNNNNNNNNNNNNNNNNNNNNNNNNNNNNNNNNNNNNNNNNNNNNNNNNNNNNNNNNNNNNNNNNNNNNNNNNNNNNNNNNNNNNNNNNNNNNNNNNNNNNNNNNNNNNNNNNNNNNNNNNNNNNNNNNNNNNNNNNNNNNNNNNNNNNNNNNNNNNNNNNNNNNNNNNNNNNNNNNNNNNNNNNNNNNNNNNNNNNNNNNNNNNNNNNNNNNNNNNNNNNNNNNNNNNNNNNNNNNNNNNNNNNNNNNNNNNNNNNNNNNNNNNNNNNNNNNNNNNNNNNNNNNNNNNNNNNNNNNNNNNNNNNNNNNNNNNNNNNNNNNNNNNNNNNNNNNNNNNNNNNNNNNNNNNNNNNNNNNNNNNNNNNNNNNNNNNNNNNNNNNNNNNNNNNNNNNNNNNNNNNNNNNNNNNNNNNNNNNNNNNNNNNUGCCCCGAUCCAGAUGGGAUCGGGGAGUGGGGGAGCGAGGGAGUGGGGAGGUGGGGGUUAGGGUUGCGGGGUGGGGGGAUUAUGCAGGGGCGCGGCUGGGCCGGCCCAUUGGCCUGGUGCCCUGCUGGGCCGAACGGCCCAGGGGAGGGGGGGUCUUGCUUCGUAUUUUUUUUUUGCUUUUUUUUGUUCUUGUUUUACUUUUUCUUAUUUUUCUUUUUUGUUUUCUUUUAGUUCCUCUUUUAUUUUAGUUUUAUAAAAAUUAUCACUAGCACUUAAAUUAAUACUUUUAAAUAUACUAUUGCCACAUUAAUUCCCAACUCAAAUUAAAAUAGUUUAAUAUUUUAUAAAAUUCACAAGGCAUUUAUUUUAAUAUUUAAACCUCUAUUUUAAUUAUUUUGAACACUUAAACAUUUUAUUAAAGUUAGGUUUCUCCACCAUUAUUAUCUAUGUAAUAUUUGGUUCACUCCGAACAUUUUAGUUUUAAUAUUUGAAAACGUUUAUUGUUUGCUUGAUUUUGAACUUUGAAUUUUGGACCGGUUUUGAUCUAACGAUAGAUUAGCAAUAGUAACGGAGGUAACGUGGCACCAUUAGCAGAGUUUUACUGUAGCUUGAUUAUCCGGGCGUCACAAUUCUCCUCCACUACAAGAAAUCUCGUCCCGAGAUUUAGGAGCGGUUAUAAGGGGGAAGGGAUCUGGUUACGAAAUUCUAACGAUUCUUCUCGGUCAUAGUUGCUCUUCUCGAAGAGGUCGAUCCAUUACGUUGAUGUCUUCAAUCCUCUGCUUCAGGUCAUCAAGAUGAAGUUUGUCGUCCUUCCUACAGGAUCUUCACCGUACUUAAGAAAGGGUGAGCAGGGAAAACUUUUGAUUGGAAUAGCUUAUUCCCUAUAAGGACGGAUUCUAACAAGAUCGAGCAUCAAGCGGUUAACCCAGGGGAAGAAGCAUAAGUAUCUCUCGAACUGAAACCUAAGAAGAUGUCGAGAGCAAAGUAAGAAGGUACCAUGAGCAGUUUGAAACCGAUAGGCAAGCAUUCGAUGCCUAUCAGAAGGUGAAAGGGGUUCAGAGCAACGAGAAUAAGUAUUGCGUCUGAUACCCGAAUAGAUCACUUGGCAGGUGGCCCGUGAGUUACAUAAGAAGUCAAGCACGAGGAAUAACUUUGGAAACCGGGGGUGUACAGGAGAGUCAGGUUUCGAUCCUAUGGAACUGUGGGUUAUGGGCCCACCAUGUGGUUUUUUUUAUAGGAGCAGUGACAUCUUGCACGGUCAUGAUAGCAAGGCAUGUCAGGGAACACCCUGUCAGUUAUGUCGGCAACACGUUGGUACCAAGGGCGAGGGACGAAGAGAACCAUUUUCCUGCUCGUUCAAACGAGGCGGACCAUUAGGCAAAGUUCUCGUCCAUCGGUGGUUACCGAAAUGUCACCAACAAUAGUAACAGGGUCUUACUGACAGAGUUGUACACCGAGGCGUUUACAUAAGCAGGAGAAUAUUACUGCUUAGAUCAUAUAGAUCACCAGAAAGGUUAAACCAAACAAUGGAAAGGAAAAUAUGAUUAUCAGAUUAAACAGAAGAAUGGAAAGGAAAAUGUGUUUAAACACAUAUUUCAGGGGUAUAUCCUUCCCAAGGACAAGCAGCGUAUCAUAUCCAUGACAGGAUAGAAAGUAGAAAACCAUUUAGGUAAGGGGAGAGGAAUUUCAUGACAUCACCCAUACAGCGGUGUUUGGAUAAUUGAGCAAGAAACAUUUAGUAUUGGGCUUCAAAUGUUCUUGUUGAAAAUCGGAGUACCAUAGACAUGCUUUGAGAUAGCAUUGACAUGGUCAACAGGUGAAGAUCAGAAUUUGGAAACAAAAAGGAUCCAUCAGGAACAACUUAUAGAAUAAGUCUUGCAAUUUCCUCAUGGAAGAAUAGAUAACCUUGAUGAAAGGAAAGCUUAUAACAAUAGGUCCUCCGGCCAGGUGUGUUCGGCAUGUCAUCCCUUACCGGGUCAUAAAUAGGCCAAUGUUAUAACUCUUGGAAAUAUGUUCCAACCAUCAUAUCUGACCGAGAUUCAGAUUUGAUUGGUGUCAGGAUAACUCAGACUUAGGAUGCCUGAGAAGAAAAGGUGCGACACAAUUUGAAGAGAUGACAUUGUAAGAUUCUCGGGAAAUGAACUAUGGAAGCGAGUUCCGAAAUAAGAGUUCAUCAUUAAACCAAGGAGAGGGUUAGGAGGUGGCUGAUGGACUCAGCGACAUUCCAUUGAGAUUUCCAAAAGAUGGAUUUCCACAACUAUGUGAACAAGGAGAUAACAUUAGCUACAUCGAAUGACUUAAUGAUGUAUGCUCGAGGAAAACAUACACAAUUAAACAUUGGUUGAAAGGUGCACCCGAAUAUGGGCUUAGGUAGCAUGAUCAAGGUUAGAAUGGUGAUUCGAUAACCAAUACACAAGGAAUGAACUAUCGUUCAUUAACUUACAAGCGAUAGGGUUGCUGGAUGUUUUGAAUUUUACACAUCACAGUUCAUUUGUGGGUACUUCGGUUAGAAACAACACGGGGACCAAGAAAAGAAUGGUGAUGUUAACUAAGUAUCACUUGUAUCAAGAAUUCUUAAGGGUGGUGAAUUUCCCAUGACAUUCUUGACAUAAACGAUAGCAAUACUCCAAGGUAGAACAUAACAUAAGUUGGAUAACAAGGAUCUCAAGGUACAACACAAAACAUGAACAAGUUUGUAUUGAAGGGAAAGCAAGAAUGUUGCCGAUGAUAACACAAAUCAUCGAGGGGCAAGGAUGGUAUUUCUCAUCAUGAAUUCAAUUGAUAUCCUGGAGGAACUCAGAAUGUUGAUGAUGAUCAUGACAAAUUUUGUCGAGAGGUUUCAUGGAGAUGUAAUCGACCGACGAUGACAUCAAGUCAAAGGAAUGAUGAAAGCGAAAGGUUAUUGGAACCACGGUUAGGACACAAACUCGGAAUCAAGUUUGCUGUUCAAGGAGAAGUGAUAUGACGAGGAAGAUCGACGUAAGCUUAGCUCAUUGUCGAAAGCUGUGCUGUGGGAAUAAGGACCAGGUAGCACAGUUAAAAUCACCAAGAUAAUGAUAUAGCCAAACAGGCUAGGAAUGGCGUGAUCGGGUACAAACUCAUACUUAAAGAAGAUUACUAAGAGUUGUUGAACCGUAGUGCGGACUCGGUUCAGUUAUCGGUGUCUUUGCGUGAUUAAUAACUCAGGGCCCGUGGAAAAUUGGAAUCAGUGAGAAUGUAGCACUUGAUGAAGAACUCAUAAGAAGUUAUGCAGUUCCAUGUUAAUCUCGAGAUACCAGGGGGUAAUACUCGACGACAGAUCAAGGUAGAGGUUGGACUAGGGUAUUGCUCUGCAGAAGACAAGUGCUCAACUUGUACGAGAAAUGGUAUUUAAAGGAGAACAUAGUCGGAACCACGAUUGCAAAAGGCCAGAUCCCAGAUAUAAGAUGAACUUAUACCAAGGGAAUAAUUAAUUUAAGAGAAGCUUUAAUGAUAAGAGCUACAUCGUGUCCAUGGGCAUGAACGCAAAGUUCAAGGACGACUCCCACUUCUUCAAUGCAUAACCUUUCAUUCACUUCUCGCGUUUGAUGAAGUUACAGUGUUAAAAAAUUUCUCUGGCAAAAUACCAGAAGAGUAUGACUCAUGAAAUCUUUCGAGUUCACACAUAUUAUGGAAGGCAUAGGUUCAACCCAUCGAGGCAUCUUAGGAACAUAUACCAAAAAAAAAUUUGGAGUAAUUAACACAAGCUCGAAUGUAGAGCAUGGUUCACAAAGCAGAGGAUACAAUUUACCAAAGGCAUCAUGUAUCCAAGGAAAAGCUCACAAGCUUAUUUAAUAAGAAGGACAUUGUCGGAUAAAAUCCGACAAAAGGGUCUGGUGGUCCACAAGGGAUCGGAUGUGAGCAUCAGUACUCAACCAGAGGAAGAAAGAAUGCCAGGAGAUCAGGUUAUAGAAACAACUGACUAACUCAAAGCUCACAAGUAAAGGAAUUAUAGUUUCCAAAUCAAAGGCUCUGAAGCAAAUGCUCUGAUUAAGGAUGGAUAACUUGAGUAAGCUUAGGGGUACAAACGACGACAAUUUGAUUGGUCGAGAUCCAGCUCAUGUUAAAACUGACGUCUGAGCCGGAAGGAUGAAUUCUAGGAUCUGAUUGAGGAUUGCGAGCUUUCGCAACAAAUUGAAUCAGCGGACUCAAAACGAUAAUGACAAGAGAUGCCAAUAAGAUUUAGACUUAUGGGAUUAACCAUAAUGCAAGCAAGUAAGAAUUUCAAGAGCAAUAGGCUACUCAGGAUUUCGGAAGUUCAAAUAGUAUUUUGAAGACUUUUGUGAAUUACUUGAAUCAACUGGGGCCGAGCGGAUACUCGGUAAGUGCGAGAAUUAUCCGUAGGGGUAUUCAGGUGAUAAGGAACAGCCAGGCAGUAAGCUCAAAGGAUUCUCGGAACAACAGAGAGAAUUUCGGGGUAUCUUGUAAUAACAAGAUCAACGGGGAAACAUUGUAUGAAUGGCGAGUACACAUGGUUAUCCAUAGGAGUUUAUCGAUGGAAGGGAAUUGCAAAAGCGAUGAACACAAGUUCUCGGGUUAACAGCGGAGAGUGUCUUCAGGGUCUUCACGUGCAGCAGACGAUCAUCAGUAAUAAGGGGCUCUCCGGGUGAAAGUGAUAAAGAGAUCCUAAUGUUAGAUUUAGCAAAAUUCGCUUAACCCGAAUAUAGGAGAGAUCAGAGUCCCAGAGUAUAGACAAGGAGUAAAAGAUCCUAAUACCACCCAAUGGCGACGUGGGCCCGUAAGCCACACAGCCAUAUUAGUAAAAGUUUUUCAAUGACUAGACUCGACUUCGGCCAAGGAGUUGGAAAGGGGGAUUCCUACAGGCAGUCGGCUCUGAUACCAACUAGUGACGCCCCCGAUUUGACCGUACACUAAUCAUGCACGCAAAUGUGUACGAUCAAGAUCAGGGACUCACGGGAAGAUAUCACAACACAACUCUAAAACAUAAAUAAGUCAUACAAGCAUCAUAAUACAAGCCAGGGGCCCCGAGGGCUCGAAUACAAGUGCUCGAUCAUAGACGAGUCAGCGGAAGCAACAAUAUCUGAGUACAGACAUAAGUUAAACAAGUUUGCCUUAAGAAGGCUAGCACAAAAGUAGCAAUGAUCGAAAAGGCAAGGCCUCCUGCCUGGGACCUCCUAACUACUCCUCGAAGCCGAACUCCACGUAGAAUCAUCCUCGGGAUCUCUAGCUCCUGGACUCCAGCAUCUGGUUGCGACAAUCAGGUAUAGAAAGGGGAAAAGAGGGACAAAAGCAACCGUGAGUACUCAUCCAAAGUACUCGCAAGCAAGGAGCUACACUACAUAUGCAUGUGUAUAAGUGUAAAGGGGCCAUAUCAGUAGGCUGAACUGCAGAAUGCCAGAAUAAGAGGGGGAUAGCUAAUCCUGUCGAAGACUACGCUUCUGGCAGCCUCCAUCUUGCAGCAUGUAGAAGAGAGUAGAUUGAAGUCCUCCAAGUAGCAUCGCAUAGCAUAAUCCUACCCGGCGAUCCCCUCCUCGUCGCCCUUUUAGAGAGCGAUCACCGGGUUGUAUCUGGCACUUGGAAGGGUGUAUUUUAUUCAGUAUCCGGUUCUAGUUGUCAUAAGGUCAAGGUACAACUCCGGGUCGUCCUUUUACCGAGGGACACGGCUAUUCGAAUAGAUAAACUUCCCUGCAAGGGUGCACCACAUAACCCAACACGCUCGAUCCCAUUUGGCCGAACACACUUUCCUGGGUCAUGCCCGGCCUCGGAAGAUCAACACGUCGCAGCCCCACCUAAGCACAACAGAGAGGUCAGCACGCCGGUCUAACCCUAUGCGCGCAGGGGUCUGGGCCCAUCGCCCUAUGCACACCUGCACGUUGCGUACGCGGCCGGAAGCAGACCUAGCCUAGUGGCGUUCCAGUCCAAUCCGGCGCGCGCCACUCAGUCGCUGACGUCACGAAGGCUUCGGCUGAUACCACGACGCCGGGAUACCCAUAACUACUCCCGCGUAGAUGGUUAGUGCGUAUAGACCAAAUGGCCAGACUCAGAUCAAAUACCCAGAACUCGUUAAGCGUGUUAAGUAUCCGCGAACGCCGACCAGGGCCAGGCGCACCUCUCUCCUGGGUGGUCUCAACCUGCCCUGUCGCUCCGCCACAAAGCAACAGUCGGGGGCCGUCAGGAACCCAGGCCCACCUCUACCGGGGUGGAGCCACCUGUCCUUUCAGCCCCGUCAUCAGAAUCACUUGCGGGUACUCAACGAGCCGACCCGACUUUAGUCACCACAUGUGUCAUGUAUAUAAUGCAUAUAGUAUAUACCCGUGAUCACCUCCCAAACUCAUCACGGCCCAGUAGUAUAGCAUGGCAGACGGACAAGAGUGUAGGGCCACUGAUGGAACACUAGCAUCCUAUACUAAGCAGUAGGAUAGCAGGUAAGGGUAACAACUGUAGCAACAAUGACAGGCUAUGCAUCAGGAUAGGAUUAACGGAAAGCAGUAACAUGCUACACUACUCUAAUGCAAGCAGUAUAGAGAAGAAUAGGCGAUAUCUGGUGAUCAAGGGGGGGGCUUGCCUGGUUGCUCAGACAAGAAGGAGGGGUCGUCUUCGAUGUAGUCGAACACACGAACAUCGGCAGCGGUCUCGGAGUCUACCGGAAAGAAGUAACGGAGGGGGAACACAAUAAAUAAUAGAGCAAUCAAAUGUAACACAAAGGAAGACGCGGCGAUACGUUGUGCUAGGGGUGACCUAACGUAGGGAUAGGUGAUACCGGUGAAAGGGGAAACAUCCGGGAAAGUAUCCCCGGUGUUUCGCGUUUUCGGACAGAUGAACCGGAGGUGAAAUGUUACAGGUUUGCUAUGCUACGGAUGGGUGGCGGACGAACGGGCUGCGUAUCCGGAUUCGUCUCGUCGUUCUGAGCAACUUUCAUGUAGAAAACUUUUUCAUCCGAGCUACAGAUAUUUUUCUAUGAUUUUCCAAAGUUUUAAACAAUUUCUGAAAUUAUUAGAUAUUUCGAAAUUAAUUAGAUAAAGCUAUGGGUACACAGAAGUGUACCCAGCAUUAUGUACAUGUGGCUUACAGGUGGGUCCACCGGGACCAGUUGACCAUAGUCAACAGUCCUAGUCAGCAGUCAAUUGGGUUGACUGUUGACUAGUCAAAUAUGACAGGCGGGGCCCCAUUGUCAUUGCCUGCCUAUUUAACUACUAGGAUUAGCUUAAACUAACUAAGUAGCUAACAGGUUAAUUAACAUGAUUAAUUGGUUAAUUAAUUUAACUUUUUUUAUUCUGUUAUUAUUUAUUUUUUUAAUUAAUUUUUUUUAAUUUGUUUAAUUUUCUUAAACGUUUUGGGGCUGGUCCCACGUGCAGUGGCUCACAGGCCAUAGCAGGUGUGGGUGCUGGAUCAGGGCGUGGCCAGCAGGCGGGGUGGUGUUGGGUGCGGGGCCGCACCCACGGCGAGGCGCGCCGGCCGGCCACGGCACCAUAGCGCGGCAAGCGCGCGGCGCGGCAAGGGCCAGCAACUGGGGAAGGCAGCGGGUAAUGAGCGGGGUAUGGCUGCGAGCGUGCGGGAGCGCGCCCAUGGGCGUGGGCGGCUGCGGUGAGCGCGAGCUCCAGUGAGCUCGGCCACGGCGACGUACGGCGUCAACGGCGACGGAUCCACGCGAAGGAGGAGGGGGAUCGACGGAGGGCUCACCAGCCCUGUAGUGGUGCAAACGCGUGCUCGGGGAGGGCCGUAGUCAUGGGGGACGGCGCGCGCCGGCGACGGGGACGGCGAGGAGGCGACGUCCAGCUCGGGGGGGANNNNNNNNNNGGACGGCGUCGUGGUGGUGGCGACGUAGCUCGAGGGGGGCCAGCGGGGAAGAAGCGAUGGGGCGGCGCCGGCGAGGUCCAGCGAGCGCCUGGCGUCGCCGGGGCGGCGGGGUAGGUAGCGGGGCGCCGCAGUCGUUGCCCCGAUCCAGAUGGGAUCGGGGAGUGGGGGAGCGAGGGAGUGGGGAGGUGGGGGUUAGGGUUUCUGUCGGGGUGGGGAUAAGGGGAGUGGGGUGGCCGGUUGGGCCUGGUGGGCCGGUCGGGUGGCCGUGCGGCCUGGAGGCCUGCUGGGCCGGUUGGUCCAGCGUGGGGGGGUUGUUUCCUUUUUCUUUUUUUAUUUAUUUUUUCUUUUUUUGGUUCUAUUUAAUUUUGUUUUAUAAAUUAUAAAUAUUGCACUAUAAUUAGUGGUUUAAAAUAUGUCACUACCACAAAAGUUUGGCAACUUUAAUUAAAUUAGUUAGAAUAUUUUUCUAUUAAAAAGGUAUUUAAAUAAUAGUUUAAGCCUCUGAUUUAAUUGCUUUAGUGUAUUCAAAUUAUUUAUAAAAAAUGAUUUCUCCAACAAUAUUACUUAUGAAUUAUUUGUCAUAAGUAAACCCGGACGGAGGGAGUACCAUUGAUGACUAACUAUAACUAGUACAGCUAAUGAUAGAAUGUAUCAGUUGGGCAGACUGAGCUUUGUACUAUGCAGAAAACGGGAGGGCUAACAUUCUACCAUUGAUGAUUACAAAAAUGUAGAAAACGGGAGCGUUUCGUUAAUAUACCAGCAUUCUUCAGCAAAGAGAGUACACUGCUUUUACAGCGGCUUGGUAUGCUACCGACCACAGUAGGCGAGAAUGGUGCAACAAAUGUAGUGCCCAAGGAUGGACUUCUCAGCACCGGUAAACUGCUUGGUGAUUUAGCUACAUUUGUUGGCGCUGGAGAUAAACCUGUAACGCGUCAUGAAAUUAAAAGUUGCAUCAGGUAGCAGGCAUUUAGAUGCAUUAAAAAGAAGCGACGCGGCAUAAUCUAAUCUAAUAUACACAUGAGACCUGUACUGAUCGAACCCCAUAGUUUGCUAAUUUAACUUGUAAGUAUUUGACACAUAGCACCCACGAAUUUUGCAAAGCCAGCAACCCAUGAAUUUUGCAAAGCCAAUCUAAACCUUUUCUAGACCAGUUCUACAGAAGGUGAACUUAGGACAAGGUCUUAACAUGACAUUUUCUCUGUUUUUUCAAAUGAACUGAACUGUAACCACCCACAAAGUCCUGUCAUUUCUACAGAACGCUGGCAAAUAACUGAAUCAGCUAUGUCAAAACCCUUCUCUUGGGAUAUAUGGUGCCAGAUACCUAAUCAACCAUGCCAAAAAAAAGGUUUCCUUGGCAUGCAUUGGUGCAAGAUACUGAAUCAGGCAAAAAGGGCUUUCUUUAGGAAACGUCUGUGCAAGAUCCGGUGAUUUUCACCAAUAGAAAACAUGGUUUUGUGUGGCUUGAGACAAAUUACCUGGAAGAAGAGCCAAGUUUCGAGCUGGACCUUGGGUAAGGUUGGGCUCUGGGAGGAUGGAACCGCCAUCAGCCUGCUCCCUGUGGAGCCUCCCCUGCUGGCUCCCUAGCCAAGCGAGAUGCGCCCUUCUUCUCACACCACUCAUCCAAGCUCUGGAUGGCUUCAUGACGACCCCUCUCACGCGGCCUCCUCCCAAUCUGGAAGGAAGCUCUCUGCUGCCCCCGCGUUCCCAACUUUGGCCAGAAACCCUCACCCCGCCGUCGACUUACAAAAUCUGACCAGGGUUUCGGGGAGGAAGAGGCUUGAUAUGGUGGUGCGCUCGGCUUUACUGGACUAAAUCAGGCCGUUGGGUUGGAAUUGGGCCGGCCCCAAUCGUUGUUGUUGGGUUUGGUUUUCUUGGCUACAGGUAGCCCAUGGAAUGUUAUCGUGGGCCAAACCAGGGAGUGAGUCGUAAAAAUGGCUAUGUCCGAAAAUUACAACAUGAACAUAGUCGGCAUGAAGUUAAGCUUAUUAUUCAAAUGACUUUGUCGCACGAGAAUCUAAUAAGUAUAAAUCACAUAAUAUCAAUCACAUAUUAUCUGAAUUCAUCCCCUGUUUAGUUUUGAAAUCCCAUUAUCACUGACCAAUUGACGGUGUUUACGUAUCAUCUUCUGAGUAGUAAGGACCGACGCAUCAUUGUAACUUCUAGACUAAAAUUCCACAAUCAUGAUGGAAUAAACGACAUUUCAAUCAUAAGCAGAUAAAAGUUGCAUGACUCCAUCGAAUUCAAGCAAAGCAAAAGAGUAACUGUAAGGACACCUUUGUUCAACUUCCACGUGCACUUCCCCCUUGAAGAUAGUAUCAAAGAUAUGAAAUCUGCAUCAUUGCUCAAGUGAAAUUUGUAAAUAUACUUCAUCACAAAGUAGCAAAGCCAAAUAUGAACUAGUAACGCAUAGGAGCACAUGAACGGAACUAAGAAAAAAAUGGAGGACCAAAUGACAAGAAUUAAGUCUAAGCAGUUGCCAAAUAAAGACCCCUACUAAUUUCUAUUAAACAAUNNNNNNNNNNGGGAGUGGGGAGGUGGGGGUUAGGGUUGCGGGGUGGGGGGAUUAUGCAGGGGCGCGGCUGGGCCAGCCCAUUGGCCUGGUGCCCUGCUGGGCCGAACGGCCCAGGGGAGGGGGUCUUGCUUCGUUUUUUUUUGCUUUGUUUUGUUUUUCUUUUACUUUUUCUUAUUUUUCUUUUUUGUUUUCUUUUAGUUCCUCUUUUAUUUUAGUUUUAUAAAAAUUAUCACUAGCACUUAAAUUAAUACUUUUAAAUAUACUAUUGCCACAUUAAUUCCCAACUCAAAUUAAAAUAGUUUAAUAUUUUAUAAAAUUCACAAGGCAUUUAUUUUAAUAUUUAAACCUCUAUUUUAAUUAUUUUGAACACUUCAACAUUUUAUUAAAGUUCGGUUUCUCCACCAUUAUUAUCUAUGCAAUAUUUGGUUCACUCCGAACAUUUUAGUUUUAAUAUUUGAAAACGUUUAUUGUUUGCUUGAUUUUGAACUUUGAAUUUUGGACCGGUUUUGAUCUAACGAUAGAUUAGCAACAGUAACGGAGGUAACGUGGCACCAUUAGCAAUGUUUUACUGUAGCUUGAUUAUCCGGGCGUCACAAGGGUGGAUGGCGCGCCCCCCUACCUCGUGGCUCCCUCGUUUCUUUCCUGACGUGCACUCCAAGUCUAUCGAGUAGCUUUCCUUCCAAAAAUAACUUCUCCAGAAGGUUUCAUUCCGUUUCAACUCCGAUUGAUAUUCCUUUUCUUCGAAACACUGAAACAAGGGAAAAAAAUAGGAACUGGCACUGGGCUCUGGGUCAAUAGGUUAGUCCCAAAAAUAUUAUAAAAGUGUUUAAUAAAGCCCAUAAACAUGCAAAACAGAUUAGCAUGGAACAAUCAAAAAUUAUAGAUACGUUGGAGAGCUUGAUGACCCACAAGUAUAGGGUAUCUAUCGUAGUCCUUUCGAUAAGUAAGAGUGUCGAACCCAACGAGGAGCAGAAGGAAAUGAUAAGCGGUUUUCAGCAAGGUAUUCUCUGCAAGUACUGAAAUAAGAGGUAACAAAUAGUUUUGUGAUAGGAUAAUUUGUAACGAGCAACAAGUAACAAAAGUAAAUAAAGUGCAGCAAGGUGGCCCAAUCCUUUUUGUAGCAAAGGACAAGCCUGGACAAACUCUUAUAUAGAGAAAAGCGCUCCCGAGUACACAUGGGAAUUAUCGUCAAGCUAGUUUUCAUCACGUUCAUAUGAUUCGCGUUCGGUACUUUGAUAAUUUGAUAUGUGGGUGGACCGGUGCUUGGGUGUUGUUCUUACUUGAACAAGCAUCCCACUUAUGAUUAACCUCUAUUGCAAGCAUCCGCAACUACAACAAAAGUAUUAAGGUAAACCUAACCAUAGCAUGAAACAUAUGGAUCCAAAUCUGCCCCUUACGAAGCAACGCAUAAACUAGGGUUUAAUCUUCUGUCACUCUAGCAACCCAUCAUCUACUUAUUACUUCCCAAUGCCUUCCUCUAGGCCCAAAUAAUGGUGAAGUGUUAUGUAGUCGACGUUCACAUAACCCCACUAGAGGAUAGACAACAUACAUCUCAUCAAAAUAUCGAAGGAAUACCAAAUUCACAUGACUACUAAUAGCAAGACUUCUCCCAUGUCCUCAGGAACAAACGUAACUACUCACAAAGCAUAUUCAUGUUCAUAAUCAGAGGGGUAUUAAUAUGCAUAUAGGAUCUGAACAUAUGAUCUUCCACCAAAUAAACCAACUAGCAUCAACUACAAGGAGUAAUCAACACUACUAGCAACCGACUAGUACCAAUCCCGGACUUGGAGACAAGAAUUGGAUACAAGAGAUGAACUAGGGUUUUGAGAGGAGAUGGUGCUGGUGAACAUGUUGAUGGAGAUUGCCCUCUCCCGAUGAGAGGAGCGUUGGUGAUGACGAUGGCGAUGAUUUCCCCCUCCCAGAGGGAAGUGUUCCCGGCAGAACAGCUCUGCCGGAGCCCUAGAUUGGUUCCGCCUCGUGGUGGCGUAGUCUCGUCCCGAAUGGUUGCUUAUGGAUUUUUCCUUGAUGAAAGACUUCAUAUAGCAGAAGAUGGCCACCGGAGAGUCAACAGGGGGCCCAUGAGGCAGGGGGCGCGCCCUGGGGGGUAGGGCGCGCCCCCCACCCUCGUGGCCAGGUGGGACCCCCUCUGACAUACUUCUUCCGCUCAAUAUUUUUUUUAUUUCUAAAAAUAACUUUCGUGGAGUUUCAGGACUUUUGGAGUUGUGCAGAAUAGGUCUCUAAUAUUUGCUCCUUUUCCAGCCCAGAAUUCCAGCUGCCGGCAUUCUCCCUCCUUAUGUAAACCUUGUAAAAUAAGAGAGAAUAGGCAGAAGUAUAGUGACAUAACAUGUAAUAACAGCCCAUAAUGCAAUAAAUAUCGAUAUAAAAGCAUGAUGCAAAAUGGACGUAUCAACUCCCCCAAGCUUAGACCUCGCUUGUCCUCAAGCGGAAGCCGAUAACGAUAAAUAUGUCCACAUGUUUAGAGGUAGAGGUGUCGAUAAAAUAAAAUACGGACAUGAGGGCAUCAUGAUUAUUCUCAUAAUAGCAACAUAAAUGGAUAUUGUCAUAUGAUUUCUUAUGCUCAAGUAAUAACCUAUUCACAAUGCCAAGUAUCAAUCAGAAACUUUAUUGAGAACCAACAAACUAUAAUCUCAGUCAUUGAAGCAAUUGCAAUUUAUCAUAGCAUCAGAAAGAGUCUAUGUCAGAGCUUUCUAGCAAGUCCACAUACUCAACUAUCAUUUAGUCUUUCAUAAUUGCUAGCACUCACGCAACACUUGUGGUUAUGGAGUUUUAAUCGGACACAGAGAAAGAUAGGGGCUUAUAGUUUCGCCUCCCAACCUUUUACCUCAAGGGUAAUGUCAACAAUAAUAAUUCAUGCUAACCCAUAUCCAAUUAGAUAUAUGUAUCAGGAUCUUUCCAACACCCUAUGCUUGCCAAAGGAUAAAAUGUAAAAAGGAAAGGUGAAGAUCACCAUGACUCUUGCAUAAGGUAGAAGAUAAUAAUAAAAGAUAGGCCCUUCGUAGAGGGAAGCAGAGGUUGCCAUGCGCUUUUAGGGUUGGAUGCACAAAAUCUUAAUGCAAAAGAACAUCACUUUAUAUUGUCCCUUGUGAUAUGAACCUUUAUUAUGCAGUCCGUCGCUUUUAUUUCUUCCACAUCACAAGAUCGUAUAAAGCUUAUUUGCUCCACACCAAUCAAUCAUACAUAUUUAGAGAGCAAUUUUUUUUGCUUGCACCGAUGACAACUUACUUGAAGGAUCUUACUCAAUCCAUAGGUAGAUAUGGUGGACUCUCAUGGCAAACUGGUUUAAGGGUUUUUGGAGGCACAAGUAGUAUCUCUACUUGGUGCAAAGAAUUUGGCUAGCAUGAGGGAGAAAGGCAAGCUCAACAUGUUGGAUGAUCCAUGACAAUAUACUUUAUCUCAGAUAUAAGAAAACAUAACCCAUUACGUUGUCUUCCUUGUCCAACAUCAACUCUUUAGCAUGUCAUAUUUUAAUGAGUGCUCCCAAUCAUAAAAGAUGUCCAAGAUAGUAUAUUUAUAUGUGAAACCUCUCUUUCCUUAUUACUUCCUAUUAAUUGCAACGAUGACCAAAGCUAUGCUUGUCAACUCUCAACAAUUUUUAAUCAUCAUACUCUUUCUAUGUGAAGUCAUUACUCUUGAUAAGAUCAGUAUGAUCUCUUUGUUUCUUUUUGUUCUUUUCUCUUUUCUUUUAUUCACUCAAGAUCAUGGCAAAAUAAUCAAGCCCUUGACUCAACACUAAUCUUUAUUAUAUAGCUCACGGACUCGAUUACAUAGAGGGAUCAUAAAGCAAAUCUCAAAACUAGAUCAUACCAGAACUUUAUUCUACUAGAUCAAGAUACUAAUAGGAUCGAACUAAGAAAAAUGGUAAAGAUAGGAGUGUGAUGGUGAUACGAUACCGGGGCAUCUCCCCCAAGCUUGGCAGUUGCCAAGGGGAGUGCCCAUACCCAUGUGAUUAUAUCUCCCUUGCUGGUGAGGAAGGUGGAGGUGAUGAUGGAUAGUCGCACAUCGAACGUAAGAGGUCCUUCAGCUUGCGGAUAAUGCCCUUGAGUGCAACGAUAUGCUCCUUCAACAAAAUAUUUUCACGUGUCAGAUACUUGUUCUGUAUACGAGCUAACUCAAUCAUCUUGAAAGCUUCGAUCUCAGUUGGAGUAAGAAGAUUAUGAUCAAGUUGAAGGAUGUCUUCUACUGCCGGAGGUUGAUCCUCCGUGGCCUUCUUGAUCCCUUCAUCCAUGUUGAUCUCCAUGGGUUCUUCCCUCUUCAGCUCUAUCUUCAUUAGCCAAGCAUCGUUGUCACCAUUGUUGGAGGAGGGGGACGACAUGAUGCCUGGCCUUGACAACCCUGACAGAAAACAGCUCCAAACAAGAACAGAGGAUAAUGGCGUGAUAUGGGAGUCAAAACCUUCGGGAGAUUAUAUAAUGAAUUUUUACCGACCAAAAUACGUAUCGUGCAAGAAAACGGAGUCCGGAGAGCACACGAGGUGCCCACGAGGUAGGGGGGGCACGCCCAGGGUGGUAGGGCGUGCCCUCCACCCUCGUGGAGCCCUCGUGUCCUUCCCGGACUGCUUCUUAUUUUUCUAAUUUUCUAAAUAUUCCAAAACGGAGAAAUAUUGCCAUAAAAAUUAUUUUGGAGUCGGUUUACUUACCGUACCACAUACCUAUUCCUUUUCGGAGUCUGAAACGUUCCGGAAAGUGUCCCUUAUGUAUUCCUCCGGGGUUACGGUUUCCAUAAUAUUGGUUUCAACAAUUAUAGGAUUACCUGAGAUAUAAUGUUUGAUUCUUUGACCGUUUACCACCUUCGGAUUUGUGCCUUCGAAGUUGUUGAUUUUUAUGGCACCAGAACGAUAGACCUCCUCGAUAACGUAAGGACCUUCUCAUUUAGAGAGAAGUUUUCCUGCAAAAAAUCUUAAACGAGAGUUGUAUAGCAAUACAUAAUCACCUACAUUAAACUCACGCUUUUGUAUCCUUUUGUCAUGCCAUCUUUUAACCUUUUCUUUCAACAACUUGGCAUUUUCAUAAGCUUGGGUUCUCCAUUCAUCAUGUGAGCUAAUAUCAAAUAACCUCUUCUCACCGGCAAGUUUGAAAUCAUAGUUGACCUCUUUAGUAGCCCAAUAUGCCUUAUGUUCUAGUUCGAGAGGUAAGUGACAUGCUUUUCCAUAAACCAUUUUAUACGGAGACAUACCCAUAGGAUUUUUAUAUGCAGUUCUGUAGGCCCAUAAUGCAUCAUCAAGUUUCUUGGACCAAUUCUUUCCAGAUCUAUUAACAGUCUUUUGCAAAAUUAAUUUGAGCUCUCUAUUACUCAAUUCUACUUGACCACUAGACUGUGGGUGAUAAGGAGAUGCAAUUCUAAGAUUAACAUCAUACUUAGCAAGCAUUUUACGGAAAGCACCAUGAAUAAAGUGUGAACCACCAUCAGUCAUUAAAUAUCUAGGGACUCCAAACCUCGGAAAAAUAACUUCUUUAACCAUUUUAAUAGAAUUGUUAUGAUCAGCACUACUAGUUGGAAUAGCUUCUACCCACUUCGUAACGUAAUCAACAGGAACUAAAAUAUGUGUAUAUCCAUUAGAGGCAGGAAAUGGUCCCAUAUAAUCAAAGCCCCAAACAUCGCAUUGUUCAAUAACAAGUGAAUAAUUCAUAGGCAUUUCUUGACGUCUACUAAUAUUACCAAUUCUUUGGCAUUCAUCACAAGAUAAGACAAACUUACGGGCAUCCUUGAAGAGAAUAGGCCAAUAAAAACCAGAUUGCAAUACCUUAUGUGCAGUUCUAUCUCCAACAUGGUGCCCUCCAUAAGCCUCGGAGUGACACUUGCGUAGGAUCUGUUCCUGUUCAUGCUCAGGUACACAACGUCUAAUAACACCAUCCACUCCUUCUUUAUAAAGAUGUGGGUCAUCCCAAAAGUAAUGUCUCAAAUCAUAGAAAAACUUUUUCUUUUGCUGGUAUGUGAAACUAGGUGGUAUGUAAUUAGCAUAAUCAGCAUACCAUGGAGUGCUACGAGAGGCAUUUAUGACAUUUAAUUGCUCAUCAGGAAAGCUAUCAUCAAUAGGUAGUGGGUCAUCAAGACUCUUUUCUGGUGCCGUUGCCGGGGAGUGAAGCGCCAUUGGUAGGUGGAAUUUGGUAAGGAAAAUUUUAUAUAGUGUGCUGAAAUUUACUGUCACUUGUUACUAUGGAAAGUAAUCCUCUGAGGGGCUUGUACGGGGUAUCUUCACCCGGACCAGUAGAGCAAAGAGUUGCUCCUCAACCUACUGAAAAUGAAAAUAUUCCCUUUGAAGUUCCUUCGGGUAUGUUAGAAAAACUGCUAGCUAAUCCAUUUGUAGGAGAUGGAACAAAGCAUCCUGAUGAGCACCUAAUCUAUGUGGAUGAAGUUUGUGGAUUAUUUAAGCUUGCAGGUAUACCCGAUGAUGUUGUUAAGAGGAAGGUCUUCCCUUUAUCUUUGAAGGGAGAUGCAUCGACAUGGUAUAGGCUAUGUGAUGAUACGGGGUCAUGGAACUACAAACGAUUGAAGUUGGAAUUUCAUCAGAAGUUUUAUCCUAUGCAUCUUGUUCAUCGUGAUCACAAUUAUAUAUAUAAUUUUUGGCCUCGCGAAGGUGAAAGCAUCGCUCAAGAUUGGGGGAGGCUUAAGUCAAUGUUAUAUUCAUGCCCCAAUCAUGAGCUCUCAAGAGAAAUAAUUCUUCAAAGUUUUUAUGCACAGCUUUCUCGUAAUAAUCAAUCCAUGCUCGAUACUUCUUGUGCUGGCUCUUUUAUGAUGAAGACUAUUGAAUUCAAAUGGAAUUAAUUGGAUAGAAUUAAAUGCAACUCUGAAGAUUGGGAUCUCGAUGAAGGUAGGAGUCAGGUAUGACACCUAAGUUUGAUUGUGUUAAAUCUUUUAUGUAUACCGAUGUUUUCCGUAAAUUUAGCACUAAAUAUGGACUUGACUCUGAGAUAGUAGCUUCAUUCUGUGAAUCUUUUGCUACUUAUGUUGAUCUCCCCAAGGAGAAGUGGUUUAAAUAUCAUCCUCCCAUAGAAAUAAAAGUAGCUGCACCUAUUAAAGUUGAAGAAAAGACUAUCACUUAUAAUGAUCCUAUUGUUCCUACUUCUUAUGUUGAGAAACAACCUUUCCCUGGUAGGAAAGGAUCAUGCUAAAGCUUCAACGGUGGUUCAUAAAAGCAAUAUUAGAACUUAUACACCUCCUGAGCAAGUUAAAGUUGAACCUAAUAUUGCUAUUCUUAAAGAUCUCUUGGCUGAUAAUAUUGAUGGGCAUGUUAUUUAUUUCUGCGGUGAAACUGCUAGAAUUGCCAAGCCUUGUGCUAAAUAUAAACAUAGACCUGUGGUAGGCAUGCCUGUUAUUUCUGUUAAAAUAGGAGAUCAUUGUUAUCAUGGCUUAUGUGAUAUGGGUGCUAGUGCAAUACCUAUUGCCUUAUACAAUGAAAUUAAGCACGAUAUUGCACCUACUGAUUUAGAAGAUAUUGAUGUCACAAUUAAGCUUGCCAAUAGAGAUACUAUAUCACCAAUGGGAAUUGUUAGAGAUGUUGAAGUCUUGUGUGGGAAAACUAAAUAUCCUGUCGAUUUUCUUGUUCUUGGUUCCCCACAAGAUAGCUUUUGUCCCAUUAUAUUUGGUAGACCCUUCUUGAACACUGUUAAUGCUAGGAUAGACUGCGAAAAGGAUGUUGUUACUAUUGGUUUGGGUGAUAUGUCUCAUGAAUUUAAUUUCUCUAAAUUUAGUAGACAACACCGUGAAGAGGAAUUGCCUAGUAAGGAUGAAAUAAUUCGUCUUGCUUCUAUUGUCGUGCCUCCUAAUGAUCCUUUAGAACAAUAUUUGCUAGACCAUGAAAAUGAUAUAUUUAUGAAUGAAAGAAGAGAAAUAGAUGAAGUAUUCUUUAAACAGGAACCUAUCCUGAAACACAAUUUGCCUGUUGAAAUCCUAGGGGAUCCUCCUCCACUUAUGGGUGAUCCCGUGUUUGAGCUUACACCAUUGCCUGAUACUCUUAAAUAUGCUUAUCUUGAUGAGAAAAAGAUAUAUCCUGUUAUUAUUAGUGCUAAACUUUUAGAGCAUGAAGAAGAGAGAUUAUUGAAAACUCUGAAGUAGCACCGAGCUGCUAUUGGAUAUACUCUUGAUGAUCUUAAGGGCAUUAGUCCCACUCUAUGUCAACAUAAAAUAAAUUUGGAAGAAGAUGCCAAACCGGUUCGUGAUCAUCAACGAAGGCUGAAUCCUAAGAUGAAAGAAGUGGUAAGAAAAGAAAUACUAAAGCUCCUUGAGGCGGGUAUAAUUUAUCCCGUUGCUGAUAGUCAGUGGGUAAGUCCUGUCCAUUGUGUCCCUAAGAUGGGAGGUAUUACCGUCGUUCCUAAUGAUAAAGAUGAAUUGAUUCCGCAAAGAAUUAUUACAGGUUAUAGGAUGGUAAUUGAUUUCCGCAAAUUAGAUAAAGCUACUAAGAAAGAUCAUUACCCCUUACCUUUUAUCAAUCAAAUGCUAGAAAGACUAUCCAAACAUACACAUUAUUGCUUUCUAGAUGGUUAUUCUGGUUUCUCUCAAAUACCUUUGUCGGCCAAUGAUCAAUCAAAGACCACUUUUACUUGCCCUUUUGGUACUUUUGCUUAUAGAUGUAUGCCUUUUGGUUUUUGUAAUGCACCUGCUACCUUUCAAAGAUGCAUGAUGGCUAUAUUCUCUGACUUUUGUGAAAAGAUUUGUGAGGUUUUCAUGGACGACUUUUCCGUGUAUGGAUCUUCUUUUGAUGAUUGCUUGAGCUAUUUUGAUCGAGUUUUGCAGAGAUGUGAAGAAACUAACCUUGUCUUGAAUUGGGAAAGUGUCACUUCAUGGUUAAUGAAGGUAUUGUCUUGGGGCAUAAAGUUUCUGAAAGAGGUAUUGAGGUUGAUAAAGCCAAGGUUGAUGCUAUUGAAAAGAUGCCAUGUCCCAAGGACAUCAAAGGUAUAAGAAGUUUCCUUGGUCACGCCGGAUUUUAUAGGAGGUUCAUUAAGGACUUCUCAAAAAAUUUCUCGGCCUCUGACUAAUUUAUUACAAAAAGAUAUACCAUUUGUCUUUGAUGAUGAUUGUGUAGAAGCAUUUGAAAUACUUAAGAAAGCAUUGAUCUCUGCACCUAUUGUUCAGCCACCUGAUUGGAAUUUACCCUUUGAAAUUAUGUGUGAUGCUAGUGAUUAUGCUGUAGGUGCUGUUCUAGGGCAAAGAGUUGAUAAGAAAUUAAAUGCUAUUCAAUAUGCUAGUAAAACUCUAGACAAUGCUCAAAGAAAUUAUGCUACUACUGAAAAAGAAUUCUUAGCAGUUGUAUUUGCUUCUGAUAAGUUCAGACCUUAUAUUGUUGAUUCUAAAGUAACUAUUCACACAGAUCAUGCUGCUAUUCAAUAUCUUAUGGAAAAGAAAGAUGCUAAACCUAGACUUAUUAGAUGGGUUCUCUUGCUACAAGAAUUUGAUUUGCAUAUUGUUGAUAGAAAGGGAGCUGAGAACCCCAUUGCAGACAACUUGUCUUGGUUAGAAAAUGUUCUCGAUGACCCACUACCUAUCGAUGAUAGCUUUCCUGAUGAGCAAUUAAAUGUCAUAAAUGCCUCUCGUAGCACUCCAUGUUAUGCUGAUUAUGCUAAUUACAUUGUUGCUAAAUUUAUACCACCUAGUUUCACAUACCAGCAAAAGAAAAAGUUUUUCUAUGAUUUGAGACAUUACUUUUGGGAUGACCCACAUGUUUAUAAAGAAGGAGUGGAUGGUGUUAUUAGACGUUGUGUACCUGAGCUUUAACAGGAACAAAUCCUACACAAGUGUCACUCCGAGGCUUAUGGAGGGCACCACGCUGGAGAUAGAACUGCACAUAAGGUAUUGCAAUCUGGUUUUUAUUGGCCUACUCUCUUCAAGGAUGCCCGUAAGUUUGUCUUAUCUUGUGAUGAAUGCCAAAGAAUUGGUAAUAUUAGUAGAUGUCAAGAAAUGCCUAUGAAUUAUUCACUUGUUAUUGAACCAUUCGAUGUUUGGGGCUUUGAUUAUAUGGGACCUUUUCCUGCCUCUAAUGGAUAUACACAUAUUUUUGUUGAUGUUGAUUACGUUACUAAGUGGGUAGAAGCUAUUACAACUAGUAGUGCUGAUCAUAACACUUCUAUUAAAAUGCUUAAAGAAGUUAUUUUUCCGAGGUUUGGAGUCCCUAGAUAUUUAAUGACUGAUGGUGGUUCACACUUUAUUCAUGGUGCUUUCCGUAAAAUGCUUGCUAAGUGUGAUGUUAAUCAUAGAAUUGCAUCUCCUUAUCACCCAUAGUCUAGUGAUCAAGUAGAAUUGAGUAAUAGAGAGCUCAAAUUAAUUUUGCAAAAGACUGUUAAUAGAUCUGGAAAGAAUUGGUCCAAGAAACUUGAUGAUGCAUUAUGGGCCUACAGAACUGCAUAUAAAAAUCCUAUGGGUAUGUCUCCGUAUAAAAUGGUUUAUGGAAAAGCAUGUCACUUACCUCUCGAACUAGACAUAUGGCAUAUUGGGCUAUUAAAGAGCUCAACUAUGAUUUCAAACUUGCCGGUGAGAAGAGGUUAUUUGAUAUUAGCUCACUUGAUAUUAGUGCACCUACCAAAGGCGCUUCACUCCCCGGCAACGGCGCCAGAAAAGAGUCUUGAUGACCCACAAGUAUAGGGGAUCUAUCGUAGUCCUUUCGAUAAGUAAGAGUGUCGAACCCAACGAGGAGCAGAGGGAAAUGAUAAGCGGUUUUCAGCAAGGUAUUCUCUGCAAGUACUGAAAUAAGAGGUAACAAAUAGGUUUGUGAUAGGAUAAUUUGUAACGAGCAACAAGUAACAAAAGUAAAUAAAGUGCAGCAAGGUGGCCCAAUCCUUUUUGUAGCAAAGCACAAGCCUGGACAAACUCUUAUAUAGAGAAAAGCGCUCCCGAGGACAGAUGGGAAUUAUCGUCAAGCUAGUUUUCAUCACGUUCAUACGAUUCGCGUUCGGUACUUUGAUAAUUUGAUAUGUGGGUGGACCGGUGCUUGGGUGUUGUUCUUACUUGAACAAGCAUCCCACUUAUGAUUAACCUCUAUUGCAAGCAUCCACAACUACAACAAAAGUAUUAAGGUAAACCUAACCAUAGCAUGAAACAUAUGGAUCCAAAUCAGCCCCUUACGAAGCAACGCAUAAACUAGGGUUUAAGCUUCUGUCACUCUAGCAACCCAUCAUCUACUUAUUACUUCCCAAUGCCUUCCUCUAGGCCCAAAUAAUGGUGAAGUGUUAUGUAGUCGACGUUCACAUAACCCCACUAGAGGAUAGACAACAUACAUCUCAUCAAAAUAUCGAACGAAUACCAAAUUCACAUGACUACUAAUAGCAAGACUUCUCCAUGUCCUCAGGAACAAACGUAACUACUCACAAAGCAUAUUCAUGUUCAUAAUCAGAGGGGUAUUAAUAUGCAUAUAGGAUCUGAACAUAUGAUCUUCCACCAAAUAAACCAACUAGCAUCAACUACAAGGAGUAAUCAACACUACUAGCAACCUACUAGUACCAAUCCCGGACUUGGAGACAAGAAUUGGAUACAAGAGAUGAACUAGGGUUUUGAGAGGAGAUCGUGCUGGUGAAGAUGUUGAUGGAGAUUGACCUCUCCCGAUGAGAGGAGCGUUGGUGAUGAUGAUGGCGAUGAUUUCCCCCUCCCGGAGGGAAGUGUCCCCGGCAGAACAGCUCUGCCGGAGCCCUAGAUUGGUUCCGCCUCGUGGCGGCGGAGUCUCGUCCCGAAAGGUUGCUUAUGAUUUUUUCCUUGACGAAAGACUUCAUAUAGCAGAAGAUGACCACCGGAGAGCCAACAGGGGGCCCACGAGGCAGGGGGCGCGCCCUGGGGGGGUAGGGCGUGCCCCCACCCUCAUGGCCAGGUGGGACCCCCUCUGUCGUACUUCUUCCACUCAAUAUUUUUAAUUAUUUCCAAAAAUAACUUUCGUGGAGUUUCAGGACUUUUGGACUUGUGCAGAAUAGGUCUCUAAUAUUUUUUCCUUUUCCAGCCCAGAAUUCCAGCUGCCGGCAUUCUCCCUCCUUAUGUAAACCUUGUAAAAUAAGACAGAAUAGGCAUAAGUAUUGUGACAUAACGUGUAAUAACAGCCCAUAAUGCAAUAAAUAUCGAUAUAAAAGCAUGAUGCAAAAUGGACGUAUCAACUCCCCCAAGCUUAGACCUCGCUUGUCCUCAAGCGGAAGCUGAUAACGAUAAAUAUGUCCACAUGUUUAGAGGUAGAGGUGUCGAUAAAAUAAAAUACGGACAUGAGGGCAUCAUGAUUAUUCUCAUAACAGCAACAUAAAUGGAUAUUGUCAUAUGAUUUCUUAUGCUCAAGUAAUAACCUAUUCACAAUGCCAAGUAUGAAUCAGAAACUUUAUUGAGAACCAACAAAUUAUAAUCUCGGUCAUUGAAGCAAUUGCAAUUUAUCAUAACAUCAGAAAGAGUCUAUGUCAGAGCUUCCUAGCAAGUCCACAUACUCAACUAUCAUUUAGUCUUUCAUAAUUGCUAACACUCACGCAAUACUUCUGGUUACGGAGUUUUAAUCGGACACAGAGAAAGAUAGGGGCUUAUAGUUUCGCCUCCCAACCUUUUACCUCAAGGGUAAUGUCAACAAUAAUAAUUCAUGCUAACCCAUAUCCAAUUAGAUAUAUGUAUCAGGAUCUUUCCAACACCCUGUGCUUGCCAAAGGAUAAAAUGUAAAAAGGAAAGCUGAAGAUCACCAUGACUCUUGCAUAAGGUAGAAGAUAAUAAUAAAAGAUAGGCCCUUCGCAGAGGGAUGCAGAGGAUGACAUGCGCUUUCAGGGUUGGAUGCACAAAAUCUUAAUGCGAAAGAACGUCAGUUUAUAUUGCCCCUUGUGAUAUGAACCUUUAUUAUGCAGUCCGUCGCUUUUAUUUCUUCCACAUCACAAGAUCGUAUAAAGCUUAUUUCCUCCACACCAAUGAAUCAUACAUAUUUAGAGAGCAAUUUUUAUUGCUUGCACCGAUGACACUUACUUGAAGGAUCUUACUCAAUCCAUAGGUAGAUAUGGUGGACUCUCAUGGCAAAACUGGUUUAAGGUUUUUUGGAGGCACAAGUAGUAUCUCUACUUGGUGCAAAGAAUUUGGCUAGCAUGAGGGGGAAAGGAAAGCUCAACAUGUUGGAUGAUCCAUGACAAUACUUUAUCUCAGAUAUAAGAAAACAUAACCCAUUACGUUGUCUUCCUUGUCCAACAUCAACUCUUUAGCAUGUCAUAUUUUAAUGAGUGCUCCCAAUCAUAAAAGUUGUCCAAGAUAGUAUAUUUAUAUGUGAAACCUCUCUUUCCUUAUUACUUCCUAUUAAUUGCAACGAUGAACAAAUCUAUGCUUGUCAACUCUCAACAAUUUUUAAUCAUCAUACUCUUUCUAUGUGAAGUCAUUACUCUCGAUAAGAUCAAUAUGAUCUAUUUGUUUCUUUUUAUUCUUUUCUCUUUUCUUUUAUUCACUAAAGACCAUGGCAAGAUAAUCAAGCCCUUGACUCAACACUAAUCUUUAUUAUAUAGCUCACGGACUCGAUUACAUAGAGAGAUCAUAAAGCAAAACUCAAAACUAGAUCAUGCCAUAAACUUUAUUCUACUAGAUCAAGAUACUACUAAUAGGAUCGAACUAAGAAAAAACGGUAAAGAUAGGAGUGUGAUGGUGAUACGAUACCAGGGCAUCUCCCCCAAGCUUGGCAGUUGCCAAGGGGAGUGCCCAUACCCAUGCGAUUAUGUCUCCUUCUUUGGUGAUGGUGUAAUAUUCUUGGCGAUGAUGCCUCUCAGGAUACGAUUCUCCUCCUCGAGCUUACUGACUUGCUGCUUGAGGUCCAUUGUUUCCUUACGAAGCUUUCCUGUAAUGGCUAAGGCUCCUUGCACCCAAGGGUGUUGCAUAGCUGCGGGAGAACAAGUGACACUUCUCUUCAUAUUUUCAUAAGAAAGAAAUCUAACAUUGGAAGGGAUAACCGAGUUUGGAAUAGCUGAGCUCUGUAGUUCCCCCAUCGUGAAUCUAGCUCGGAAGCGAGAAGUGACUUCUUGAUCCUCCUCCAUGGCAUCUAUCCUCAUCAAGUCAGCCUCCAUCUCUUCCUCCGUUGCUGGCCCAAAGUGGUCAGCAUCGCUGUUUGUCCUUGGUUCCGAUGCCGGAUGAGACACCCGGCUCUCACCAACUGACUCUUGAGAAGACAUCUUGCUCUAAUCUGCAGCAGCAACAGCUCGAAACAAGAAUAGAGAAUAUUUGCGUGAUACAGGAGUCAAAACCUUCGGGAGGUUAUAUAAUGAAUUUUUACCGACCAAAAUACGUAUCGUGCAAGAAAACGGAGUCCGGAGAGCACACAAGGUGCCCACGAGGUAGGGGGCGCGCCCAGUAGGGUAGGGCACGCCCUCCACCCUCGUGGAGCCCUCGUGUCCUUCCCGGACUGCUUCUUAUUUUUCUAUUUUUCUAAAUAUUCCAAAACGGAGAAAUAUUGCCAUAAAAAUUGUUUUGGAGUCGGUUUACUUACUGUACCACAUACCUAUUCCUUUUCGGAGUCUGAAACGUUCUGGAAAGUGUCCCUUAUGUAUUCCUCCGGGGUUACGGUUUCAAUAAUAUUGGUUUCAACAUUUAUAGAAUUACCUGAGAUAUAAUGUUUGAUGCUUUGACCGUUUACCACCUUCGGAUUUGUGCCUUCGAAGUUGUUGAUUUUUAUGGCACCGGAACGAUAGACCUCCUCGAUAACGUAAGGACCUUCCCAUUUAGAGAGAAGUUUUCCUGCAAAAAAUCUUAAACGAGAGUUGUAUAGCAAUACAUAAUCACCUACAUUAAACUCACGCUUUUGUAUCCUUUUGUCAUGCCAUCUUUUAACCUUUUCUUUAAACAACUUGGCAUUUUCAUAAGCUUGGGUUCUCCAUUCAUCAAGUGAGCUAAUAUCAAAUAACCUCUUUUCACCGGCAAGUUUGAAAUCAUAGUUGAGCUCUUUAAUAGCCCAAUAUGCCUUAUGUUCUAGUUCGAGAGGUAAGUGACAUGCUUUUCCAUAAACCAUUUUAUACAGAGACAUACCCAUAGGAUUUUUAUAUGCAGUUCUGUAGGCCCAUAAUGCAUCAUCAAGUUUCUUGGACCAAUUAUUUCUAGAUAUAUUAACAGUCUUCUGCAAAAUUAAUUUGAGCUCUCUAUUACUCAAUUCUACUUGACCACUAGACUGUGGGUGAUAAGGAGAUGCAAUUCUAUGAUUAACAUCAUACUUAGCAAGCAUUUUACGGAAAGCACCAUGAGUAAAGUGUGAACCACCAUCAGUCAUUAAAUAUCUAGGGACUCCAAACCUCGGAAAAAUAACUUCUUUAAGCAUUUUAAUAGAAGUGUUAUGAUCAGCACUACUAGUUGGAAUAGCUUCUACCCACUUAGUAACGUAAUCAACAGGAACUAAAAUAUGUGUAUAUCCAUUAGAGGCAGGAAAAGGUCCCAUAUAAUCAAAGCCCCAAACAUCGAAUGGUUCAAUAACAAGUGAAUAAUUCAUAGGCAUUUCUUGACGUCUACUAAUAUUACCAAUUCUUUGGAAUUCAUCACUAGAUAAGACAAACUUACGGGCAUCCUUGAAGAGAGUAGGCCAAUAAAAACCAGAUUGCAAUACCUUAUGUACAGUUCUAUCUCCAGCGUGGUGCCCUCCAUAAGCCUCGGAGUGACACUUGCGUAGGAUCUGUUCCUGUUCAUGCUCAGGUACACAACGUCUAAUAACACCAUCCACUCCUUCUUUUUAAAGAUGUGGGUCAUCCCAAAAGUAAAGUCUCAAAUCAUAGAAAAACUUUUUCUUUUGCUGGUAUGUGAAACUAGGUGGUAUAAAUUUAGCAACAAUGUAAUUAGCAUAAUCAGCAUACCAUGGAGUGCUACGAGAGGCAUUUAUGACAUUUAAUUGCUCAUCAGGAUAGCUAUCAUCGAUAGGUAGUGGGUCAUCAAGAACAUUUUCUAACCUAGACAGGUUGUCUGCAACGGGGUUCUCAGCUCCCUUUCUAUCAACAAUAUGCAAAUCAAAUUCUUGUAGCAAGAGAACCCAUCUAAUAAGUCUAGGUUUAGCAUCUUUCUUUUCCAUAAGAUAUUUAAUAGCAGCAUGAUCCGUGUGAAUAGUUACUUUAGAAUCAACAAUAUAAGGUGUGAACUUAUCACAAGCAAAUACAAGUGCUAAGAAUUAUUUUUCAGUAGUAGCAUAAUUUCUUUGAGCAUUGUCUAGAGUUUUACUAGCAUAUUGAAUAACAUUUAAUUUCUUAUCAACUCUUUUGCCCUAGAACAGCACCUACAGCAUAAUCACUAGCAUCACACAUAAUUUCAAAGGGUAAAUUCCAAUCAGGUGGCUGAACAAUAGGUGCAGAGAUCAAUGCUUUCUUAAGUAUUUCAAAUGCUUAUACACAAUCAUCAUCAAAGAAAAAUGGUAUAUCUUUUUGUAAUAAAUUAGUCAGAGGCCGAGAAAUUUUUGAGAAGUCCUUAAUGAACCUACUAUAAAAUCCGACGUGACCAAGGAAACUUCUUAUACCUUUGAUGUCCUCGGGACAUGGCAUCUUUUCAAUAGCAUCAACCUUGGCUUUAUCAACCUCAAUACCUCUUUCAGAAACUUUAUGCCCCAAGACAAUACCUUCAUUAACCAUAAAGUGGCACUUUUCCAAAUUUAAGACAAGGUUAGUUUCUUCACAUCUCUGCAAAAGUCGAUCAAGAUUGCUCAAGCAAUCAUCAAAAGAAGAUCCAUAGACGGAAAAGUCGUCCAUGAAAACCUCACAAAUCUUUUCACAAAAGUCAGAGAAUAUAGCCAUCAUGCAUCUUUGAAAGGUAGCAGGUGCAUUACAUAAACCAAAAGGCAUACGUCUAUAAGCAAAAGUACCAAAAGGGCAAGUAAAAGUGGUCUUUGAUUGAUCAUUGGCCGACAUAGGUAUUUGAGGGAAACCAGAAUAACCAUCUACAAAGCAAUAAUGUGUAUGUUUGGAUAGUCUUUCUAGCAUUUGAUCGAUAAAAGGUAAGGGGUAAUGAUCUUUCUUAGUAUCUUUAUUUAAUUUGCGGAAAUCAAUUACCAUCCUAUAACCUGUAAUAAUUCUUUGCAGAAUCAAUUCAUCUUUAUCAUUAGGAACGACGGUAAUACCUCCCUUCUUAGGGACACAAUGGACAGGACUUACCCACUGACUAUCAGCAACGAGAUAAAUUAUACCUGCCUCAAGGAGCUUUAGUAUUUCUUUUCUUACCACUUCUUUCAUCUUAGGAUUCAGCCUUCGUUGAUGAUCACGAACCGGUUUGGCAUCUUCUUCCAAAUUUAUUUUAUGUUGACAUAGAGUGGGACUAAUGCCCUUAAGAUCAUUAGGAGUAUAUCCAAUAGCAGCUCGGUGCUUCUUCAGAGUUUUCAAUAAUCUCUCUUCUUCAUGCUCUGAAAGGUUAGCACUAAUAAUAACAGGAUAUAUCUUUUUCUCAUCAAGAUAAGCAUAUUUAAGAGUAUCAGGCAAUCGUUUAAGCUCAAACACGGGAUCACCCUUGGGUGGAGGAGGAUCCCCUAGGAUUUCAACAGGCAAAUUGUGUUUCAGGAUGGGUUCCUGUUUAAAGAAUACUUCAUCUAUUUCCCUUCUUUCAUUCAUAAACAUAUCAUUUUCAUGGUCUAGCAAAUAUUGUUCUAAAGGAUCACUAGGAGGCACGGCAAUAGAAGCAAGACCAAUUAUUUCAUCCUUACUAGGCAAUUCCUCUUCACGGUGUUGUCUAAUAAAUUUAGAGAAAUUAAAUUCAUGAGACAUAUCACCCAAACCAAUAGUACAACAUCCUUUUCGCAGUCUAUCCUAGCAUUAACAGUGUUCAAGAAGGGUCUACCAAAUAUAAUGGGACAAAAGCUAUCUUGUGGGGAACCAAGAACAAGAAAAUUGGCAGGAUAUUUAGUUUCCCCACACAAGACUUCAACAUCUCUAACAAUUCCCAUGGGUGAUAUAGUAUCUCUAUUGGCAAGCUUAAUUGUGACAUCAAUAUCUUCUAACUCAGUAGGUGCAAUAUCGUGCUUAAUUUCAUUGUAUAAGGCAAUAUGUAUUGCACUAGCACUAGCACCCAUAUCACAUAAGCCAUGAUAACAAUGAUCUCCUAUUUUAACAGAAAUAACAGGCAUGCCUACCACAGGUCUAUGUUUAUCUUUAGCACAAGGUUUGGCAAUUCUAGCAGUUCCACCACAGAAAUAAAUAACAUGCCCAUCAAUAUUAUCAGCCAAGAGAUCUUUAACAAUAGCAAUAUUAGGUUCAACUUUAACUUGCUCAGGAGGUGUAUAAGUUAUAAUAUUGCUUUUACGAACCAUAGUUGAAGCUUUAGCAUGAUCCUUUAUCCUAACAGGGAAAGGUGGUUUCUCAACAUAAGAAGUAGGAACAAUAGGAUCAUUAUAAGUGAUAGUCUUUUCUUCAACUUUAAUAGGUGCAGCUACUUUUACUUCUAUGGGAGGAUGAUAUUUAAACCACUUCUCCUUGGGGAGAUCAACAUAAGUAGCAAAGGAUUCAUAGAAAGAAGCUACUAUCUCAGAGUCAAGUUCAUAUUUAGUGCUAAAUUUACGGAAAACAUCAGUAUCCAUAAAAGAUUUAACACAAUCAAACUUAGGUGUCAUACCUGACUCCUUACCUUCGUCGAGAUCCCAAUCUUUAGAGUUGCGUUUAAUUCUAUCCAAUAAAUUCCAUUUGAAUUAAAUAGUCUUCAUCAUAAAAGAGCCAGCACAAGAAGUAUCGAGCAUGGAUUGAUUAUUACGAGAAAGCCGAGCAUAAAACUUUUGAAGAAUUAUUUCUCUUGAGAGCUCAUGAUUGGGGAAUGAAUAUAACAUUGACUUAAGCCUCCCCCAAGCUUGAGCGAUGCUUUCUCCUUCGCGAGGCCAAAAAUUAUAUAUAUAAUUGCGAUCACGAUGAACAAGAUGCAUAGGAUAAAACUUCUGAUGAAAUUCCAACUUCAAUCGUUUGUAGUUCCAUGACCCCGUAUCAUCACAUAGCCUAUACCAUGUCGAUGCAUCUACCUUCAAAGAUAAAGGGAAGACCUUCUUCUUAACAACAUCAUCGGGUAUACUUGCAAGCUUAAAUAAUCCACAAACCUCAUGCACAUAGAUUAGGUGCUCAUCAGGAUGCUUUGUUCCAUCUCCUACAAUAGGAUUAGCUAGCAGUUUUUCUAACAUACCCGAAGGAACUUCAAAGGGAACAUUUUCAUUUUUAGUAGGUUCAGUAGGUUGAGGAGCAACUCUUUGCUCUACUGGUCGGGGUGAAGAUACCCCGAGCAAGCCCCUCAGAGGAUUACUUUCCAUAGUAACAAGUGACAGUAAAUUUCAGCACACUAUAUAAAUUUUUCCUUACCAAAUUCCACCUACCAAAGGCGCUUCACUCCCCGGCAACGGCGCCAGAAAAGAGUCUUGAUGACCCACUACCUAUCGAUGAUAGCUAUCCUGAUGAGCAAUUAAAUGACAUAAAUGCCUCUCGUAGCACUCCGUGGUGUGUUGAUUAUGCUAAUUACAUUGUUGCUAAAUUUAUACCACCUAGUUUCACAUACCAGCAAAAGAAUAAGUUUUUCUAUAAUGUUUGAUUGUUCCAUGCUAUUAUAUUAUUUUUGGAUGUUUAUGGGCUUUACUAUGCACUUUUAUAUUAUUUUUGGGACUAACCUAUUGACCCAGAGCCCAGUGCCAGUUCCUGUUUUUUCCCUUGUUUCAGUGUUUCGAAGAAAAGGAAUAUCAAAUGGAGUCGAAACGGAAUGAAACCUUCUGGAGAAGUUAUUUUUGGAAGGAAAGCAACCUGAUAGACUUGGAGUGCACGUCAGGAAAGAAACGAGGGAGCCAUGAGGUAGGGGGGCGCGCCCACCCCCCUAGGGCGCGCCCUCCACCCUUGUGGGCCCCUCGUGGCUCCCCUGACGUAUUUCUUCCGCCUAUAUAUAUCCAUAUACCCUAAAAACUUCGGGGAACAGAAUAGAUCGGGAGUUCCGCCGCCGCAAGCCUCUGUAGCCACCAAAAGUCAAUAGGGACCCUGUUCCGGCACCCUGCCGGAGGGGGGAACCCUCACCGGUGGCCAUCUGCAUCAUCCCGGCGCUCUCCAUGACAAGGAGGGAGUAGUUCACCCUCGGGGCUGAGGGUAUGUACCAGUAGCUAUGUGUUUGAUCUCUCUCUCUCGUGUUCUUGAUUUGGCACGAUCUUGAUGUAUCGCGAGCUUUGCUAUUAUAGUUGGAUCUUAUGUUUCUUCUCCCCCUCUACUCUCUUGUAAUGGAUUGAGUUUUCCCUUUGAAGUUAUCUAAUCGGAUUUAGUCUUUAAUGAUUUGAGAACACUUGAUGUAUGUCUUGCCGUGCAUAUCUGUGGUGACAAUGGGAUAUCACGUAACUCACUUGAUGUAUGUUUUGGUGAUCAACUUGCGGGUUCCGCCCAUGAACUUAUGCAUAGGGGUUGGCACACGUUUUCGUCUUGACUCUCCGGUAUAAACUUUGGGGCACUCUUUGAGGUUCUAUGUGUUGGUUGAAUAGAUGAAUCUGAGAUUGUGUGAUGCAUAUCGUAUAAUCAUACCCACGGAUACUUGAGGUGACAUUGGAGUAUCUAGGUGACAUUAGGGUUUUGGUUGAUUUGUGUCUUAAGGUGUUAUUCUAGUACGAACUCUAGGGCUGUUUGUGACACUUAUAGGAAUAGCCCAAUGGAUUGAUUGCAAAGAAUAUCUUUGAGGUGGUUUCGUACCCUACCAUAAUCUCUUCAUUUGUUCUCUGCUAUUAGUGACUUUGGAGUGACUCUUUGUUGCAUGUUGAGGGAUAGUUAUAUGAUCCAAUUAUGUUAUUAUUGUUGAGAGAACUUGCACCAGUGAAAGUAUGAACCCUAGGCCUUGUUUCCUAGCAUUGCAAUACCAUUUACGCCCACUUUUACCACUUGUUACCUUGCUGUUUUUAUAUUUUCAGAUACAAAAACCUAUAUCUACUAUCCAUAUUGCACUUGUAUCACCAUCUCUUCGCCGAACUAGUGCACCUAUACAAUUUACCAUUGUAUUGGGUGUGUUGGGGACACAAGAGACUCUUUGUUAUUUGGUUGCAGGGUUGUUUGAGAGAGACCAUCUUCAUCCUACGCCUCCCACAGAUUGAUAAACCUUAGGUCAUCCACUUGAGGGAAAUUUGCUACUGUCCUACAAACCUCUGCACUUGGAGGCCCAACAACGUCUACAAGAAGAAGGUUGUGUAGUAGACAUCAAGCUCUUUUCUGGCGCCGUUGCCGGGGAGGUGAGUGCUUGAAGGUAUAUCUUUAGAUCUUGCAAUUGAAUCUUUUUGUUUCUUGUUUUAUCACUAGUUUAGUUUAUAAAAGAAAACUACAAAAAAAUGGAAUUGAGUUUGUCUCAUACGCUUCAUCUUUUUAAUGUCUUUCGUGAAAUUGAUGGAAAGGAAAAUUGUGCUCAAGUUCUAGAAGAAGAAUUACAUAGAAUGUUUGGCACUAAGUAUUUGAAUGAUGAGCAUGAUUGCAAUGUUGUUAGUAUGAAUUCCUUGAAUAUCCAUGAUGCUAAUGAUAUGCAAAGCCACAAGCUUGGGGAAGCUAUGUUUGAUGAAGAUGAUAUUUUUUGUCCCCCAAGUUUUGAUGAGCAAAUUUAUUAUGAUGAAAGCAUGCCUACUAUCUAUGAUGAUUAUUGUGAUGACACGUAUGCUAUAAAGAAUAAUGAUAACCAUCAAACUUGUCAUCUUGAUCUUAAUUUUCAAUCAUAUGAUAGUUGUGUUGUUGAGUUUGCUCCCACUACUAGUGAUGAGAAGAAUUUUGCUUAUGUGAAGAGUAAUAAAAUUUCUAUGCUCGUAGAUCAUGAAAAGAAUGCUUUAUGUCCUGGUUAUAUUUUUGAAUUCAUUAAUGAUGCUACUGAAAAUUAUUAUGAGGGAGGAAUAUAUGCUUGUAGGAAUUGCAAUAAUAUCAAGUUUCCUCUCUAUGUGCUUAAAGCUUUAAAGUUAUGCUUGUUUUGCCUUCCUAUGCUAGUUGAUUAUUGUUCCCAUAAGUUGUUUGCUCACAAAAUCCCUAUGCAUAGGAAGUGGUUAGACUUAAAUGUGCUAGUCGUAUUCUUCAUGAUGCUCUCUUUAUGUUUCAAUCCUUAUCUUUUAUGUGAGCAUCAUUGAAAUCAUCAUGCCUAGCUAGGGGCGUUAAACGUUAGCACUUGUUGGGAGGCAACCCAAUUUUAUUUUAGUUUCUUGCUUUUUGGUUCUGUUUCGGAAUAAAUAAUCCAUCUAGCCACUGGUUAGAUGUGGUUUUAUGUUUUAAUUAGUGUUUGUACCAAGUAGAACCUUUGGGAAGACUUGGGUGAAGUCUUUAUGGUCAUGCUGUAAAAAACAGAAACUUUACCGCUCACGAGAUUAGCUAAAACGUUUUACUGGAGAGUGCUAUUUAGUUGAUUCUUUUUGCAGAUGAUUACUAGACAAAUUCUUCAGGUCCACCAAUUUAAUUUAGAAUUUUUGGAGUUCCAGAAGUAUACGUUUGAUACAGAUUACUACAGAAUGUUCACUUUUUGACAGAUUCUGUUUUUCGUGUGUUGUUUGCUUAUUUUGAUGACUAUAUGGCUAGUAAGAUAGUUUAUAAACCAUAGAGAAGUUGGAAUACAGUAGGUUUAACACCCAUAUAAAUAAAAAAUGAGUUCAUUACAGUACCUUGAAGUGGUGAUUUAUUUUCUUAUACUAACGGAGCUCACGAGAUUUUCUGUUAAGUUUUGUGUUGUGAAGUUUUCAAGUUUUGAGUAAAGAUUCGAUGGACUAUGGAAUAAGGAGUGGCAAGAGCCUAAGCUUGGGGAUGCCCAAGGCACCCCAAGGUAAUAUUCAAGGAUAACCAGGAGCCUAAGCUUGGGGAUGCCCCGGAAGGCAUCCCCUCUUUCGUCUUCAUUCAUCGGUAACUUUACUUGGAGAUAUAUUUUUAUUCACCACAUGAUAUGUGUUUUGCUUGGAGCGUCAUUUUAUUUUCUUUAUCUUUGCUUGCUGUUUGAAUAAAAUAUCAAGAUCUGAAAAUCUUAAAUGUUAGAGAGUCUUCACUUAGUUGCAUAAUUAUUCGGCUACGCAUUGAUCUUCACUUAUAUCUUUCGGAGUAGUUUGUCAUUUGCUCUAGUGCUGCACUUAUAUCCUUUAGAGCACGAUGGUGGUUUCAUUUUGAAGAAAUAGAUGAACUCUCAUGCUUCACUUAUAUUAUUUUGAGAGUCCUAAACAGCACGGUAAUUUGCUUUGGUUAUGAAUUUAGUCCUAAUAUGAUGGGCAUCCAAGAUGCAUGGGUAUAAUAAAAACUUUCAUAUAAAGUGCAUUGAAUACUAUGAGAAGUUUGAUACUUGAUAAUUGUUUUGAGAUAUGAAGAUGGUGAUAUUAGAGUCAUGCUAGUUGAGUAGUUGUGAAUUUGAGAAAUACUUGUGUUAAAGUUUGUGAUUCCCGUAGCAUUCACGUAUGGUGAACCGUUAUGUGAUGAAGUCGGAGCAUGAUUUAUUUAUUGAUUGUCAUCCUUAUGAGUGGCAGUCGGGGACGAGCGAUGGUCUUUUCCUACCAAUCUAUCCCCCUAGGAGCAUGCGUGUAAUACUUUGCUUCGAUAACUAAUAGAUUUUUGCAAUAAGUAUGUGAGUUCUUUAUGACUAAUGUUGAGUCUAUGGAUUAUACGCACUCUCACCCUUCCACCAUUGCUAGCCUCUCUAAUACCGUGCACCUUUCGCCGGUAUCAUACACCCACCAUAUACCUUCCUCAAAACAGCCACCAUACCUACCUAUCAUGGCAUUUCCAUAGCCACUCCGAGAUAUAUUGCCAUGCAACUUUCCACCAUUCCGUUUAUUAUGACACGCUCCAUCAUUGUCAUAUUGCUUUGCAUGAUCAUGUAGUUGACAUCGUAUUUGUGGAAAAGCCACCUUUCAUAAUUCUUUCAUACAUGUCACUCAUGAGUCAUUGCAUAUCCCGGUACACCACCGGAGGCAUUCAUAUAGAGUCAUAUUUUGUUCUAAGUAUCGAGUUGUAAUUGUUGAGUUGUAAGAAAAUAAAAGUGUGAUGAUCAUCAUUUUUAGAGAAUUGUCCCAAGUGAGGAAAGGAUGAUGGAGACUAUGAUUCCCCCACAAGUCGGGAUGAGACUCCGGACGAAAAAUAAAAAAUAUAAAAAAGAAAGAAAAAAAGAGGCCAUAAAAAAAGAGAAAGGCCCAAAUAAAAAAAUGAGAGAAAAAGAGAGAAGGGACAAUGUUACUAUCCUUUUACCACACUUGUGCUUCAAAGUAGCACCAUGAUCUUCAUGAUAGAUAGUCUCCUAUGUUGUCACUUUCAUAUACUAGUGGGAAUUUUACAUUAUAGAACUUGGCUUGUAUAUUCCAAUGAUGGGCUUCCUCAAAAUGCCCUAAGUCUUCGUGAGCAAGUGAGUUGGAUGCACACCCACUUAGUUUCUUUUGUUGAGCUUUCAUAUACUUAUAGCUCUAGUGCAUCCAUUGCAUGGCAAUCCCUACUCACUAACAUUGAUAUCUAUUGAUGGGCAUCUCCAUAGCCCGUUGAUACGCCUAGUUGAUGUGAGACUAUCUUCUUCCUUUUUGUCUUCUCCACAACCACCAUUCUAUUCCACAUAUAGUGCUAUGUCCAUGGCUCACGCUCAUGCAUUGCGUGAAGAUUGAAAAAGUUUGAGAACAUCAAAAGUAUGAAACAAUUGCUUGGCUUGUCAUCGGGGUUGUGCAUGAUUUAAAUAUUUUGUGUGAUGAAGAUAGAGCAUAGCCAGACUAUAUGAUUUUGUAGGGAUAGCUUGCUUUGGCCAUGUUAUUUUGAGAAGACAUGAUUGCUUUGUUAGUAUGCUUGAAGUAUUAUUAUUUUCAUGUCAAUAUGAACUUUUAUCUUGAAUCUUUCGGAUCUGAAUAUUCAUACCACAAUUAAGAAGAAUUACAUUGAAAUUAUGCCAAGUAGCAUUCCACAUCAAAAAAUUUGUUUUUAUCAUUUACCUACUCGAGGACGAGCAGGAAUUAAGCUUUGGGAUGCUGAUACGUCUCCAACGUAUCUAUAAUUUUUUAUUCUUCCAUGCUAUUAUAUUAUCUGUUUUGGAUGUUUAUGGGCUUUACUAUGCACUUUUAUAUUAUUUUUGGGACUAACGUAUUGACCCAGAGCCCAGUGCCAGUUCCUGUUUUUUCCCUUGUUUCACUGUUUCGAAGAAAAGGAAUAUCAAACGGAGUCGAAACGGAAUUGUCGGAGGGAGUGGCCACGGGUAGCCUAACCGACUACCCCUGGCUCUUCGGAAAAUUUAUCAGGCCUUUGGGCCUUCAAGCACUCCAAGCAUUUGGGCCGCCUUCUCUGGCCGGCUACCACUAAAGCCGACUCCCGGAAGGCGACCCAGCCUCACCGACUCCUCCCCAGGACGACUACGGGGUGGCCGACUCCAAGAAGCCGGCCAAGAAGGACGCCGACUCCUAGGAGCCGGCCAAGACCACAACCACUCCUACAUAACGGCGACCUGACGGGGUGUGGCCACAGUGCGGCCCACGACCCCCGAAGCCCGAGGCGGGCAUGGCAGACGCCGGGUGUCGAUGAGGAAGUCGAUGUGAUCGUUAUGGACGAUGGAGCCGUCCCAAUCCCCGCCAAGCUGCUCUACGUGGGGAGGCAUAGCGGAAGCUAGCACGGCGGCGGAGGAGCGUGCGGAGGAAGAGCGCGGCGGCGAAGCGCUGUCGCGAGAACGAGCAAGGCAAGAAGAUGGUGGAAGUAGGAGGAGCGUGCGAGGGCCUGCCGCCCUCCACCUCCCCCUACUUAUAGCCUCACGCGGCUGAAGAGGCCGGACGUGGGGGGGAGACGUGGGAUUAACUACGCCCACUCCCCCCACAUCUCGCGUUUAUUACGCAUAAGUGCGAGCCGAAACUGCCGCACGGAUCGUGCGGGCGGUUUCGGGAUACAAAGGAUCCGCGCCUGGGCCGGGGCACGGAUGUGGCGGGCCCCCUCCCUGCGGCGACGUCCCGUCACGCGCGUGGGCUGGCAGGCUUUCCGGCCACGUGGCACGCCAACGGCCCGAGGCCGGCCCGCGGCCCGGUGCCCAUGCCCGCGGGUUCCCGNNNNNNNNNNNNNNNNNNNNNNNNNNNNNNNNNNNNNNNNNNNNNNNNNNNNNNNNNNNNNNNNNNNNNNNNNNNNNNNNNNNNNNNNNNNNNNNNNNNNNNNNNNNNNNNNNNNNNNNNNNNNNNNNNNNNNNNNNNNNNNNNNNNNNNNNNNNNNNNNNNNNNNNNNNNNNNNNNNNNNNNNNNNNNNNNNNNNNNNNNNNNNNNNNNNNNNNNNNNNNNNNNNNNNNNNNNNNNNNNNNNCCCCGACUCCAGGAGAAUUCGACUAAGGCGGCGCGCCUGACCAAGGCCGGCUCCAGCUGCUGGCCUGUCACGAUAGGAAGCUGAUCGAGCUUCUUGAACCCCACUCCACCUCGAAGCCCCAUCAGCUUCGGGGACUACUGUCGGAGGGAGUGGCCACGGGUAGCCUAACCGACUACCCCUGGCUCUUCGGAAAAUUUAUCAGGCCUUUGGGCCUUCAAGCACUCCAAGCAUUUGGGCCGCCUUCUCUGGCCGGCUACCACUAAAGCCAACUCCCGGAAGGCGACCCAGCCUCACCGACUCCUCCCCAGGACGACUACGGGGUGGCCGACUCCAAGAAGCCGGCCAAGAAGGACGCCGACUCCUAGGAGCCGGCCAAGACCACAACCACUCCUACAUAACGGCGACCUGACGGGGUGUGGCCACAGUGCGGCCCACGACCCCCGAAGCCCGAGGCGGGCAUGGCUACAGGAGGCCGUACGGGAGGGACGUCUCCCGUGCGGCUCGGCACUGAAGCCACGCUAGCCUCGACGUCACCCGCGACCCACUCCUGUACGGCCUGAGGACUGCGGGCCCCUUCAGCCAGAGAGAGGCGCGAGGGGGGCCCGGCUUUUCCUAGUCGGCCAAGAUUAUAGCCGGCCUCCAGAAGCCGGCUACUCCCUUCCUCGAAGCGGGAGCCCCAUUAAGGAGACAAGACGAGGUGAGGCUACAGUGAUGGCCCCCGAGGCGGCCCACUGUAGCCAUGCUUACCUCGACGAAGCCCUCAUCAUCAGAGGCGCGGCUACAGUAAGCAGCCGCCGACAAGACCCUAGGCGGUGGGACCGGCCUGUCGGCCAAGUAGCCGGCAGCCGGCGGGACCCACUAGCCGGCGGGACCCAGCAGCCGGCGGAGAAGCCGGUGAGCGUGGACACUGACGGCUGGGACCUAUUCCCAGUCGGAUUACCGUUGUACCCCGGGGGGGUAGGCCUAUAUAAACCCCCCGGAGCACCCAUGCAAAGGGUUCGCUUCUAGGUUGGCCUCGGAGCAUAGUUGGCUUCUAGGUUAAUACCCACGCAUAGCCCACACACCAUAGAUAGAGAGAAGCAAGAGCUAGCCUUGUUCUUCUUCUCCCUUGACCUCAACAGCUCUAGGAGCGAUUGUAGCUACCCUUUAUCGAUCUAGUGAUCAUGCGGAGACCCCGUAGAGCAGGACUAGGGGUGUUAUCUCCUCGGAGAGCCCCAAACCUGGGUAAGAUUCGCCGUCGUGCAUGUCUUCGCCUCAUCCCGUUUCCAGGCACCGGCGACGUUUUAUUGGCUCCCACAAUGAUAAGCCAUCCCUUGGCAUAUGUCGCACCAACCACCCGACAUUUGGCGCCCACCGUGUGUGGCUAGAUGCACCGUCGUCCGGAGACCUGUUCUGGACGGGAACCCUCUUCUUCCCCCGCGAGCGCAGCCAGCCUGCUACGCCCGAUGGCGUUUGCCUCAACGCGCUGCAAGGCGUCGACGACGCCUGCGCGGCGAGACGCCUCGCCGAUCUGCUCGGCGAGACUCGCAUCUCCGACGAGCCUGCAUCCGACGCAGGCACCGACUACCCCGAGAGCCGCCUCGUCAGCCUCCUCGACCAACUUCACGUCUCCAGCGAGCCUGCUGCGGACAUGGAGUCGGUCGGCUCCACCGACCCGAUGCUCGUCGACUCCGACACCGCGUCGCUCGACGCCUACCCCUCCGACGUGGUGGUCUUCGACGACCCCCUCCCUCGAGCUGACAGCGGCAGCAGCGCUGUCUCCAACUCGGGCGAGAACGCCCGCGACGCCCAGCAAGCGACGAUGCACGACCUCUCCGUCCCCAUCCCGACCGACGCCGAUGCCGAGACCCUGGAGGCACGCCGCCUUGCCCUCAUCGCAGAGAGCAAGAAGAUAGCCUCGAUGAGACGCCUCACCGAGGCCCACCAGCGCGAAGUCGACCGCGCUGCCUUCGGGACGCCGCCGCCUAGCGGCCCGAGCCGAGCCGGCUUCGUCCAGAAGCGCGGCGCAGCCGUUGCCAGCAUGCUGGGCGCGGAUCGCCCCGUCUACGCCACCCUGCUCGAGAACCUGCGAGCCGCUCAGGCGGCCGCAGAGGAGCUCAAUGGGCUGGGAGCCAACGAGCUCCCUUACAUGACAGGACGGAUCCAGUAGCUGAUCGACGCGGCUGCAGAACGGCACGAAGCCGGCGCCCGAGCUGAUAGCCAUCCCCCGCGCCGGGAGCACGCCGCGACGUCCCGCUCGCCGACUGCGAGCGGUGCGCACCAGAAGAAAGACAAGGAGCCGGCUGCCAGCCGCAGCCAGACUCGCAUUACCAUCGAGCGCGACGCGGAUGGCCGCCCUCGAGCUGUAGAGCACCAGGGAAACCUGCCUCCUCCCCCGCCUCGAAGAGAAAGAUGCCUCACUCCACCGCCUGUCACCCAUCCGACUCUUGGCGACCGACUCGGCCGCCGAGAAGGAGUCGGCGAAAACGAUGCCCGCCACAGGAUCGACCGCCUUGCUCGAUCCUUGGCGCUAGAAGAAGAAGACGAUGUCGACCCGCCAUGCUUUAGCCCCCGCAUCCGCGACGAGCCCUUCCCCAAAGGGUUCUCGCUCCCCAGAGACACGCCCAAGUACAACGGCUCAGUGAAGCCGGAAGAUUGGCUCAUCAACUACUCCACGGCCGUCAGCAUCGCCAACGGCAAUCGGCGCGUCGCCGUGAAGUACGUCCCCUUGAUGCUGCAAGGCACGGCGCGCACAUGGCUCAACAGCCUCAAGCCCUACAGCAUCAACAGCUGGCUGGACUUCACCGAAGUUUUCGUCCGCAACUUCACCAGCACCUACAAGCGGCCUCCCAAGCCUCGCCAGCUCUCCCUCUGCGUCCAGGGGCCCAACGAGUCGACCCGCGACUACCUCACGCGGUGGGCCGAGCUCCGCAACUCCUGCGAGGGAGUGCACGAGGUCCAGGCCAUCGAGUACUUCACUGCUGGGUGCCGAGAGGGCACCCUCCUCAAGCACCGACUCCUCUGCGACGAGCCGGCUACCCUCGACGAGCUACUAGUCAUCGCCGACAAGUAUGCCACUGUCGACUCCUCCAUGAAGACCGAGCUCCGAGUGGACGCCUCGGGGAAGGUAGUUGCUCCGGCUCCCAAGACACCGGCUGGCGACUCUAACCGGUGCCCCUACCAGAACGACCACAAGCGCAAGGGCCCCAUGCCGACUUCCUCCAGUCGGCAGGUGGCCACAAUUGAAGAUGAGCAGCCCGAAGAGCGGCCCGCUCCCAAGAAGAAGGGUGGACGGCCGCCCUGGCAGCCGUCCUUCUCCUACGAACAAGCACUCGAUGCUCCCUGCAAGUUCCACAGCGGCGCGAAGCCGUCCAACCAUACAACACGGAAAUGCCACUGGCUCACCCGCAUCACCAAGGGCGAAGGGAUGGUGCCGCCUCCCCCUCCUGGCCCGCCGCCUCCAGCUCCCCAGCAGCCGGCGGCCCGGCCGGCAGUCGGCGCCAUCCAAGACGAGUUCCCCGAAGCGCACAACGCCUACGUCGUCUUCACAAGUCAAGUCGACGACAAGCGCAGCCGACGCCGGCAGCACCAUGAAGUAAACGCAGUCGCCUCUAGCACCGCCGAGUUCAUGCACUGGUCGGAAAAGCCCAUCAGCUGGAGCCAGGCUGACCACCCAGAGGUGAUGCCUUCGCCUGGCUCCUAUGCUAUGAUCUUGGACGUCACCCUUGCGACAGAGAAGCGAGCUGCCAGAUUUUCCCGUGUCCUGAUAGACGGCGGAAGCAGUAUCAACAUACUGUACCGCGACACCAUGGACAAGCUGAACAUCAAAGCAAAGCAGCUCAUUCCAAGCCGCACCGUCUUCCAUGGUAUCGUACCCGGCCUAUCUUGCUCUCCGAUCGGCAAGAUCAAGAUGGAUGUUCUCUUCGGAGACAAAGAUCACUUUCGCCGGGAAGCAAUAUGGUUCGAGGUGGUGGAUUUGGAGAGCCCCUAUCAUGCACUACUUGGCCGACCUGCUUAGGCCAAGUUCAUGGCUGUGCCCCACUAUGCCUACCUGAAGAUUAAGAUGCCGAGCUCGAAGGGGAUCAUCACGGUAGCCGGCGACUACAAGAAAUCCAUCGAGUGUGCCAUGGCCAGCAGCCGGCUGGCCGAGUCCCUCGUGGUGGCCAAAGAUAAGAAGAUGUUGGAGCGGGUUGUGGCCAUGGCCAGCAAGCAGCCGGCCUUGUCCCCCAACCCUAAGGACUGUGAUGCGCAGGGCUCCUUCCAGCCUGCAAAAGAGACAAAGAAGAUACCUCUAGACCCGGAGCACCCGGAGAGGUUCGCCGUGAUUGGGGCGAACUUGGACAGUAAAUAGGAAGGCGAGCUCGCCGACUUCCUCCGUGAGAAUCGAGACAUCUUUGCAUGGUCCCCAAAGGACAUGCCGGGUGUCCCGAAGGAUUUCGCCGAGCACAAAUUACAUGUCCGAGCUGAUGCGAAGCCGGUCAAGCAACCCCUCCGCCGACUAUCAGAAGAGAAGCGAAGAAUCGUGGAAGAAGAGAUAGCCCGGCUCCUUGCAGCCGGCUUCAUCAUGGAAGUGUUCUUUCCAGAAUGGCUUGCCAAUCCAGUUCUGAUUUUGAAGAAGAAUAACAAGUGGCGCAUGUGUAUAGACUACACAAGUUUGAACAAGGCCUGCCCAAAGGAUCCAUUUGCUUUGCCACGGAUCGACCAAGUGAUAGACUCCACAGCCGGAUGCGAGCUGUUAAGUUUUUUGGAUGCAUACUCAGGGUAUCAUCAGAUCAAGUUGGACCCGGCUGACCGCCUGAAGACUGCCUUCAUCACACCCUUUGGAGCUUUCUGCUACCUGACAAUGACAUUCGGCUUGAGAAACGCCGGUGCCACUUUUCAGUGUUACAUGCAGAAAUGUCUCUUGAAACAACUCGGCAGAAAUGCCCACGUCUACGUAGACGACAUUGUGGUGAAGACAAAGAAGUGCGGUACCUUGCUGGAAGACCUGAAGGAAACAUUUGCCAACUUGCGCCGAUUCCAGAUCAAGCUUAACCCCGAGAAGUGCGUGUUCGGAGUGCCAGCCGGCCAGCUGCUAGGCUUCCUGGUCUCCGAACGCGGCAUUGAGUGCAACCCUGUCAAGAUCAAGGCCAUCGAGAGGAUGGAGAUUCCCACCAAGCUGCGAGAUGUGCAGAAGUUCACUGGCUGCUUAGCCUCCCUGAACCGUUUUAUCAGCUGACUAGGAGAGAAGGCUCUCCCCCUGUACCGACUCAUGAAGAAGUCCACUCACUUUGAGUGGAACGAUCAAGCCGACCAAGCCUUCCAUGAGUUAAAGAAGAUGUUGACCACUCCGCCUGUCUUGGCUGCGCCGACUGAGAAGGAGCCCAUGCUCCUCUACAUCGCCGCGACAAGCCGAGUCGUCAGCACUGUUGUUGUGGUCCAGCGCCCGGAGGAAGGCCGAGCCCAGCUGGUCCAGAGGCCGGUCUACUAUCUCAGCGAAGUACUGUCUAGCUCAAAGCAAAACUACCCGCACUACCAGAAGAUGUGCUAUGGGGUGUACUUCGCUGCCAAGAAAUUGAAGCCCUACUUCCAGGAGCACCCCAUCACGGUCGUGUGCACUGCCCCGCUCGCCGAGAUCAUAGGCAGCCGGGAUGCAUCCGGCCGGGUGGCCAAAUGGGCCAUUGCCUUGGCGCCCUACACGAUUUUCUAUCAACCCCGCACCGCCAUCAAGUCGCAAGCAUUGGCCGACUUCCUCGUCGACUGGGCCGAGACCCAGUACUUACCGCCGGCUCCCGACUCUACCCAUUGGCGGAUGCACUUUGACGGGUCCAAGAUGCGCACCGGCUUGGGAGCCGGCAUCGUCCUCACUUCUCCCAAAGGUGACAAGCUCAAGUACACGAUGCAGAUCCACUUCGCCACCUCCAACAACGUGGCCGAGUACGAGGCGCUCGUACAUGGGCUCCGGCUAGCCAAAGAACUCGGCAUACGCCGGAUCCUGUGCUACGGCGACUCAGAUUUGGUGGUCCAGCAAUCAUCUGGCGACUGGGACGCCAAGGAUGCAAACAUGGCGAGCUACCGUUUCCUCGUCCAGCAGAUGAGCGGAUACUUCGAAGGGUGCGAGUUCCUUCACGUGCCAAGGGCCGACAACGACCAAGCAGAUGCCCUAGCACGGAUCGGCUCCACCCGACAAGCCAUACCGACUGGCGUAUCCCUCCAGCGCCUCCUCAAGCCGUCCAUCAAGCCGUCUCCAGAGUCGGAUUCCAUCUUCGUACCGCCUGCGCCAGAAACAGCCGGAUCCGGCUCAAGAAAUCCCGCAGGCGGCACGGGGACUUCAGAACCCGGCCCGGGGACUGCAGCAGUCGGCCCGGGGACUGCAACGACACAAAAAGCGGUGGUCGACUCCAUUGCAACACCCAACCCACCCGAACAGUACUCAGGGACUGCCUUCUAUUUAUCUAUGAAUGAUGAGUAUCAUACCCAUGAAUGUAUUAUUACAUUCUGAAUUCCUGUCCGGCACCGGGUCCGACUAGUCGGCCCGGGGACUGGCCGCCUUGAGCUAUAUUCAAAGUUCUUCCCGAAGUCAGCAAAGUAGUGCGCCGGCUCCCAAGUCCUCUCUUGUUGAAAGUCGCAGCUCAAAGAACUGACUGUCCGACUGGCAAGAGAGAAGACAGAAAGGACGCCCACACGAAAAACGGCUAAGGAACAACUAACCUAUAUAGCGAAGAGACGGCCUCCAAAUAUGCCUACCGGCUGUCAAAGCAGCCGGCUGGCUGGCUUCCUAAAAAACUUAGCUUAAGUCCGGCAGAGCUAAAAGUACUUCCCCCUCCCCAAUCGGCCAGGCACUCCCCGGCCACAGAUUGCAGAGCAACUGUUUGACCAGGGAGGCGGCAGCCAAGGGAGGGCGGCAAAGGAAAAAAGCAGAAGGACAAAAAGCGAAAGUACAAGGAAAGACCGAUUGCAUAACUUAUAUACGUAAAGCCGCCCACAGGCCGGCAACAGACUUAAGUUUGAAUACACCCAGUGGGUGGAAUUGUGCAGACUUAACCAAACAUUGUUCAAAAGUAACAAGACAGGAAAACAAAAGAAAGAAGACUAAGGCGCGACAUGGAGGCCGAGCUGGUCGGUGAAGGCAGCUCGCCGGCUGAAGAAGUGGCCGCCUAGCUGGUCCCGGCUUGACCACCUCCCGCGGCAGGAGACGCACUCGCACGCGACGUAGUGCUGGAGGCGCGGUCAGGCUGGCCGGCUACUCCACCAGCCAGCUCGGUGUCUUCACCCUCCUCCUCCUCCCCUUCGCCCUCAUCGCUGGAGUCGAUCUCCUCCGCCGAGUCCUCGCCGUACGCCGGGUCCAGCCCGAACCAAUCUUCCGGCUGGGCGACUCCAUUGUCGUCCACCUCGGGGGCGAAGACGUUGGUGUCGGUGUAGUCGGCGAUUGCUGAAGCCCGCCGAAUGAUGGCCGGCCGCGCCGGCUCCAGCUCCGUGUCGGCUUGCCGCCGCCAGGUAGCCAGCUGGUCCAGGUUCAGGCCGGGAUACCAGGCCUUGACGAACUCCAGCGCCCGCCUGGCGCCGGAGCGAGCUGCUGACGCCUUCCAAGCCUCGAAGCGGCCGACUGCCACCUCCAGCCAGUCGGCGGUCCGACUGGGGGUGCGAGGGACCACUUGGCCGGGCCAGAGGGCGGCCAAGACCUGCGAUCCCGCGCGCUGAAGCCGGCGGAGCAGCCUGUGAGCCGGCUGGAUGCGAGCCUGGAUCGCCAGGAGCUGUUCUUCCAGCGAGCGGCCGGCGGUUGGUGAGAUCUCGAAGCCGACUUGCCUCUUCGCCUGGCGACGGGCUUCGACGGCCUGGUUGGCGGCAGUUGAGUAGCCAGGGAAGUACUCUGCGCGAAGGAGAAAAGAAAAGAGAAACACCGAAAUCAGAAAAAUAAGCCGAAAUGGCAGAUGGCAAGAAAGAAUGAAGGGGUAGACAACUUACCGUCAACCAGGUCCUCAAUCUGGUCAUAACCGGAGACCAGAGUCUGCCUGGCCUCUGCCCAGCCGGCCGCCUCCGUCUCGAACUCCGCCUGGAGGGCGGCUUCGCGAUCCUGCGCAGCCUUCAGCGCCGCCUUGUGACCUUCCUCCUGGUCGGCCAACUUCUUGACCAGGCGGUCGCGCUCCUGCACCAAGGCGGCGAGCUCCGCGUCCUUGGCACGAAGAGAAGUCUGGGACUCCCCCAGCUGUGCCCUCAGACUGGCGUUGGCCGCUGCAGAGAUAGAAGAAGAAAAAGAACAAUGAGAAACCAUCAAGGAAGAUCCGAGCCGACUGCUCAGCAAUCGGCCCGAAUCUCGGGGACUACACCCAGUGGGUGCGCUGACGCGCCCCCACAUGAGAUAAAGAUCAAGUCACAUACCUCGGCUUUCAGUGAGAUCGGCGGUCUUCUGAGUCAGCUCCCGGGCCUGGGAGUUGAAGGCGGCCGCUCGGAGGUUGUGGUAGUCCUGCAAGACGGACAGAAGACCGAAGUGAGAGCAAAAGCAGCAAAGACAAAAUCUCCAAGAAGUUCCAAGCCGCCUGCUCAGCAGCCGACUCGGAACUCGGGGACUACACCCAGUGGGUGCGCUGACGCGCCCCCACGAGAGAAAUCAAGAUCAAAAAAAAGAACAAGAUAGGAAUACUAACCCGGAUGGCUGCCCGCGUGGCGAGGAAUUCGUCGGUGAACUACCUCAGCGUCGUGGCUUGGCUUUGCAGCCGGGUCCGGACGUCUUGUGCAGCAACGUUCACCACGGCUGUCCCUCCGCCCGGCGUCCACCCCGAGGUAGCGCUGGCCGCCUCCGCGUCUCGGGCCGACGAGCUGGAGCCUACGGCCGGCUGUGGCUCCGACGCAGCCUUCUGCGGCUCAGACGUGGCCUUCCCUGCACGCCGGCUUGGCGGAACCCGGACCGCCACCUCAGCCCCCGCGGCCGGCUCGCCCUCCGCCGACUGUGCGGGCGCAGGCUCAGGCUGGCGGCCUUGGGUCGCCCUAGUCGGAGGAGUCGGCCCCGGCGCCUCCCCCAAGAUGACGACGUCGUCGCCGCUUCCUCCCAGCCCCGGCUGGGAACCGCUGGCUCCCCCUGGCGAGGGAUCCACGUCCCCGGGCGCCAUGGUGCGCAGGGGGGUGACCAUCAAAGCCUCCCCUGCCGCCGCCUCGGUCUCGGCCUCUGCCUGGGCCUUGGCUGCGGCCUCGGCGAGCGCCUUCGCCACCUCCUCCUCCCGAGCUUCCUGGGCGGCGGCUGCCCUCCGUGCCUCCGCCUCCCGCGCUUCCUGCUCCUCCCGCACCCCCCGCGCGUUCCUUUCCGUCGCCUCCAGGAGGGCGGCACGGGGAUCUACGCGGCGAGUGGUGCUCCCAGAGCCCCCUGGCGACUCGACGGAGCCAGCGGCCGCCCGCUCAAGUGACAGCGGAGCUCUGACCAUUGAAAAAGAAGACGAAGAUUCAAGAACCACCAAAGGAAAGAAAGAAGGACAGUACAUAGAAAGAGAGAACUUACGCCGACACAGUCUGUGGCUGCUUCACCACUUUGCGGAAGCGAGCCGCCUUCGCGGCCGCCUCUUCCCGCCUGGUGGCUGCCGCCCCACGUUUCUGGCCUGGGUGGCGCGACGAACAUGCCCUGGGUGGCGCCUUCUUCAUCCGGCUGCCGAACAUGCCCUGGGUGGCGCGACGUUUCUGGCCUCUACCCCGAGCAGGCUGCGCGCCGGAGGAGCCCGCGCCGCGUCCGGAUGCCGGCUGGUGGGGCGGGGCGGCUUCGGCUUUGUCCUCGUCCGGCCAGUCGUCGAAGGUAGUGGUGAACCCGGAGCCGCCUGCUUCGCCGCCAGCUUGGCCGCCGGCCGGCUCGACGGCGUCCUCCAUAUGGACCGCCCCUAGGUCGGGGUCCUCCAGGUCGUGUUCGGUCCGGUCGGGGACGAAGCGGCGCUCCAUGUCUGCCCCGCCGGCCGGCCGAAGCAGAGGACUCUGUCAAAAGAGCAAGCCGACUGAGUUAGAGUCGGCCCAGAGGAACUCGGCGACAAAGCUGAGAGAGAGAAAGAAAAAGAGACGAGGGGAGCGUACCGUAGGCGGAGGAUUGGCGCGGCUGUAUGGCUCCUUGCCGAAUUGCCAGUCUUCGGAAAGUUGGCAGUUGGCGAGGUAAUUCACCAUGUCGGCGGCGUCGGGCUGCGGCAUCUCCUUGGUGCACAUUCGACAUGGAUCGAGCUGGCCGCUCAUCUGACAGAUCAGAUGAGGCCGGCUCUGGAGCGGAAGGACCCGGCGCGUGACAAACGCGGCCAGGAGGUCGGGCCCCGUCAGGCCCUCCGACUGGACCAUCACCUGCAGGCGGGCGAUGGCGGCGUUUCCUCCCUGCGACAGCGUCACUGCCCAGAAGGACCACUGGGGCAGCCUGCCCGCCGGCGGGCCGGCCACGUAGGCCGGCAAGUUGAGGUAGUCGCCCCGGGGAGCGAUGCUCCGCAUGUAGAAAUAUGACUUCUGCCACUUCUUCACCGAUUGGAUCAGUGUGAUGAUGGGGAAGGGGUUGUCGGCGCCUGAUCUCCGUGACGCGAUGAAGGCGCCGGUCUGAGCCGGCACGCCCCGCACGCGCGUGCCCAGCUUCGACUGGAAGAACUCCCCCAGAGCUCGAGGGUGGGGAGGACGCCAAGAUAGCCCUCGCACAGGGUGACGAAGGCCGACAGCAGCACCACCGCGUUGGGGGUGAGGUGGUGUGGCUGGAGCUGAUAGAAUUCCAGCCAGGAGCGGAAGAAGGCGCUCACUGGCAGGCCAAAGCCGCGCAGGAAGUGCGAGCGGAAGACUACCCGCUCGCCCUCCCGCGGCGCCGGCCUGACUUCCUUCUCCGGCGCGAGGCGGACCUCCACUUUGUCCGCGCUAGGCAGACGCCGGGUGUCGCGGAGGAAGUCGAUGUGAUCGUUAUGGACGAUGGAGCCGUCCCAAUCCCCGCCAAGCUGCUCUACGUGGGGAGGCAUAGCGGAAGCUAGCACGGCGGCGGGGGAGCGUGCGGAGGAAGAGCGCGGCGGCGAAGCGCUGUCGCGAGAACGAGCAAGGCAAGAAGAUGGUGGAAGUAGGAGGAGCGUGCGAGGGCCUGCCGCCCUCCACCUCCCCCUACUUAUAGCCUCACGCGGCUGAAGAGGCCGGACGUGGGGGGGAGACGUGGGAUUAACUACGCCCACUCCCCCCACGUCUCGCGUUUAUUACGCAUAAGUGCGAGCCGAAACGGCCGCACGGAUCGUGCGGGCGGUUUCGGGAUACAAAGGAUCCGCGCCUGGGCCGGGGCACGGACGUGGCGGGCCCCCUCCCUGCGGCGACGUCCCGUCACGCGCGUGGGCUGGCAGGCUUUCCGGCCACGUGGCACGCCAACGGCCCGAGGCCGGNNNNNNNNNNNNNNNNNNNNNNNNNNNNNNNNNNNNNNNNNNNNNNNNNNNNNNNNNNNNNNNNNNNNNNNNNNNNNNNNNNNNNNNNNNNNNNNNNNNNNNNNNNNNNNNNNNNNNNNNNNNNNNNNNNNNNNNNNNNNNNNNNNNNNNNNNNNNNNNNNNNNNNNNNNNNNNNNNNNNNNNNNNNNNNNNNNNNNNNNNNNNNNNNNNNNNNNNNNNNNNNNNNNNNNNNNNNNNNNNNNNNNNNNNNNNNNNNNNNNNNNNNNNNNNNNNNNNNNNNNNNNNNNNNNNNNNNNNNNNNNNNNNNNNNNNNNNNNNNNNNNNNNNNNNNNNNNNNNNNNNNNNNNNNNNNNNNNNNNNNNNNNNNNNNNNNNNNNNNNNNNNNNNNNNNNNNNNNNNNNNNNNNNNNAGAAUUCGACUAAGGCAGCGCGCCUGACCAAGGCCGGCUCCAGCUGCCGGCCUGUCACGAUAGGAAGCUGAUCGAGCUUCUUGAACCCCACUCCACCUCGAAGCCCCAUCAGCUUCGGGGACUACUGUCGGAGGGAGUGGCCACGGGUAGCCUAACCGACUACCCCUGGCUCUUCGGAAAAUUUAUCAGGCCUUUGGGCCUUCAAGCACUCCAAGCAUUUGGGCCGCCUUCUCUGGCCGGCUACCACUAAAGCCAACUCCCGGAAGGCGACCCAGCCUCACCGACUCCUCCCCAGGACGACUACGGGGUGGCCGACUCCAAGAAGCCGGCCAAGAAGGACGUCGACUCCUAGGAGCCGGCCAAGACCACAACCACUCCUACAUAACGGCGACCUGACGGGGUGUGGCCACAGUGCAGCCCACGACCCCCGAAGCCCGAGGCGGGCAUGGCUACAGGAGGCCGUACGGGAGGGACGUCUCCCGUGCGGCUCGGCACUGAAGCCACGCUAGCCUCGACGUCACCCGCGACCCACUCCUGUACGGCCUGAGGACUGCGGGCCCCUUCAGCCAGAGAGAGGCGCGAGGGGGGCCCGGCUUUUCCUAGUCGGCCAAGAUUAUAGCCGGCCUCCAGAAGCCGGCUACUCCCUUCCUCGAAGCGGGAGCCCCAUUAAGGAGACAAGACGAGGUGAGGCUACAGUGAUGGCCCCCGAGGUGGCCCACUGUAGCCAUGCUUACCUCGACGAAGCCCUCAUCAUCAGAGGCGCGGCUACAGUAAACAGCCGCCGACAAGACCCUAGGCGGUGGGACCGGCCUGUCGGCCAAGUAGCCGGCACCCGGCGGGACCCACUAGCCGGCGGGACCCAGCAGCCGGCGGAGAAGCCGGCGAGCGUGGACACUGACGGCUGGGACCUAUUCCCAGUCGGAUUACCGUUGUACCCCCGGGGGGUAGGCCUAUAUAAACCCCCCGGAGCACCCAUGCAAAGGGUUCGCUUCUAGGUUGGCCUCGGAGCAUAGUUGGCUUCUAGGUUAAUACCCACGCAUAGCCCACACACCAUAGAUAGAGAGAAGCAAGAGCUAGCCUUGUUCUUCUUCUCCCUUGACCUCAACAGCUCUAGGAGCGAUUGUAGCUACCCUUUAUCGAUCUAGUGAUCAUGCGGAGACCCCGCAGAGCAGGACUAGGGGUGUUAUCUCCUCGGAGAGCCCCGAACCUGGGUAAGAUUCGCCGGCGUGCAUGUCUUCGCCUCAUCCCGUUUCCAGGCACCGGCGAUGUUUUAUUGGCUCCCACAAUGAUAAGACAUCCCUUGGCAUAUGUCGCACCAACCACCCGACAGGAAUGAAACCUUCUAGAGAAGUUAUUUUUCGAAGGAAAGCAACCUGAUAGACUUGGAGUGCACGUUAGGAAAGAAACGAGGGAGCCACGAGGUAGGGGGGCGCGCCCACCCCCUAGGGCGCGCCCUCCACCCUCGUGGGCCCCUUGUGGCUCCCCUGACGUAUUUCUUCCGCCUAUAUAUAUCCAUAUACCCUAAAAACUUCGGGGAACAGAAUAGAUCGGGAGUUCCGCCGCCGCAAGCCUCUGUAGCCACCAAAAGUCAAUCGGGACCCUGUUCCGGCACCCUGCCGGAGGGGGGGAACCCUCACCGGCGGCCAUCUUCAUCAUCCCGGCGCUCUCCAUGAUGAGGAGGGAGUAGUUCACCCUCGGGGCUGAGGGUAUGUACCAGUAGCUAUGUGUUUGAUCCCUCUCCCUCAUGUUCUUGAUUUGGCACGAUCUUGAUGUAUCGCGAGCUUUGCUAUUAUAGUUGGAUCUUAUGUUUCUUCUCCCCCUCUAUUCUCUUGUAAUGGAUUGAGUUUUCCCUUUGAAGUUAUCUUCUCGGAUUGAGUCUUUAAUGAUUUGAGAACACUUGAUGUAUGUCUUGUCGUGCAUAUCUGUGGUGACAAUGGGAUAUCACAUGACUCACUUGAUGUAUGUUUUGGUGAUCAACUUGCGGGUUCCGCCCAUGAACUUAUGCAUAUGGGUUGGCACACGUUUUUGUCUUGACUCUCCAGUAUAAACUUUGGGGCACUCUUUGAGGUUCUAUGUGUUGGUUGAAUAGAUGAAUCUGAGAUUCUGUGAUGCAUAUCGUAUAAUCAUACCCACGGAUACUUGAGGUGACAUUGGAGUAUCUAGGUGACAUUAGGGCUUUGGUUGAUUUGUGUCUUAAGGUGUUAUUCUAGUACGAACUCUAGGGCUGUUUGUGACACUUAUAGGAAUAGCCCAACGGAUUGAUUGGAAAGAAUAACUUUGAGGUGGUUUCGUACCCUACCAUAAUCUCUUCGUUUGUUCUCCGCUAUUAGUGACUUUGGAGUGACUCUUUGUCAGGGGCGGAGACAGUGGGGCGAGCAGGGGCUAGACACCCCCCAACGAUCGGCCCCCCUCAAUGUCUCACGGGCCAUAGUACUAGUAUUUUAUGUUAUAUGCGCUAAUUGGCCGGAGAUAAUUACAACUUAAUGUAGAAUUCAGCCCAAAAGUAAUGUUUAAUCAGUAGACCAUCCAAGCCAAGCCCAAAUAGUGGCCCAUGUGCCCAUUCUGACCACCGGUGAGUAGGAGGCCUACAAGUUUGAUCGUUUCGAACCCUGUACGUUGAUCUGAUCCAAAAUCGAUCUCCCAUCGCUAGGAGCUAGGGUUUCUUGCCGGCACUCAAUGGCUCGCUGCACCUCCAAUCCCACCUGCCCGGCAACCAACCACCAGGCACUGCUUCCGUUUGCCGGCACUGGUGGCGCUAGGAGACCCCGCAAGGACCAAGUUGCUUCCAGCUUCUCCAUGGUGUUAACUGCUCUGUUGAGCCGUAUGUCAUUGAGUCCGUCAUGUAUGUGUUCAUGAUCUAAGGCUCCAUUUGUUCAUGAUCUAAAGCUCCGUUUGAAAGGUACGUCGACAUACAAUAUCCCUCGCAGCUGGUUCAUUCUUUUCUCUGGAUUACAAUCUAACAGCCUAUUAAUCAAGCAUGUAAGAGGAUCUCUGUUAAUUUACUAAUUAGACGUUUCUUUAAAAAAAUGCCCCUAAUUGAUAACAUGUAUUUCCUGAUUAAAUAUGUUAGUUGUAUAUAUGGAUGAUCUAUACACAAAGAUAAUUGUCAAGGAGGUCGUUUAUAAGGGGUUGUGGGCUGUAAUGUUUUUUUGUUUCGAUUCGCCCCCCCCCCCCUAUGUUCAAUUCUUGGCUCCACCCCUGCUCUUUGUUGCAUGUUGAGGGAUAGUUAUAUGAUCCAAUUAUGUUAUUAUUGUUGAGAGAACUUGCACUAGUGAAAGUAUGAACCCUAGGCGUUGUUUCCUAGCAUUGCAAUACCGUUUACGCUCACUUUUACCACGUGUUACCUUGCUAUUUUCAUAUUUUCAGAUUACAAAACCUAUAUCUACUAUCCAUAUUGCACUUGUAUCACCAUCUCUUCGCCGAACUAGUGCACCUAUACAAUUUACCAUUGUAUUGGGUGUGUUGGGGACACAAGAGACUCUUUGUUAUUUGGUUGCAGGGUUGUUUGAGAGAGACCAUCUUCAUCCUACGCCUCCCACGGAUUGAUAAACCUUAGGUCAUCCACUUGAGGGAAAUUUGCUACUAUCCUACAAACCUCUGCACUUGGAGGCCCAACAACGUCUACAAGAAGAAGGUUGUGUAGUAGACAUCAAGCUCUUUCCUUAGCAUCCCCAAGCUUAAUUCCUGCUCGUCCUCGAGUAGGUAAAUGAUAAAAACUGAAUUUUUGAUGUAGAGUGCUACUUGGCAUAAUUUCAAUGUAAUUCUUCUUAAUUGUGGUAUGAAUAUUCAGAUCCGAAAGAUUCAAGAUAAAAGUUCAUAUUGACAUAAAAAUAAUAAUACUUCAAGCAUACUAACUAAGCAAUUAUGUCUUCUCAAAAUAACAUGGCCAAAGAAAGUUAUCCCUACAAAAUCAUAUAGUCUGGCUAUGCUCUAUCUUCACCACACAAAGUACUUAAAUCAUGCACAACCCCGAUGACAAGCCAAGCAAUUGUUUCAUACUUUUGACAUUUUCAAAACUUUUUCAAUCUUCACGCAAUACAUGAGCGUGAGCCAUGGACAUAGCACUAUAUGUGGAAUAGAAUGGUGGUUGUGGAGAAGACAAAAAGGGAGAAGAUAGUCUCACAUCAACUAGGCGUAUCAACGGGCUAUGGAGAUGCCCAUCAAUAGAUAUCAAUGUGAGUGAGUAGGGAUUGCCAUGCAACGGAUGCACUAGAGCUAUAAGUAUAUGAAAGCUCAACAAAGGAAACUAAGUGGGUGUGCAUCCAACUCGCUUGCUCACGAAGACCUAGGGCAUUUUGAGGAAGCCCAUCAUUGGAAUAUGCAAGCCAAGUUCUAUAAUGGAAAAUUCCCACUAGUAUAUGAAAGUGACAAAAUGAGAGACUCUCUAUCAUGAAGAUCAUGGUGCUACUUUGAAGCACAAGUGUGGUAAAAGGAUAGUAACAUUGUCCCUUCUCUCUUUUUCUCUCAUUUUUUUUAUUUGGGCCUUUUCUCUCUUUUUUAUUGCCUCUUUUUUUUCGUCCAGAGUCUCAUCCUGACUUGUGGGGGAAUCAUAGUCUCCAUCAUCCUUUUCCUCACUUGGGACAAUGCUCUAAAAAUGAUGAUCAUCACACUUUUAUUUUCUUACAACUCAACAAUUACAACUCGAUACUUAGAACAAAAUAUGACUCUAUAUGAAUGCCUCCGGCGGUGUACCGGGAUAUGCAAUGAAUCAAGAGUGACAUGUAUGAGAGAAUUAUGAACGGUGGCUUUGCCACAAAUACGAUGUCAGCUACAUGAUCAUGCAAAGCAAUAUGACAAUGAUGGAGCGUGUCAUAAUAAACGGGACGGUGGAAAGUUGCAUGGCAAUAUAUCUCGGAAUGGCUAUGGAAAUGCCAUGAUAGGUAGGUGUGGUGGCUGUUUUCAGGAAGGUUUAUGGUGGGUGUAUGAUACCAGCAAAAAGUACGCGGUAUUAGAGAGGCUAGCAAUGGUGGAAGGAAGAAGAGUGCGUAUAAUCCAUGGACUCAACAUUAGUAAUAAAGAACUCAUAUACUUAUUGCAAAAAUCUACAAGUUAUCAAAGCAAAGUAUUACGCGCAUGCUCCUAGGGGGGUAGAUUGGUAGGAAAAGACCAUCGCUCGUCCCCGACCGCCACUCAUAAGGAAGACAAUCAAUAAAUAAAUCAUGCUCCGACUUCAUCACAUAACGGUUCACCAUACGUGCAUGCUACGGGAAUGACAAACUUUAACACAAGUAUUUCUCAAAUUCACAACUACUCAACUAGCAUGACUCUAAUAUCACCAUCUUCAUGUCUCAAAACAAUUAUCAAGCAUCAAACUUCUCAUAGUAUUCAACACACUCAUAAGAAUUCUUACAAAUCUUGUAUGCUUAGCAUAGUAGGAUUAUUUAAGAAAAUUACCAUGCUAUUUAAGACUCUCAAAAUAAUCUAAGUGAAGCAUGAGAGAUCAAUAGUUUCUAUAAAUCAAAUCCACCACCGUGCUCUAAAAGAUAUAAGUGAAGUACUAGAGCAAAACUAUAUAACUCAAAAGAUAUAAGCGAAGCACAAAGAGUAUUCUAAUAAUUUCCAAAUCAUGUAUGGCUCUCUCAAAAGGUGUGUACAGCAAGGAUUAUUGUGGUAAACUAAAAGAAAAGACACAAAUCAUACAAGACGCUCCGAGCAAAACACAUAUCAUGUGGUGAAUAAAAAUAUAGCUCCAAGUAAAGUUACCGAUGGAAGUAGACGAAAGAGGGGAUGCCUUCCGGGGCAUCCCCAAGCUUUGGCUUUUUGGUGUCCUUAGAUUAUCUUGGUGUUGCCAUGGGCAUCCCCAAGCUUAGGCUCUUUCCACUCCUUGUUCCAUAAUCCAUCAAAAUCUUUCACCCAAAACUUAAAAGCUUCACAACACAAAACUCAACAGAAAUCUCGUGAGCUCCGUUAGCGAAAGAAAACAAAAGACCACUUCAAGGUACUGUAAUGAACCCAUUCUUUAUUUAUCUUGGUGUUAAACCUACUGUAUUCCAACUUCUCUAUGGUUUAUAAACUAUUUUACUAGCCAUAGAUUCAUCAAAAUAAGCAAACAACUCACGAAAAACAGAAUCUGUCAAAAACAGAACAGUCUGUAGUAAUCUGUAACUAACGCAAACUUCUGGAACUCCAAAAAAUCAGCCAAAAUAGGAAGAUCUAGACAAUUUGUUUCUUGAUCAGCAGCAAUUGGAAUCAGUACUUUAUCACGUUCUGGUGAUUUUUAACAAUUAUUUUCGUGAACAGAAAGUUUCUGGAAAUUUCUGCAAGAUCAAAUAACUAUCAUCCAAGAAGAGCCUAUAGGUUUAACUUGGCACAAACACUAAUUAAAACACAAAAACACAUCUAAACAGAAGCUAGAUCAAAGAUUUAUUACUAAGCAGUAAGGAAAAAUAUUGGGUUGUCUCCCAACAAGCGCUUUUCUUUAAAGCCUUUUUAGCUAGGCAUUGAUAAUUUUAAUGAUGCUCACAUGAAAGACAAGAAAUGAAGCGCAAAGAGAGCAUCGUGAAACACGUGACAAACACAUCUAAGUCUAACAUACUUCCUAUGCAUGGGCAUCUUAUAGGCAAAAAGAUUAUCGUAGCAAGCAAAAACUAGCAUAUGCAAGGAAGCGGAAAGGAACAAUAGCAAUCUCAACAUAACGAGAGGUAAUUUAGUAACAUGAAAAUUUCUAUAACCAUAUUUUCCUCUCUCAUAAUAAUUAUAUGUAGGAUCAUAAGAAAAUUCAACAAUAUAGCUAUGACAUAACAUAUUCUCAACACGAUCCACAUGCAUGCUAAGUUGACACUCUUCCAAAAUAGUGGGAUUAUCAUUAACUAAAGUCAUGAUUUCUCCAAGCCCACUUUUAUCAAAAAUUUCAUAAGAUUGAAUAUUCUCCAAGUAUGUGGGAUCUAAAGUUGACACUCUUCCAAACCCACUUUCAAUAUUAUUGCAAACAAUGUUAUCAAUCUCAUAUUCAUCAUGGGGUUUAAUAAAUUUUCAAGAUCAUAAGAAGAAUCACCCCAAUCAUGAUCAUUGCAACAAGUAGUAGACAUAGCAAAACUAGCAUCCCCAAGCUUAGGGUCUUGCAUGUUAUUAGCACAAUUGACAUCAAGAGAAUUUAUAGUAAAAUCAUUGCAAUCAUGCUUUUUAUUCAAGGAGCUAUCGUGAAUCUCUUCAUAAAGUACUUCAUCACAAUUUUCAGAUUCACAAAUUUCAAGCAAAACUUCAUAAAGAUAGUCUAGUGCACAAAACUCACUAGCAAUUGGUUCAUCAUAAUUGGAUCUCUUAAAAAGAUUGGCAAGCGGAUGAGGAUCCAUAGAUCUUAGCUUCUCUGUUUAGGAAUAAAUACUCAACUAUUUCAACCAAACGAGCAAACGAGCCAAGUAAGACAUCAAGGCAAAUGAUAAGAUGAACGGAAAAAGGGCGAAUAAAACGGCAAGGGUGAAGUGGGGGAGAGGAAAACGAGAGGCAAAUGGCAAAUAAUGUAAUGCAGGAGAUAAGGGAUUGUGAUGGGUACUUGGUAUGUUGACUUUUGCAUAGACCUCCCCUGCAACGGCGCCAGAAAUCCUUCUUGCUACCUCUUGAGCACUGCGUUGGUUUUCCCUUGAAGAGGAAAGGGUGAUGCACCAAAGUAGCGUAAGUAUUUCCCUCGGUUUUUGAGAACCAAGGUAUCAAUCUAGUAGGAGGCUACGCGCGAGUCCCUCGCACCUGCACAAUACAAAUAAAUCCUCGCAACCAACGCGAUAAGUGGUUGUCAAUCCCUUCAUGGUCACUUACGAGAGUGAGAUCUGAUAGAUAUGAUAGGAUAAUAUUUUUGGUAUUUUUAUGAUAAAGAUGCAAAGUAAAAUAAAACCAAAGUAAAAAAGCAAAGGCAAUAACAAAGUGUUGGAAGACUAAUACGAUGAAGAUAGACCCGGGGGCCAUAGGUUUCAAUAGUGGCUUCUCUCAAAAGCAUAAGUAUUCUACGGUGGGUGAACGAAUUACUGUUGAGCAAUUGACAGAAUUGAGCAUAGUUAUGAGAAUAUCUAGGUAUGAUCAUGUAUAUAGGCAUCACGUCGGAGACAAGUAGACCGACUCCUGCCUGCAUCUACUACUAUUACUCCACUCAUCGACCGCUAUCCAGCAUGCAUCUAGAGUAUUAAGUUCAUGAAAACAGAGUAACGCCUUAAGCAAGAUGACAUGAUGUAGAGGGAUAAAUUCAUGCAAUAUGAUAAAAACCCCAUCUUGUUAUCCUCGAUGGCAACAAUACAAUACGUGCCUUGCUGCCCCUACUGUCACUUGGAAAGGACACCGCAAGAUUGAACCCAAAGCUAAGCACUUCUCCCAUUGCAAGAAAGAUCAAUCUAGUAGGCCAAACCAAACUGAUAAUUCGAAGAGACUUGCAAAGAUAACCAAUCAUACAUAAAAGAAUUCAGAGAAGAUUCAAAUAUUGUUCAUAGAUAAUCUUGAUCAUAAACCCACAAUUCAUGGGUCUCAACAAACACACCGCAAAAAGAAGAUUACAUCGAAUAGAUCUCCACGAGAGAGGGGGAAAACAUUGUAUUGAGAUCCAAAAAGAGAGAAGAAGCCAUCUAGCUACUAACUAUGGACCCGAAGGUCUGAAGUAAACUACUCACAAUUCAUCGGAGAGGCUAUGGUGUUGAUGUAGAAGCCCUCCGUGAUGGAUAACCCCUCCGGCGGAGCUCUGGAACGGACCCCAAGAUGGGAUCUCGUGGGUACAGAAGGUUGCGGCGGUGGAAUUAGGUUUUUGGGUCCGUAUCUGAUCGUUUGGGGGUACGUAGGUAUAUAUAGGAGGAAGGAGUACGUCAGUGGAGCAACAGGGGGCCCACGAGGGUGGAGGGCACGCCCCUACCUCGUGGCCUCCUCCUUUGUUUCUUGACGUAGGGUCCAAGUCUCCCGGAUCAUAAUCUUCCUAAAAAUCACGUUCCCGAAGGUUUCAUUCCGUUUGGACUCCGUUUGAUAUUCCUUUUCUGCGAAACUCUGAAAUAGGCAAAAAACAGCAAUUCUGGGCUGGACCUCCGGUUAAUAGGUUAGUCCCAAAAAUAAUAUAAAAGUGAAUAAUAAAGCCCAAUAAUGUCCAAAACAGUAGAUAAUAUAGCAUGGAGCAAUCAAAAAUUAUAGAUACGUUGGAAUUAUACAUGUCACUCAUGAGUCAUUGCACAUCCCACUUCACUCCCCGGCAAGUUUGAAAUCAAGUGAGCUAAUAUCAAAUAACCUCUUCUCACCGGCAAGUUUGAAAUCAUGACUUGCCGGGGAGUGUAUCGGUAAGGGCCAUCCCACUUUGGCGUCAACUUGUUGGAAUUCUUGGCCGACUGAACGCGCCGAAGAACAAGGUCGCCUUCCUCAAAGCUUCGGGCAUGAACCUUGCGGCUAUGGUAGCAGCGCAAGGCUUGCUGGUAGCGCGCUGCUCUCACAGCCGCCCGAAGACGAUCUUCCUCGAGGAGCGUUGCGUCAUCUUGGCGCAAUUACUCUUGCUCAAACUCGUCAUAAGCGAGCACUCGAGGUGACCCGUAUGUGAGUUCCGUGGGGAGAACUGGUUCUGCCCCGUAUACCAGGGCAAAGGGUGUCUGGCCGGUGGCUCGAUUUGGUGUCAUUCUAAUUGACCAAACGGUGUCUGGCCGGUAGGCAACUCAUCAAUCCAGUGCCUUCCACUCUUGUGCAGUUUGUCAAAAGUCUUUGUUCUCAGGCCUCGCAGUACUUCAGCACUUGCCCGCUCCGCCUGGCCGUUGCUCCGUGGGUGUGCCACGGAAGCGAAACAGACCUUACUGCCGAGGUCCUGGAUGUAUUGCAUGAAGGUGUGGCUUGUGAACUGCGUGUCGUUGUCGGUGAUGAAUCUGUUUGGCACACCAAAAUGGCAGACUAGCCCCUUGAAGAAGUUGACGGCUGACUGUGCUGUCACCUUCCUCACUGCCUCCACCUCCGGCCACUUUGUGAACUUGUCGAUUGCAAUGUACAAGUACUCAAAGCCCCCGACAACGUGGGGGAAAGGCUCCAGUAUGUCGAGCCCCCAAACAGAAAAUGGCCAGGAGAGAGGAAUUGUUUGAAGGGCUUGAGUUGGUUGAUGAAGCUUCUUCGAAUGGAACUGGCACGCUUCACACCUGGUUACUAGUGCUGUUGCAUCCUGGAGGGCAGUGGGCCAGAAGAAACCUUGCCGGAAUUCCUUGCCGGCAAGGGCCCUCUACCCUAUGUGGGAGCCACAUAUGCCUCCAUAUAUCUCUGCCAACAGCUCCAGUCCUUCCUCCCGGGGAAUGCACUUCAGUUUCACACCAUUCGGUCUUUUUCUGUACAGGACAUCGUCGACGAACUGAUACAUGGCAGAUCGACGGGCUACUUUCUCCGCUUCUUCCUGCUCCUCAGGAAGUUCCGCUGUCUGGAGGAACCAGACGGUAUGCUGUGCCCAUGCCGGAGCCUGGGGCUCGACGGCAAGGACUAAAGGCAUUUCCUCCGCCAUGGGAGCGGCUGUCUCUACGCCAGGGCUUGACGCCCUGCCGGAGUUGGUUGCCCCAUGACAGGCUCAGUGUCCACGGCAGCAUGCUUGACGGCGGCUCCUCGGAGCUCGGUGGGAAAGUACUUGCCGGGGCCUGAUUUCCUCCGCUUGUUCUGCUCUAUUGAUGGUUCAACGGAUGGUUGAGUUAACCGAAGCACAAAAGUAGCUAGUUCCACAGGUAGUUUGAAGGCAGCGCGCUUCGACAGGUAAUCGGCGAUGUCGUUCUCCGCUCGGGGAACAUGCUCUGCUUGUAUACCGUCAAAGCACUCUUCCAGCUUCCUCACCUCAUCUACGUAGGCCUCCAUCAAUGGGCUCUGAUAAUCUUUGUUGGCUUGCCUGACGACAAGCUAUGAAUCACCCCUGACGAUGAGCUUCUUAACCCAGCGGUCUACUGUGAUCCUAAGACCGGCAAGCAACCCCUCGUAUUCAGCAGUGUUGUUUGUGGACAUCUCCCUGGGGAAGUGCAUCUGGAUUACAUACUUGAGGUGCUCUCCGAUGGGUGCGAUGAGCAGCACACCAGCACCGGCGCCUUGCAGCGAGAAAGCCCCGUCAAAGUACAUGAUCCAGUUACGACUUGCUUCCUUGCCGGGGAGAGUGGUCUCCUGGAUUUCUUCGUCGGGCGUUGAAGUCCAUUCCGCAAUGAACUCUGCCAAGACUGUGCUCUGGAUCGUCGAAGUACUUUCAAACUUCAAACCAAAGCUCGACAGCUCGAAGGCCCACUCCACAAUCCUCCCGGUUGCGUCUGGGUUAUGCAAUAUCCGUUGCAACGGGAGGCGGGUGACGACGGUGAUUUUGUGGGCUUGGAAGUAAUGACGUAGCUUCCUCGAGGCCAUAAGGAGGCCGAAGAGAAAUUUCUGCACACCGGAGUACCUUGACCUAGCCCCCUGCAAGAGGGAGCUGACGAAGUAAACCGGGUGCUGCAUCAUUUUCUUGUUCUGCACCACUUCAUUUGGUUGCGCGGGCCCCGUCCUGAUGGCGUCAGGCUCUGCCGGGGGCCUUGCCUUGCCGGCACCAGGCCCUGCCGGGGGGGCCCUAGCUCGCCAUCCGCCAGUCCUGUCGUUGCCACUGCCUCUUCAUCGACCUCCCUCUAUGCCACUAGCACGGCGCUGACCACUUGAUUCGUUCCCGCUAGGUACAGCAGCAAUGGCUCUUGUGGUUUAGGCGCAACUAGUAUCGGCGUAGAGGAGAGGUAUUUCUUCAAAUCCUGUAGCGCUGCUUCGGCCUCUGGGGUCCAUUCCAUUGGUCCCGCCUUUUUCCAGAUUUUGAAAAAGGGAAGGGCGCGCUCGGCAGACUUGGACAUGAAUCUGCUCAUGGCGGCAACGCAGCCAGUGAGCCGAUGCACAUCCUUGAUUCGCUUGGGCGCCUCAAUUUGCUCGAUAGCCUUGAUCUUGUCUGGGUUUGCCUCGAUCCCACCCUGUGACACAAAGAACCCGAGAAGUUUGCCGAACGGAACGCCGAAAACACACUUCUCAGGGUUCAACUUGAGGUUGACCUUGCGCAGGUUUGCAAACGUCUCUUCUAAGUCUUGUACAAGUGUUGCCCUGUCCUUCGUUUUGACCACUAUGUCAUCCAUAUAUGCUUCCAUAUUUCUAUGUAGCUGGGGCUCAAAACCAAUUUGGACUGCUCUUGCAUACGUUGAGCCAGCACUCUUCAACCCGAAAGGCAUCCGUAAAAAGCAAUACAUACCACAUGGGGUGAUGGAUGCUGUAUUUUCUUCGUCUUCUCUUGUCAUGAAGAUCUGGUGGUAUCCGGAGUAGGCGUCAAGGAAUGAUAACAGAUCACACCCGGCCGUGGAGUCAACAAUCUGGUCGAUGCACAGCAACGGGAAAAGGGUCCUCGGGACAAGCCUUAUUGAUAUUUGUGUAGUCAAUACACAGCCUCCACUUCCCAUUUGCCUUGCGCACCACCACCGGAUUGGCCAACCACGUCGGAUGGAGUACUCCUCUCACCAAGCCUGCCACUUCCAACUUCCUGAUCUCCUCUGUGAUGAACCCUUGCCUUUCCAAAGCCUGCUUCCUGACCUUCUGCUUGACGGGCCGCGCAUGAGGAGAGACAGCAAGGUGGUGCUCAAUCACCUCCCUGGGAACGUCGGGGACGUCGGAUGCUUGCCACGCAAACACAUCGACAUUCGCCCGCAGGAAGGUGACGAGCGUGCCUUCCUAUUUGCUGUCGAGGGUGGAGCUUAUGGUGAAAGCCCCUCCCAUGCCAUCCUCCUUGACGGACACUUUCUUGGUCUCUAGCGGGGCAGCUCUGGAUUUCUUGCUCUUGCCAGUGGAGCUCUCUGGCACGUCCUCGACGGUAGCACAACACUCCGAAGAGGUGCGCUUGCCGGAGUGGGUGUGAGAGGUCUUGCCGGUCUUCUUCUUCCCUCCCGGGGCUUCAGCGGCAGGAGCAAGUGCCUUGGCGGCAGUUGCUGCAACUGCUUCCCGGUAGAGUAGGUCGGCGCAGAUCAGCGCAUCCUUCUUGUCGCAGGGGACGGUGAUGAUGGUCAUCGGCCCAGGCAUCUUCAGCGUGUUGUAGGCGUAAUGCGAUGCUGCCAUGAACUUGGCUAGUGUUGGGCGGCCGAGGACCCCAUUGUAGGGCAAGGGGAUCUCGACUACAUCGAAGACAAUCCUCUCCGUCCCGUAGUUCAACUCGCCUCCAAACGUCACAGGCAGCGUGACCUUACCCUUCGGCUGGCUCCUUCUCGGGUUGACCCCUUGAAACGUGCCCAUCUCCUCGAGGUUUCCAUCAGGAAUUUGCAGCCUUUUGAUCACAACGGGUGAGAUCAAGUUCAGACCGGCCCCGCCGUCGACCAGGAUCUUGGUCAGCUUGAGGUUGCGUAUCGUUGGUGAAACCAACAACGGCAAACACCCGACCGCACUUGUGCGAUCAGGGUGGUCCUCGGUGUCAAAGAUGAUAGGCGUGCUGGACCACUUUAGCGGCUUCUAAGCGUCGAACGACGGCUUUGCUGCUGUGAUCUCACGCGCCCACUGCUUGAGCUGGCGGUGAGAAUUAUGCAGCGAGGUGCCACCAUCGACGAACAUGGCCUCCGUAGCCUUCUAGAACUCAUGCUCGCCGGACUCGUCAUCCUCGUCAUGAUCGUCGUCUUCCUGCUUCUUGUCAUGGCCCCGAGCGGGCCUCUCUUGCUGGUUAUCCUUGCCGCGGCGGCCUCCUUGGCCGCCACGCUUCUUGCCGGAUCCUUCGGCACCAUCCUGACCCUUCUCCUUGUCCCGCCUCUCAUACUCGGCUUUUUGCUUUUCAGCAAGCAACUCAACUUGUCGGCAGUUCUGGAGGUCGUGGCCCUUGGUGCGGUGGAUCUUGCAAUACUGCUUGUCGGCAGCUGCCAAGGCCCGGCAAGCGGCGCACCCGGCAAUAUCCUUGCUAGGGUCGUCUGCCUUGGCCUUCUUGGCGGCGCUGGUGUCGUCGGAUCCCUCGACGGCAAGCACGGCCUUACCCUUACGCUUCCUGUUGCGGCGCCGGCCCUUUUUCGUCGGGGCGGCGGUGUCCUCGUCCAUAGAGUCGGUUUCCGCGCUGGCGUCCUCGCCGGGGUACUUCCUUCCCUCUUCAGCUCGGGCGCAUCUAUCGGCCAGAACAUAAAGUUCGGCCACAUCUUUAACCUUCUUCAUCGCCAGCUCUUCACGCAUCUUGCGGUUGCGCACAUUCUGAUGGAACGCGCUGAUCACGGCGGCGGGAUGAACAUCUGGGAUGUUGUAUUGCACCCGGCUGAACCUCUGUAUAUACUUGCGCAGGUUUUCACCUUCCUUCUGGGGAAUGAUAUGCAAAUCGCUUGCCUGGCCAUGAGCUUGCUGGCCUCCAGUGAAGGCACCAAUGAACUUAUGACAUGGAUCCGACCAAGAAGAAAUGGAAUCCGCCGGCAAGUGCAUCAACCAAGACAUGACAUUGGGUUUCAGUGCCAACGGGAAGUAAUUGGCAAGCACCUUGUCGUCGCGAGCUCCAGCGGCUUGCAUCGCGAUGGUGUAGAUGCUGAGGAACUCUGACGGGUGGGUCUUGCCGUUGUACUUCUCGCCGACGUCGGGCUUGAACGUGCGGUGGGACGGCCACUGGAACUGUCGCAGCUCACGGGUAAAGGCCGGGCAACCCACAUCGUAGGGUAGGCCACCGGAGCCUCCCGGUGCUGGGUGGUCCAUAGUGGGCCCCGCCCGCCUAUCUGACUGGUGGCGUGCAUCGCGCCGGCGCUCGAUGGUGGUUCGAGGGUCUUCAUGGGCUCGCUCCCGAAGAACUUGGCGUUGAUUGCGGUGGGCCCGUGGGUCGGACGACGCUAUGGAAAUGUCAUCACAAGUGUCAUCACGACGGACCGGCACCCAUGGCAACUGGCGUGGGGGAGGAGAGUGCACCGUGGCUGCAGCAUCUCCGGUCCUUCCACCACUGGCAUGUGGUGGCUCGACGGAGCGUCGGCCCGAGGGCCCCGCUGGUCGCGGUUCAUCUUUGUUGGCGACACCGACGAGGCUCCGGAUGGUGGUUCUCCACACGUCGAGCUUUUCCGCGGCAGGAGGAAGUCGAGGAGCAGCUGCGCGCGCGCCAAAGCUUCUGCUGGCGUGGGUGGCGGCGAAAGCUGCGUGGACCGUGACGCGCUCUGACUUCUAACCAUGUUAGAAGGAGCACUAUCACGGCCUGGCGGCUGUGCGCCAUUUUCGCCAGCACUUCGGCGGGCAUGGUGGCCUUCUUCGUCCCGCGAAUGAUGCACAGGACUCUUCCCACGGCGGCGUUCGGGGUCACCAGCAUGGUGACGCUGCCCGUCGCGCACACCCUGGGAAGAGCAUGUUGUGGGCGCCGGCGUAGGCGUCUUGGAGGUUGCUGCGCCGCCCGUAGGUGGCACGGCGCCACCCCUGGAGGGCCCCGUGCCGCCUGUGGGGGGCCCAGCUCCGUCCUUGGGUUCGGCGACGUGCGGCCCGUUGUCUUGCGCACGAACGAUGCCGCUCGCCAGGCUCUGACUGCCAGAGCGAUGUUGGUGCCCACGGUCCGCGCCUCGGGUUCUUUCCGCGACCGGCCCGCUGCUCGCCCGCACCGGUACGGGCCGUCCGGCUCCGUAUGAACCGAUCACCGUGAUAUUCUUCUUCUUGGGAGCCAUGGCGAUGAAAAACUGCUAGGCUAACCACUAGACCGGAUUUUCACAACUGCGCCCCCUACCUGGCGCGCCAUAGAUGUCGGUGGAAACGACACCUAUGGGAUCACUGGGACCCCUUCUACAGUUGGCGGACGCGGGGUUGUGCAAAGAGCGGGUCUGGUAGGAAGCACAAGGAUUGUUUACCCAGGUUCGGGGCGCGAGGAUGCGUAAAACCCUAGUCCUGCUUUGGUGUAUGUAUUUGAGUGUUCUUGAGUUCUUGAACUAGCUACGGUGUGUCUCUAGUCCAAAAGAUCUGAAUCCUUCUCAUGGUCACCUCGGGCCUCCUUUUAUAGACAAAAGGGGUCGCUACAGUGGCACACAGGAGGCGGAAAGGUGUCCAGUGGAUGAGUCUAUCCUCUGGCACCGUCGGACAAAUGCAUUUAAUGUGAUGCCGACGUGCCCCUCUUGCUUUAUUGGGGACGGCAAGGAAGCUCGUCCCAGCUGUCGGCCUCUCGCCGCCUCGCCUGGCUGCGACGCGCGUUCGGGCUGACGAGGCGUUGUAGCGCCACGUUGGCUGGCUGCUGGGCUGGCGCGGUGGUGGAGCCUUCACGAAGAUCUGCAUGCCACCACGCAGGUGCUAGCUGAGUCGGCGUAGAGGCCGCAUGCUGCCACGCAGGUGCCUGCCCAGCUGGUUGAGCUAGCAGCUGGGUGAGAGCGGCGAUGUAGUCUUGGCAGACGUGGGCCUGGUCGUGGGCACGCAAGCGUCCUCGGCAAGGGCCUUGCCGGGGCCCCGGCAAGGGUCUUUCCGCGGCACGGUGGUCGUCCCCGGCAAGGGUCUUGCCGGGGGUCUCGUGGAUCUCCUCGGCAAGGAUCUCGCUGAGGGUCGUCAUCUUCUGGUCCUCAUCUGAUCGUGUGUGUUUAUGAUCUUGAUGAAGAUCUGCAUGCCACCACAGAGGCACCUCCCAAGCCUUGGUUCCAGUGUGGAUGGUUGGUGGUGUUGGAACCCGCGGGCUAAAGGGUGGCUUGCUCUGCUGGCGUCGGGCAAGUUGCCCCGGCAAGGCUCUUCCCGGGGCUGUGGAGGCUGCCCCAGCAAGGGUCUUGCCGGGGGAAUCCACCUCGCCCUCUUGCUCUUUGUGUCUCUUGGUCUUGGCGUUGCUUUGGUUGCCUUGCGCUUCGGCUUCCCCCUUCUGCCCUGCUCAUGGCCGUGGGCGCGGCUCUGGCUGCCCGUGCACAAGUAAAGGGGUAAAAAGGAGUGCCCCUACUUUUGUACACCGACACCGGUAAGGCCAAUGUUGUUGUCGAUGCUCUUAGCCGCAAGCCUGCCAGUCUGAACGCCCUGAUAGAGUCCUUGCCUCCCUAACUCCAAGAAGAGAUCGCUCAGCAUAAUUUGCUUAUUGUUGAUGCGGGCCUAGCCAAUAUAUUGGAGGUUACUCCUACCCUCGAGGAUGAGAUCCGCAUGGCCCAGCAAGAUGACCCAGUCCUGCAAACCAUGUCAAGCGUAUGCAAGAAGGCAAGACCCAGGAUUUCUCUAAGGAUAAGCAAGGUACUCUAAGGUUUCGAGGACGAAUUUGCGUACCUGAGCAAGCAGACCUGAGAAAGAAGAUCUUGGCAGAAGUGCACGAGUCUUCGUACUCAAUUCACCCAGGAGGUACCAAAAUGUAUGAAGACCUUUGAUAGAUAUUUGGGUGGGAUGGAAUGAAGAAGGACAUCGCAUACUUUAUCGCUUGUUGCGAUUUAUGCAACAAAGUGAAGGCGGAGCACCAGGAUCCCGCUGGACUUAUUCAACCUUUAGCCGUUCCACACUGGAAGUGGGACGAUGUCUUCAUGGAUUUGAUCACAGGUCUACCAAGGACUCACCGAGGCAAUGAUGCAGUAUGGGUUGUGGUGGACACGCUGACAAAGGUAGCUCACUUUAUUCCCAUCUGAACCACAUACCAAGCCGAUCAACUUGCACAGCUAUAUGUGUCCAGAAUCGUCAGUUUUCAUGGAGUGCCAAGAACGAUCACUUCAGACCAAGGUUCUCUCUUUACCUCACUAUUCUGAUCACGUCUUCAUCAAGCCUUGGGGACCGCACUAAAGUACAGUACAGCCUUUCAUCCUCAGACAGACGGGCAGACUGAGCGCGUAAAUCAAAUACUUGAAGAUAUGCUCCGAGCAUGUGCUUUGGCCCAAGGACCCAAGUGGGAAGAUUGUCUGCCGUAUGUUGAGUUCUCCUACAACAACAGUUUCCAGACCAGCCUGAAUAUGUCACCAUAUGAAGCUUUGUAUGGUCGUAAGUGCCGCACUCCGCUAAACUGGUCUCAAACCGGAGAUAGCCGCAUUUUCGGAACUGACUUAAUGAUGGAGUCUGAGAAGCAAGUCAAGGAGAUCAGAGAUAGACUACAAUUGGCUAAGUCCCGACAGAAGAGUUAUUAUAAUGCAAAGCACCGUCAGAUCGGCUUUGAACCCGGAGAGUAUGUGUACCUCCGAGUCUCACCUAUGAAAGGAGUCAAGAGAUUUCAGACCCGAGGAAAACUGGCACCCAAAUAUAUUGGCCCAUUCCCAGUUAUGUCUAGAGUUUGUACAUUUGCUUAUCAGUUGGAACUGCCACCGAAAUUGUCAGAAGUGCACAAUGUGUUCCAUGUCUCACAGCUAAGAAGGUCUAUCUCGCCACCCGAGAAAAGGACUGAUAUGGUAGAGAUAGAGCUUGCUAAGGAUCUAACCUAUGAGGAGAGACCGUUCAGAAUAUUGGAUGAAACAGAAAGAGUCACUCGCAGUAAGGUGAUGAAGUUUUAUAAGGUUCAGUGGGAGCAUCACACCGAGGAAGAAGCGACUUGUGAAAGAGAGGAAUUUUUAAAGGAAGCCUAUCCAGAAUUGUUUUCCUGAGAAACCGAAUCUCCAGGACGAGAUUCAUCCUAAGUGGGGGAGGUUUGUGACGCCUGGUUUUUGCCUUCUCUCUUUUUCCGGAUUUCUUUGCCUUUGGUUUCGAAGUUGGAUUUAUUGAAUCAACUCACUUGGGCAUGUCGUUGAUUUUCACCCAAGUGACCCAUCUCUCUCAAAAUCAUCACUUCUUCUCUGUUAAAUCCCAAAAUGGCCCUUGGAAUAUUUUUCAUAAAUGAAAAAUAUUAUUUUUCUUCUCUGAAAAUCAUCUCAGCAACAUAUGCUCCAAAGCAACCUCAUUUUUGUUGCCUGCAAAAAUCUGUAAAAGUUCCCAAAUAUUCUUUGAACCAUGGCACACCUCGCUGUGCAAAAAUAUUUCAUACCUAUUUGGAAUAUUUUUUCUACAGAAAAUCUUUUCUGUUUUGGCCUCAAAAUGCAGUUUCUACAGCAAGUGCAUUUUUCCUUAAUCUAAUGAAGCGAUUUUACUUGAGCUUCAUUACCCUGAUAAGAAAACCUUAACCCUAGGAGAUUAGCCCUAAACUCAUUCUAGAACCUCUCCAAAUACAGUGCCAAAGUUUCUGACCAGAAACUUGCUGCUUAGCUCACGUUCGAUCUAGUCGGCCUGGCAGUGUGCCAUCUCCUCUCCUAGACUAAACACUGCACGGACAACACUCUAGACAUGAUUUGGCAUCUCUUGGGAGUCAUUUUGCCCAAGCUAGCAUGGUGACCGCGUGUGGACACGAGCUCUCGCACGCGUUCGAUGCGCUCUGCGCUGCGCUCGAGCCUCUGUUCCGCGCGUGCUCGUCUUAGCACUCGCCGCCGACCCGCCGCACUGCGCCACCAGCCUCGUCUCUUCACGCUUGACCUCUCCCUGGCGGUCGCCGACCUGGGAGAGGCCGCGGUCAACACGGGCACGACGCGGCCAAAGCCACAGUGCGUCUGUGCCACUGUCUUUGUCCGCGCCCGCGCCCUGUGCUCGUCCGCGAGCUUCCAAAGUGGUCGCGUGAUCGCUGAGCCCUCUCCACCUCUCCCUGGCACUCCUCGUCGCCGUGCGCCGCCUUCCAGAGAGCUCCGGUGGAGCCGAGAACCCCCAACCCCCUCCGUCUAUAAAUAGCAAACCCCUUGCCUCUCCGAGCUCAUCGAUCCACUCCGCCAUCACCCACAAGCAGUAGAGGAGCCGCAGCCCGGCCGGGCAGGCCUCGGGCCGCCGUCCUCAAGGUCGAGCUCGUCGGCGAUCCCCUCUGCUUGCCCCCACCCAUCCAGCCCCUCUUGAGCUCGUGCCACGUCUCCGGCGACUCCCUGGUGCUUCACUGGUGCCUGCUGACCCUGUUGGAGCCCCUGGAACCGCCUCCUCUCGCCGUCUUCUUCAACUCCGGCGAGACCCAACCGCAGCCGCCGCUGGGACAAAGAUUCUGAGCUGCUUCGGCCACCUCUCCUCGAGCCACGGGUACAGGCAAGUGCGUCGUGACCCCCUCUACCCAUUUAUCCCUCUCAGAUCGGCCAACAUGCCCUCCUCGCCGGCGUGUGCUCCGGCGGAGCACCGCCACCCCUCUGUUUCACUCUCUCCCCACACUCGACAGGCGGGGCCCUCCGUCAGCCACUCCACUCGCGCCCGAAGCGGUACGAGUGGAGGCGUAUUCGCAGAAUACGUCUUCGACGUCACCCCCUGGAUUUCUUUUAUUCCAAAUUUAAUUCAAAUAUUUUGACCAGAAACUUUGACUAGCCAUAACUUUUAAACCAUAAGUCCGAAUGAAUUGAUUCUUUUUGCAUUGUGUUUGUAUUGAAAAGUUCUAGUAGCACACCAAAUUGGAGAUUUUUCUCUGCUGUCUAGAAUUUCUGGUGAAUUUCAGAAUGAUUCUUGAUAUUUUCGUUUACUGUUUUUAAAUGUUUUCCAAGGGAGAAGCUUGUCUUGAAGAAAACCAGGAGGAGUCUGAACCUCCUCUGGACUAAGGCAAGCCACACCAACAAUUGCAUGGUGUCAUUUCAAUACUUAUUACUUUUCCAACUCGAAUACGAUUUAUUUCAUGCAUUUAAUUAUUUAAAUGAAUAUUGCUUAUGCAAGUUACUUUGUCAUGGUUGAAAUUCUUAGUUUACAGUAGUGUUUGAAUGGAUGGACUAGUAUGAGGCAGUAGAUGUAGUUUUGAUAGUGUGUUUAUGAUAUGGUUAUGAUCGGUAUUAUUUUCACAUGUGAGGAAUUGAUUUUAAUAUGUUAGUGGCAUAACAAAAAAUGAUGAGUGUUAAAAACCAGUGAAGUAAAAUCAGUAAAGCUUAAUGAUGACUAGUGCAAAUAGAAAACUUUGAUCAUGUUGAUCUGUUUACUUAGAUAUGUGAUGCAUGUUCAUGGCAUACAGUGACUCGAGUUAUUUUCAUUUCAAGUUAAACCUGAUGUUAAUUCAACUUGAACAUAAUGUUGAUCGAGUCAUGGUGCCACUGAAUCAAGUUUUUCCCAGUGCAACCACAUUUGCCUUUAUGGGAAGGCCUUUAUUCGGUCCGUUGUCAUGCCUUUGGUCGGUACCUCCAACGAGGGAAGGUUAUGGGCGUGCAGUACCCUAGCCCGGUAAGCAGACAUAACCUUGUGUGCCCAUUGUUGUUAUUGUACCUUGUCCCCGUUUGGGACCGUUUAGGUUUUGCCACGACUGUGGCCGUUGAUGUCUUUGGUAGACAUGGGGUCACCCAUGACUUAGCCUAGAAGGGAGUUGGUCGCAGUGGCCGGGAGAGUUUCAUGGCAAUGGGAGGGUUCUGUCGGAAUGCCGUUGGUCCACCCGAAUGGGAAUGCGAGGCCACGGGUUCCGUGAUGUGGGUACAGUGUGCUAACCUCUGCAGAGUGUUUAUUAAAUCUAUCGAUAGCCGCGUCCUCGGUUACGGACAUAGCUCGUGAGUAAGUCACACCAUGGAUCAACAUGAUUAAGUAAUCUUGCACACUAAAUUUAUAUGCUUGGCACUGGUUAAGUGGUGAGGUUUUUGAGAUCAUGAAGAUGAUCGUUUUGGGAACCGAAGUGUUGGUUUCGUUUGUGAUCCGGGCUUGAUCACCGUUUUGGUUACGAGGUAACCUGUUUGGUAAGAGAGUCCAAGGGACUCGGUGCACAAGUUUGAUUUCACUGCAUCAGUAGUAUGUUAUCGCAUUGCAUUUAAAUUGAUUAAUUGUCAUGAUAUUGUUUGCCAUUAUGCUUAUGCUUGUUGUGAGCUUGCAAGUACAUUCAAUGUACUCACCUGGCAUGUCAUGCCAGAUUUCAGGAAAGUCUUACCGGAUCGGAGUGCUUCCCAUGUCUAGACCGUGUCCACAUCGGUGUCCCUGUGCCAUGGAGUUCCGCUUUGUCGUCGUUCCGCUUCUGUGUACUUAUCGUGAUCGAGGCCCCUUCAUGUUCAUUAAAUAAUAAACAUAUUGUUCAGCCGCACCGUGUGUGGCGCUUGGCCUCGCUACUUGAUGUAAUAUCGAACAUAUGUUUCCUCUAGCAUCAAUAAAGCGGUCGUUAUCUGUACCAAGUUGUUGUGUGUUGCCAGAAGACUUGAUCUCUGGGCAGGCAAUGCAAGGUAAACCGGUUGCUCUGAGUCGGGGUGCCACAACCUUUAUGCAAAAUAAGUUGCAUGUCUGUCGGUGGAACCGGUCUGAUGUACGUGGACAUGUAAGGUUGGUCUGGGCCGCUUCAUCUUACAAUACCGCCGAAUCAAAAUAAGACUUGGUGGUAAACAGUAUGACGAUCACCGCCGAGAACUCUUUGUGUUCUACUCGUGCAUAUCAUCUACGCAUAGACCUGGCUCUUGAUGCCACUGUUGGGGAACGUUGCAUGGAAAACGAAAAAUUUCUACGCGCACGCAAUGAUCUAUCCAAGGAGAUGCAUAGCAACGAGGGGGAGAGUGUGUCUACAUACCCUCGUCGACCGUAAGCGGAAGCGUUUGACAACGUGGUUGAUGUAGUCAAACUUUCGUCGCUAUCCAACCGAUCGAGCACCGAACGUACGACACCUCCGCGUUCAGCACACGUUCAGCUCGAUUACGUCCUCCGCCUUCUUGAUCCAGCAAGACGGCGAGGUAGUGGAUGAGUUCCGGCAGCACGACGGCGUGAUGAUGGUGAUGGUGAAGUGAUCUCCGCAGGCCUUCGCCUAAGCACUACGAAAGUAUGACCAAGGGUGUAAACCGUGGAGGGGGACGCCGCACACGGCUAGCCAAUUGUCUGUUGUGUGCUAGGCACCCCCUUCCCACAUAUAUAUAGGUGGGAGGGAGGAGCAGCCAAGGGGGCACCCAAUUAGGGGGAAUCCUGCUUGGGGACUUUCCCAAGCCGCGCCCCCCCCCCUUUCCUUAUUUGAAGCGCGGGGAAAGGCAGGGGAGGGUGGCACCCCCCCCCCCUCUUUUCUCCCACGAGAGAGAAAGGCGGGAGGGGCUAGCCCUCCCCUUUUUCCUUCCCUAGGGCUGGCCAAACAAGGGAGGAAGUGCACCAGCCCCCUUGUGGGCUAGUCUGUCCCCUCCUUUGGCCCAUAAGGCCCAUAACUUGCCGGGGGGUGCCCGGAACCCCUUCCGGUGACCCGAUUCCUUCCCGGUACGUUCCGAAACACUUCCGGUGUCCAAAUACCAUCGUCCUAUAUAUCAAUCUUUACCUCUCGACCAUUUCGAGACUCCUCAUCAUGUCCGUGAUCUCAUCCGGGACUCCGAACAACAUUCGGUCACCAAAUCACAUAACUCAGAUAACACUAUAUCGUCAACGAACGUUAAGCGUGCAGACCCUACGGGUUCGAGAACUAUGUAGACAUGACCGAGACACCUCUCUGGUCAAUAACCAAUAGCGGAACCUGGAUGCCCACAUUGGCUCCUAUAUAUAUACUAUGAAGAUCUUUAUCGGUCUAACCGUUAUGACAACAUACGUAAUUCCUUUUGUCUGUCGGUAUGUUACUUGCCCGAGAUUCGAUCGUCGGUAUCUAUAUACCUAUUUCAAUCUCGUUACCAGAAAGUCUCUUUACUCGUUCCGUAAUACAUCAUCUUGCAACUAACUCAUUAGUCACUUUGCUUGCAAGGCUUCUUAUGAUGUGUAUUACCGAGAGGGCCCAGAGAUACAUCUUCCAUACUCGGAGUGACAAAUCUCAAUCUCGAUCCAUGCCAACUCAACAAACACCUUCGGAGAUACCUGUAGAGCAUCUUUAUGACCACCCAGUUACGUUGUGACGUUUGAUAGCACACAAGGUAUUACACCGGUAUCCGGGGUUGCAUGAUCUCGUGGUCCAAGGAACAUGUAUUUGAAAUAUAAGAAAGCCGUAGCAAAAACUGUGCGAUCAAAUGCUAAGCUAACAGAUGGGUCUUGUCCAUCACAUCAUUCUCCUAACGAUGUGAUCCCGUUAUCAAAUGACAACUCAUGUCCAUGGUUUGGAAACCUUAACCAUCUUUGAUCAACGGUAUUUGUUUAUGUAUUCACACAUGUAUUUAAGUUUCUGGUCAAUAGAAUUCUAGCAUGAAUAAUAAACCUUUAUCAUGAUUAAGUAAAUAUAAUAAUAACCAUUUUAUUAUUGCCUCUAGGGCAUAUUUCCAUCAAUGGCCGUCCGGAUUACUCUCCGCCGCUCCCGGGAGGAGGCCUUUGCGAGGUAGCGCUCGGACUUGUUUCGUCGGGAAUUCGUUGCGUCCGUCCAAAUGGCGCAUGGAUCCGGCACUAGGCCAGCCGUAGCUGUCUUACGGGAGGCCGUGCGGUCCAUCUGGCAUCCGAACUCACAAGCGGACGCACAAACCCUCCGUUGGCGCGCGGAGUAUGGGGACGCACCAUGGGCCUCGUCCGACGAGGCCAUGGCACGACGUGCCCGCCGUGCAAGGCACCGGGCACGGGAGACGGCGGCAGCCCUCGCGGCAAUGGAAGUCGGCGAGGUGGAGUCGCAUUCUCCGGCGCCCCGUACGGCGCAUCAGUCCGGGCAUCGCAACCGCGUCGUGGUGGACGUCCGCGUCUCAUCCCAGGACGGAUCCUUCAUCGAUCUGGCGUCCACCGACAACGUUCGGGUUCGGGCUCCGACGAGGAAGAGUAGGGCAUGGGAGACGGCGGCGCAUAGAGUCUCGUGAGCCGGCUCGUGUCCCAUGCCGUGCUCUACCUUGCCGGCGACCGGACCAACACUAUGAAGAGCACAGACGGCCGUCGGACAUGGCCACGGCGGAGCCGGGCGAGCGGGGAGCGGAACCGGGCGAGCUCCGCUUAGAUUAGGUUUCACCUUGCAUAUAAUAAUAUGGAUACGAGGUUUCUAAUUUGAGGUAUCCAGAUGUGGAAUGCAUUUUUGAGGCAUGACCGAUCACUGUCCACGGAUGCGCCUGGGCGCGUCCGCGGGCGUUUGAGCAGUCGGAUUUGCCAAGUCCGGCUGUAGAUGCUCUUACAUCGUUCGCCAAAGCCAAUUCAAUGCGGUAAAGGUAUAGGAAAUUCUCAAUGAAGUCUAAUAGUGGUGUGAUACUGCUAGGAUCAGCAAUGUCAUCAGUAAAGAUAAGGAUUUGGCCCAGGUUUUUGUUAAUUUUUUUCUGAUUGAAGCGUCCUGCAUGCAUGGCGCCGAGUCGAAGUUUGUCGCGUUUCACAUAGUCGCGCAGAUUUCAUGGCCAUUUUGCACACCUGUAAAUGACGCCAAGCAAGUGUAUGCAGCUGAGGCGUUUAUGAAUGCCAUCCAUCUCCCAACUUCUAACGCGCUCCCCCCAUCGGCCGGCCUAGUUACGUGGACAGCUACGUGGACACGUUGCCUACUCCACGUACUACGUCGUCUUGCCCAGGACACUCAUCGAGGAGAGCUCCCCCCAUCUCAUCCAAGCUGGCCUCUCCCGCCUAUAUAUAGUUUCGAUUCAUCUUCAUGGGCAUCUUCAUCUCAUCCAUCACACAACACACAACCUAGCUAGCUACUGCUGCUGAUCGAUCUUGCACACCCAACUGAAGGUCGACGCAUGGCAUCCAAGGGUCUCAUAGUGGUUGCUGUCCUGCUUGCUGCGGCUUUCCUCGUGGCCACAGCUGAACAAACUCGUGAGCGUACUAGUAGUUUUCAACUGAUUCGAUCACUGUAUAAACUGGCAUACACGCAGUAUCGUAUUCAUCAUCAUUACGCUAGUUAAGAAACCCUGCUGCUGCUGCUGCUGCAACUAAUUAAAUGUACACCGUUUCUGUUCAUGCAGAGGCCAACAAGGAAGAGACCCAUGCCGGUGUUCAGGGUGGCUACCCCGGCGGCGGUGGCGGUUGCGGUUGUGGCGGAGGCGGCGCCGGCGGGUAUUCUGGACAUGGCGGAGGCGGCGCCGGCGGAUACCCUGGACACGGCGGGUGCGGCGGCAGCGGCGGCUGCAGUCCCGGAGCCCAAGUAUCGGGCGGAGGUCCGCAACUAAGUGCCGGAUGCGGCAGCGUGCAUGCGUAGUAUAGACGUACUACCGUUGCUAGUUGCACGCACGUAGUAACUACUCGUAUGCAUGGUCAAUAAGAAGGUACUGCAUGUGUAUGUAUACGUACACAUUGCACAGUUAUCUUGAUCCAAUACCAGGACUCCGUUCUGGUCAAUGGUGUUCAUGUUUACCCCUGUAAGACUUGUCUUUCUUGCUCAAUAUGCAGGAAACUCUCGUUCAUGCAUGUUAUACACUAGUAGAAAACAGGGCAUUGGUUCGGCCCUUGUAAUACCAUUAAUCCCGGUUCGCUCACGAACCGGGACCAAAGGAGGCAACUGUCCCGGUUCGUGAGCCCAGGGGGCCGGCCGGGUCACGUGGGCCACUGGUCCCGGUUCGUCUGUAUCUUUUGGUCCCGGUUCCACGCACGAACCGGGACCAAUGCGCCUCGCCCCUGGCCCAUGACCAUUAGUCCCGGUUUGUGCCACAAACCGGGACUAAAGGGUUGGUCCUCGUUGCGGUCAGAGUUUAGUCCCACCUCGCCAACCGAAGGGCGCUCACACCGGUUUAUAAGCCUAUCCCUCUCUGCCUUGUUGAGCUCCUCUGAAAAAAAAAAAAUGCCCUUAUAAAGGGAAUUUUACCUAAAUUCAGAGUGAAUUUUUUUGAAAUUCAUAGAAAUUUAUUAUGAAUUUAGGUUGAAUUCUCUCUAUAGGCGCAUCUAUGCUCAUUUUUUUAUGUUGGGGUUGGUGAUCUUUACAGACUUUUGGUAUGUUGAAUAUGCACCAUUCAAAAUCAGUCUCUGCUUUGAAUUGUUCAUUUUGAACACAC
rnacentral:lncRNA from 1 species